AGCAGCAACACACAAUGACCUAGAGAUAGCUACCUCCCCUAACUCAUAUACACAUCUACCGCACCCCUACUUCCCUGGACCACGCCGACGACCACUCUCAAACCCCCCAUAUCGAUUAUAUCUGGAUGAUUUGACUUGAAAUCUCCAUGUUUGGCCGAACUCCAACAAUCUCUCCUUGUUCUAUGCCACAGCUUCCUCAUUUAUUCGCACCGCUGCUCGUCGCCGUGGAAAUAGCGGUGUGUGUGUUCGAUUUUUUGAUUUUUGCCAGAAUUUCAGAUUCGACUAUUUUUUUUUACUUUUCAGAGAGUUUCGAGGCUGAAGAGUCGAGGUCUGUUUGUGUUUUAUCGACUUCCGGCAAGCUCCGAAGUCAAAGUUCCAUUGGUCUUGGUCGCGUCCCCAUCCGAUUCUGGAGCUGCAAAUCAGCUAAGCUCAGAUUCAUUUCUAGAGAGGCUUGUUUUCUGUUUAUUUUGGUUCUAUUGUAAUCAUGUAUUACUUUUGACUGGAAUGAUGCAAAUAUUAUGUUCCGUUGAAUGAAGAUUAUAUGAGCUCGCCUCUAUUUAAAUUUGUUUCAAAUUCUAUAGUUGUGUAGAUGUUUACCUUGUUUAAAUGCUAUAUUGCUAUUUGAAAUGUCUAUUCAUGGUGUGAGAUGCCUAUCAAGAAUUUUAUUUAUUAAAUUAUUGUCAAGAUGAAAAGGAAUCACGUUCGCAGUUGGUAAAAAUGUUGCAUCACUUUGCUUGGACAUCAUGUGUAAAUUAUGUCAGUAAUGAUUCUACCAAAUGAAGGUUUAGGCUCAUGAGGAUUUGAUUUGUUAAGUUGGUUUGCCUUGUUUAAAGCAUCAAUCUGUUGUAGUUAGUUCGACCUGAAGUAAUCGAGUUAGCAUGUAGUUGAAGAAAGAGUGUUAGUUCAUAAAAUUUCUUGUUAAUUGUAAACAAAUUUCGAAUGUCAGUCUUUAUAAAUAAUUUUGUAUCGUGUUGAAAUUUGAAAAUCAUAUAUUAGUGUUUGCCAUAUAACUCGUUAGUUCCAUGUUGUGCUGGGUGAUUGGAGUUUGGAAGAAAGUCUAAUGACAACAACAACAACAACAACAACCCAGUAUAAUCCCACAAGUGGGGUCUGAGGAGGGUAAUAUGUACGCAGACCUUAUCUCUACCACGAGGGGCAGAGAGGCUGUUUCCAGGAGACCCUCGGCUCAAAGGGGAAACAAGAAACAUUAUAUUAGUACUAUCAAUAGACUCAUAAUAAAACAACAUAAAAUACCAUAAAAUCCAUAACAUAACAUAAAUACCAUAAAAUAACAAAGUGUCAGCAAUAUAAGAGAUAUAGGAAAUACGAGAAAGAUGUAAGGUAUUAAUACACAACAGAUAAAGCCCGUCAUCAGUAGUUGAUCAAUAACAUCCUAAGACUAAUUCCUAACUGGCUAGUCUCACUCUAGUGCGCUGUAGUAAAGACAUCACAAUUUCCCCUAACCUACAACCUUAAUGCUCGAUCUCCACAAUUCCCUGUUUAGGGUCAUGUCCUCAGUAACCCUAAGUCGCGUCAUAUCCUGCCUGAUCACCUCUCCCCAAUACUUCUUAGGUCUCCCUCUACCUCUCAUCGUACCCACCGCCGNNNNNNNNNNNNNNNNNNNNNNNNNCCUCCAAAGCUCAACCGGAAUUUCAUCUGGACCGGUAGCUCUGCCCCUUCUCAUCUUACGCAUUGCCUCCACGACCUCAUCGACCUCAAUGUCCCGACAAUCACUUAGUUCAUGGGGGCUGUCGGCAUUCCUCAAUUCACAACAAAACUUUGCCAUCCUGAUCCCCUUCCUCAUUUAGAAGUUUAUGAAAGUAGGUAUGUCCUCUCCUCUUAAUCUGGUCAUCCCCCAACAAAACUUUGCCAUCCUCAUCUUUUAUGCACCUCACUUGGUCCAAAUCCCGAGUCGUCCUCUCUCUCACCUUAGCGAGUCAGAGUAACUUCUUCUCCCCGCCUUUGUUCCCUAGUUCCUCAUACAAACGAGCAAAAGCUGUCGUCUUUGCCUCCGUCACUGCCAUCUUUGCCUCCUUCCUAGCUACCAUAUAUUUCGCAAUCGCUCUCUUCUCCUCCUCUCCAGUGCUCCCCACUAACCGCAGGUAAGCCACCUUCUUCGCUUCCACUUUACCUUGUACAACUGCAUUCCAUCACCAGUCUCCUUUGUGGCCACCGGUGCGUCUUGAAGAUACCCCUAACACCUCUCUCGCUGAAUGCUCUGAAAAUUAUUGGGCCUGUUAAUAGGCCCAAACACGGUUUUUGUUACCAUCAACUUCAUGCCUUUAUUGUCGGACCCCAGUAAUGGGUUCAAACAUAUUUCAAGAGUUUACAUUGUUAGUGUCAAAAUUCUACAUUUUAUUUCUCUAAAUACAAUUUUGCUCACAGAUGAUUCCACAAUAAAUCAUUUCAGAACUUUGGCCUCACAAUAAUCUCAAAUUAGUUUAAUUAGAAAAAUAAUAUCGAUAAACAUCGUAGCUUCCUUUAGGCGUGAUUAAUAAAUCAUCGCGACUGUGGGUACGGCUCCUGUGACAUGGUUUGGAUACGUAAUUCCCAAAGUCGGGUGCAUAUUUCAUGUGACCCGACCCCAACUUCGAAUAUUAAUAAAAUACGUGUGUUGCAGAUUGUGGGUAUGGUUCCCGUGACACGAUUCGCAACAUGUAGAAAAAUAAACAAGUGUACGAUAAUCGUAACUUAUUCCAGAAAUAAAUCCAUAAAUAAUUAAAAGUGGUUGAAAAGCUAAAAGUGCACAUUAAGUAUAAAAUAUGUAAUUAAUCAGAUAAGGCCAAUUAAUAAUAGUUGAACGACCGUGCUAAAACCAUGAAACCCAGGAAUGCCUAAUAACUUCUCCCACGUUAACAUAAUUCCUUACCCGAAUUUUUGUGUUUUGCGGACUGUAAAACAGAGUCAAACUUCUUCGAUUUGGGAUUUUAAACUGGUGACUUGGGACACCAUAAAUUAUCCCAAGUGGAGACUCUAAAUUUGAAUAAAUAAUCCCGUUUUGGUUUUGUUACCUUAAUUGGAAAAACUCCUCUAUACCCUUCCGAGUAGAAAAAGGAGGUGUGGCAACUCUGGUGUGAUGAACUGGCCGGUCGUCUUAAGAAUUUAUAGUCCGAUACCCUAUUAACUGCCUUCCUUGAGUUUAUUUCUGCUAUUUUGAUUUGCCGGGAUGAACGAUUUUGAAUUUCGGAGAGUUUUGGGACACUUAGUUACUAAAUGAGAGCUUAAGUAUUGGAAAGUUGACUGUAGUCAGAACACUGUGAAGAUGGAAUCAGAAUGGAAAUCUGAUGGUUCCGUUAGCUCCAUUCGGUGAAUUCGGGCUUAGAGGCGUGUUCGGAUUGUGUUUUGGAGGUUCGUAGCUAAUUUAGGCUUGAAAUGCCGAAAGUUGAAUUUUUGAAGUUUCUGGUCCGAUAGUGAGAUUUUGAUCCAAGGGUCAGAAUGAAAUUCCGGAAGUUGGAGUACCUCCGUAGUAUUGAAUGUGACGUGUGUGCAAAAUUUCAGGUCAUUCGGACGAAGUCUGCUAGACUUUUUGAUCGAAAUCGUAUUUUGAGAAAAUUUGGAGUUCUUAGGCUUAAAUCCUUGGUUAAUUUGAAGUUUCGAUGUUUUUUAGGUGUUUUAAUUAUUGGCAAAAGUUUGGGUAGUGUUUUGUGACUUGUUGGUGCCUUUAGUUGAGGUCCCGGAGGCCUCGGGAUGAAUUUGGAUGGUUGACGGAAAGAUUUUGGAGUUUAAGUUGUAGCUUCAGCUGCUGGUGCUGUCAUAACCGCAUAUGCGGUUUGGGUUCCGCUGGUGCGGCGCCGCAAAAGCGGCUCAGCGAUCGUAGGAGCGGAGUUGUGGAGUAGCAGCAGGUUCCGCAGAUGCGGGUGGUUAACCGCAGAAACGGUACCGCACCUGUGGACGGUAAAUCGUAGGUGCGACAGUUGAACCUUAAGUGUAAGUCGCAGAUGCGACCCAUUAUUCUGCACAUGCGGGACCACAGAAGCGGUCCCAAGGCCGCAGAUGCGUAAACUUCUGGGAAGAUUAUUUUAAAAGGGGUUCCGCGACUUUGGGGUUUAUUUCAACAUUUUUAUCAUGGCUUGGGAGAUUUUGGGACGAUUUGAAAGAGAGAUUUCAAGGGAACUUCAUUGAGGUAAGGAAUUUGGACCUAAAACUCGUUCCUAUGCUAUUAUUCCAUGGAUUAGAGCUAGAAAUCAUGGAAAUUAAGGGUGAAAAUUUGGGGAAACUAGGGCUUAAUAUUGGAGACCUUUGAGUAAUGAUUUGAGGGACUAUUUGAGGUCUGAUUUUGGUAACUUUGGUAUAAAUUUUACCUGAUUCGCAUAUUAGCUUAGAAUUAAUUUGUAGAAUCAGUUACUUGAAGUGUUACUUACAUUAUGCAAUUGAAUUGAAUAGAUUUGGGUCAUCUGGAGUCGAGUACUCGUGGCAAGAGCGUGGUUUUGGAUUGAUUAUUGAGUCGGUUCAAGGUAAGUGGCUUGUCUAACCUUGUGUGGGGGACCUUCCCCUUAGGAUUCAGUAUAUUUGAUAUUUGAAAUGCCUUGUGCGUGAGGUGACGAGUGCGUACUUAAGCUAAUCUUUGGAAAUCUGGUUUUCUUUACGUAAUUUAAAUUGUGUUCAUUUUCUUGUUUCAUUUUAGAUGCAAUCUAAACCUCCUGUUAGCUUAGAAAGAGUAUGCCUAAUUGACUUAACAGUUUAUUUGCUUAACAUGCCUUAAUUGCAUUACAUGAAGCAUGUUAGGCUAGAAUUAACUAUUUACUUGGUAUGGAAUUAGCAUUAAAUUGAGUAUUCUUGUGUUUCUUCUGUGUGUAUUUAAAUUGGGACUACGGGACGGCAUCCCGGGAGAUCCACUGUACAAAAUUAUGAUAUGGACUGAGGUGUGGGAUACCAAGAGAUACCUGGCACGUAUAUUGAGGAUACCAAGAGAUCCUCGGGAUACCAAGAGAUCCCUUGUAUACAUAGAGGAUACCCAGAGAUCCUCGGGAUACCAAGAGAUCCCCCGGUUAUCAUCCUUGCUAUGAGUGGUAUUUCCUCGCGGUUUGUCUUAAUCUCUGUUUUUGUUAUUGUACUCUUAUUAUCCUGUAUAGAUUCUUACUGUAGAUUCUCAAUUGUAUUGCUUAUCUUAUCCUGUCAUCUUAUUAUUUAUUUAAUUAAUCUCAUUAGGGCCUUGACCUUCCUAGUCACUACUCGACCGAGGUUAGGUUUGCCACUUACUGAGUACCGCUGUGGAGUACUUAUGCCACUUCUGCGCAUGUUUUUCAUGUGCAGAUCCAGGUAUCGCUACUCAAGCCUACCAUCCGUGAGGGAGGCGAUUGCUUAAAGACUUCGAGGUACAUCUGCCACGUCUGCAGACCGAGAAGUCCCUUUAUAUUACUGCUUUUAGUAUUUAGCCUUUCUGUAUUUUUCGCUCUUAUUAGACAUUUCGGAGUUAGAGCUAUGUAAUAUUUUUCUUAGCUUGUGAUUCGUGGGUUUCCAGGUCAUGAAUCUACGUAUUGGUAUUGAGAGUUAAACAUGGUGUAUGCCGGGCAACACCUUUAAAACACUGUUAUUACUUUAGUUUCUAUUUUAAACUAUUUUACUUCCACAAAUUUUGGUUUUUCUUCCGCAACUUAGGCUUACCUAGUCAUAGAUACUAGGUGCUGACAUGAUGGUUCAUGGAGGGCGAACUGGGGUCGUGACAUCUGGCGAGUCUGCUGGGGAUAAGAACCUAGAAUCUCUUGUUCAGAGUUCAGAAUUCGAGCAUAGAAUAGCUGUUAUAGAUGACUUUUAUUUAUUAUGUGAUUUUUAUUACAUGUUUGAGCCUAAUGUGCUAAAUACCGCUUUUUACCGCUUUAAUAUUGUUUGAACUGUAUAUAAACUGUUAUGAAACCCUUCUUCUCUCUGAGUCUUCUAAAUAUUCUGGGAAGUGUACGCCGGCGUAACUUCUUUUCUGUUAGAGUCAUACCCUAAUUUAGAACGAGAAUCAAAUCAGUUAUAAAGUCGGAUGGCCUUUUGGUUACCGGUACGUUUCCCUCCGGCUCGAGUUGUCUGCUCGGGUAAGCCAGCUAUAGAACAAUACACCCAGGUUUUUCAAAACCUAGAAUAACAUAGUUUCAUGCCGGAUCCCUAGUAGGGACGCUUGUUUUCAUCACGUGCAUUUGAAUUUUGGUACUCAACACAGGGGUUGGGUCCGUCUAGGACAGGUGUACCCGAAAUAAAAGACCAUCCUGAUGGAUCUUUACGUACUAUUUGUGCAUUUAUUUGUUUCGGCAUGCAUGUUGAUCGGCUUUUAGAUUAGGGAAGAAAAAUCAAAGGAAAACCAAGAUUGAGGUAGGAGAGAGAAAAUCAUCCAUUUCCAAAAAAAAACUUGGUGUACAAAUAUCCCAAAAUUCUGUGGAAAUUUUGAGAAAAAAAGUAGAAAAGGAAAAUUUAUUUCAAAAGAAGUCAUAUUUACCGUUAUGUCACAACUGAUAGAACUACGUGGGUCUGAUUCUCACCGGAUGUGAGAUACGUAGGCAAACCUCAUCUGUUUCAGCCCCCAGUUUUAAAAAAUCCAAAAAUAUUUUCCUUUAAUUCCUUCUUUAGAGAAGUCUUUCUUUGAGAACCCAAUUUUAAAAACCCAAAAAUAUUUUCUUUUAAUUUCUUAUCAAAAUCCAAAAAUAUUUUCAUUCUUCUUCAGAAGUUUUUCUUUCGAAAAUUCAAAAUUCAAAAAUAUUUUUUCUUUUCUUUCGAAGUAUUUCUUUCAUAAACUCAAAAUAAAAUUCCAAAAAAUCCAAAAACAUUUCCUUUCUUCUUUAAAAGUUUAUCUUUUGAAAUUCCAAAAAAAAUGUCGAAAUUCAAAAAAAAAAAAAUCUUUCUUCUUUAGAAGUUUUCUUUUCAAAAAUUCUCAAAAAAAAAACAAAUCGAAAUCCAAAAAAAAAAUUCUUUCUUCUUUAUAAGUCUUUCUUUCGGAAAUUAUAAAAAAAAAUCAAAAUCCAAAAAAUGAGUUAGUUUAUUUAUUUUAUUCCUAAUCUUCCUGAACUACGCGAGAUCUGGUUUAUGUUCCCACAUGAUACGUAGGCAGCCCACAUCAGGUUCGAUCGAAUGGUUUUAAAAUAAUAUAUUAAAAAAAGAGAAAAAAAGAGAAAAGAGAAAAAAGGAAAAAAAGAAAGAAAGAAAGUGUUUAUUCUAACAUGCUUGUUGUUUUGAAAUAAAAGCUAGUCAAAGGUGGUCGGUUUGUUGGUUUGCAAUGGCAAGUCACAAAAACAAUACAAGAUCUCUCAGAAAUAAAAGCAUCUUUUCAACCAAUGGAACAAGCAUUAUUGUUGUUGAUCCAAGGUCACUAAAAGGUAAGUAGGCAAUUUGGUGAUAAAAAUAAAAAAUGGAGGCAAAUGUGGGGUUGAUUUUACCAGAUUUGAGCAAUAGGACAUGCCCUGCUCAGGAUGAUUGUCAAAAUUUGAGUGUUGAAUCCAAAACAAUCAAAAUGGUUAAAUGUCGUAGUAAGGCUGAUGUGUGAAUGUGUGGCUAAGAUGUCGCUUAGUAACUGGAAAGUCACUCCACUUUUAGCCAUGGUAGCUUAUUUUUUGUCUCCUUUCUUCUUCUUUUUGCGAUCAGAUCCUGCUAUCCUUUAUACAAUAAAAAGCACUCAGUCACUUUGUGUCCAUUUUGUAUAUAGUUCUUUUCAUGCUAGUUCUAGUGACAUGACAUGCAUGUGGAAUUUUUGGCUAGAUCUUAGAAAACUAAUUUAGUUUUGAAUUUGAUAAGUGAGAAAGAGACACUUUUGAAGAUGAAUAGAGACAUAAAAAAUUUAAAAAAAUAAGCAUGAUCCAAGUUUACAUGGAACUAAAGCAGUCAUGCUCAUGGAAGUUAAGGAUCUCUACCUUUUGAAUCAUUUGAGAAGAUCGAACUUAAGGUUGAUCGGACGGGUUGAAAUUUGUUUAGCUCUAAGAGAAAGAAAGUGUUUUUCAAAAGAAGGUGUAUUCCAGACAACUUAAAAGGGAUUAGUUAGUGGCAAAAUGCAUCUUCUUCAUCAAGAUAAAAUCCAAGAAAAAGUCGCCCGAAUUGACAAGGGGCAUUCACUGCGAGGAAAGCAUUGCCCAUACAACUUUACACUGAAAAAAACCCAAAAAGCAACAUGUCUAUCAAUGUCAUGUUGGCAUUCUCAAGGUUAGGAUGAUCCUUUGUUAUACCCUUUGUUACCCCUUUUGAGCCUAUGUUAUUUUCUUUGAUGAUCCUCUUUUGGAAUAAAAUCUAGAGUCCAAAAAAAUGAAUGAAAAAAUAACAAUAAAAGUCCAUGCCCUAACAGUACAAACUGGGGCAGCUUUUAGAAAGUUCUAAGUGAAAAAAAAGAAGAAGAAAAUAAUUGUCAAAGGUCCAUGCCCUCAAAAAUAGAAGCUGGGGCAACUUGUUUUGAAAAAAAAAACAGAAAGAAAGAUGAAAAAAAGUUAGGUCAGAUGUUUGAACUACAUUAGACCUGAUUCCUUUAAAAAAGGAUACGUAGGCAGCCUCACGGUUCGGUCUAACCAAAUAAUAAUAAAAAAAAAGAAAAAAAAUUCCAAAAAUCCUCAGUAUCUGAAACUGUGGCAAAGAUUUUAUUUUACUUUUGAAAGAGUCGAUUUCAAGAGUAGUAAGUCUACAACCAUUCCUUUUGAAUCUACUUUGAGCCUUCAUGCCAUCCUUUCUUUCCAACCCUAUCCAAAAACCUUCCAAAUAAAGACCUCCCAAUAUGCUUUCAAGAAUGCCGAGAGACGCAUGCAAUGAGCAGCAUUUGUCACACAUCAUAGAACACUAUCAAAUUGCUCAAGAAAGCAACAGAAAAAAUAGAUAAAGAAAAAAUGAGAGAGUAUUGCUAGUGAAAACCUUCACGGGCACUGUAAGACGAUGGUAAGCAGAAAUGAACAAAUGAGAGAGACUUAUUGGUGUAAACCCCUUGGGGUACCACUAGUCUAAAGUGAGUCAUGAAGUUGAUGCAAAGGAUUGGCACGAACAAGCCCGACUUCAAAGGUUAUAAGAAUGGUAAAAGGGAAGAUUGGAUUAGUUUGGUAGAUAGGCCGUUAAGUCCAAAAUGCAUGUCAUGAUAAUUAAUGCUAGUUAUUAAAAAAAACUUUUUCUUCUGCCCGACAGGGGCAUUUCCUGUUAAUACUUGUUUGUUUGCAUCAUUGUGUCCUUCACCCUGAGUCCGUCCUUGUCAAAACAAGCAAGAAAAGAUUUCAUAAUCUGCUACCAGCUUUUCAGUUGCAUAAAGUAAAUUUGGCCAGCACGCUCAGUUGUUACUGUCAAUGGACCUUGAGGAUUCAUGCAAAAGCUUCCCAAAAAAACUCUUUUCAGCCUACAGGGCGCAAACAAAGAUAACUAGUGAUUCUCUCUGACAAACAGAUUGCUCAAAAAGUAAGAAGUCAUUCAAGAUAUCAGAAAAGAUCACCUAAGAAAAGAUCUCCAAUUGGGAUAAGGCUGAUUGAGCCACAAACACAAAUGGUAUUGGGUGUGAAACAAUUAGGGUUGAUACAGAGCAAAAGUCUCUUGAAACCAACUCAAGCUGAUUGAGCAGAAGCUAAGCUACCCAAGACUCAAGGCCACAAACCGACCACCAUUUUCAAAAUUGACAAAUUUUUCUUUGUGUAAAACAGCAACAAAGCAGUGCAAGGAAAGUGGUUCAAAAAAAAAGAAAAAAAAACAAUAAAAAAGAGAAGAAAAAGAAAAGAAGAGAAGAGCCGACAAAGGAAAGUUUCUCAAAUCUUUGCCUUUAUUUGUCUUGCUAUUGUGCAUAAAAUCUUGCUAUUUAUCUUCACUUUUUUUCUCCUAGGAUAAAAAGUCCUAAUCUGAUGGAUUUUCUCCCAAUAAAAAUGUUAGUCUGAUGAAUUUUUCUCCUAAGAUAACAAAAAAAGGGACCUAGUCUGAUGAACUUUCUCCUAGGUUCGAAAUCUUAGUCUGAUGAAUCUUUCUCCUAAGAUAAAAGACCUAGUCUGAUGAACUUUCUCCUAGGAUAGAAAUCAUAAUCUGAUGAAUUUUUCUCCUAAGAUACCAAAAAAAUAAAGAAAAAAGACCUAGUCUAAUGAACUUUCUCCUAGGAUCAAAAUCUUAGUCUGAUGAAUCUUUCCCCUAAGAUAGAAAACCUAGUCUGAUGAAUCUUCUCCUAGGAUAAGAAUUUUUUUAAAAAAAAAAGGGGGGGGGGGUCUCGAUUUGAAAAAAGGGUCAAUUUUUAGUUUCCUUAAUUAUUAAUAUUUAGUUUUCUUGAAAUCAGGGGUCCCUCUUGGAGAAUAGGGCCAGUUUUUAUUUUAGUCAAGCUUAGUUUAUAGUUUUCCGCAAGCUCAAUCUUACAUUUAGGAGACGCACUUCCUAGUUUGGGUCAUUCAGGUUUUUUCAGUAGACGCAUUUGCUAGUUGAAAUUUUCUUGGUUUUACUCAUAGGAUAUGCACAUCCUAGUCGAGUCUUCAAUUGCAUCCUUCAUCAAUAGCAUAGGCGAUUUAUAGAUCUGCUAACAACUCACAAAUCUUCCUAGUGCAAAUUAGGGCAGAAAAGUUUCUUUUAUUUUGUUUGUUUUGCUGUAGUAGCAGGCGCCCACAUGGAGAACGAGGGAAGUCAUUUCAGAAGUCAAUUCAAGUUAUAAGUAGCGGAAGCUCGCCUAAACCGGAUGCAGAUCGUAGCUUCGACGGAACCUUACUCGACUCUCGAACUCAUCACUCCAUCAUUCUCUAAACUACACGUGGCCUGAUUCCUUUAUAGCCAAGGAUAUGUAGGUAGCUCAGAUACCAUGACUCGGUCACAUUCUCCUUUAUUUUAGUUUUUGGUCUCUCUAAAUAAGGGUCGGGUCAAACCUGUCUUGUCGUUCUUUGUCUGAAAACUCUUCGUGUUUCCAGUCAAAUAGAGGCAACUGUUGUAAUGACCCGACCGGUCAUUUUGAGCUCUAGCACGUCGUUUAAUGGUUUGAGGCCAUGAACAUCUUCACUUCAGGUAUUAUGCCUUGUACGCAAGGUCGGAGUUGAAUUCUGGGAAGUUCGUAGUAGAUUUGAAAAGAGAAUUCUCAUUUCGGAAACUUUAAGUUGAAAAAAUUGACUAAGAUUGGAUUUUUUAGUAAACGACCUUGGAAUCGGGAUUAAAAAGUUCUAAAAGGUUCUUAUGAUAAUUUUGGACUUGGGCGUAUGUCCGGAUCGGGUUUUGGAAGACCUGGGAACAUUUCGGCACCUAUUGUGGAAGUUAGCACUUUUGGAAGGAUUUCAUAAGUUUGGGUUAAAGUUCCUUUCAAUGUUAUCAAUGUCCGUUUGGGAUUUCGAGUUUGGGAAUAGAUCCAUAUGGUUCUUCUGGUAUUGGGAGUGUGAUUGGAAGUGAAUUCGGAGGUCCGUAGGUCAUUUUGGAGUGAUUUGGCUAAAGAUAGAAAUUUGAAGGUUUUUGAGGAGUUUGACCGGAAGUGGACUUUUUGAUAUCGGGUUUGGAAUCCGAUUUAGGAAGUUGGAGUAGGUCUGUAAUGUCAAGUAUGACUUGUGCGCAAAAUUUGAGGUCAAUCAGACGUGAUUUGAUAGGUUUAAGCAACGAAAGUAGAAGUUUGAAAUUUUAAAGUUCAUUAAGCUUGAAUUGGAGUGCGAUUCAUGAUUUCGACGUUGUUUGAUGUGAUUUGAGACCUCGAGCGAGUUCGUAUCAUGUUUUGGGACAUGUUUGGUAUAAUUGGUUAAGGUCACGAGGGCCUCGGGUGGAUUUCGGAAGGUUAACGGAAUGGAUUUCGGACAAAGAAAGCUGCUGAAAUUCUGUUGCAGAAGUUGUUCGCCAGAAAAUUUCUGAUGCGAGGAGUCGAUUUUGGAAGCUCAUAUCUUGCCAUAUAUAAGGAAUCUGAAAAUUUGCAAAACAUCGAAGUAGUAGCCCUUGUUUUCUUGUUUCUAGAAAGAUAAACCAUUCAUCAUUUGGAUAUUUGUACAGAAUUUUAUGAUAAUUGAAUGAAGGUUGGUAAAGCUAUUUUGCAAUUUCCCCAGAAAUUUUUGAUGCGAGGAGCCUAUUUUGGAAGCUUAUAUGUCGAAAUCUAUAAGGAAUCUGAAAAUUUACAAAACUUGAAAGUUGUAUAUCUUUGAUUCUAGUUUCGAAAAAGUUAAACUAUUCAUCAUUUGGACAUUUGUACAUAAAGUUAUGGUCCAUUAACUUAAAGCUAGUAGUAGUUCAUUUUUUGCCCGAAAAUCAGGCAAAGUCACAUUCAUACAUGCGACUUGCCUAGGCAGAAUGCCUAAAUACAGGAGUCAGCCAUUUUUUACUCAUUUUUUAUUUUUGAGUCUCGGAUUUGGGAGAUUUUUGGAGCUUUUGGAAGAGGGUUUUCACCCAGCACUUUGAGAUAAGUAAUUUCUAUACAACAUGAGUUUAAUACAUAGAUUAUGAAUAGAUUAACAUGUAAAAAUUGGUGAACUCAAGAGUUUAGAUGAAAACCUAGGUUUUAUAUAAAAAUGAGAUUUGACCACGAAAAUGAUUAUGAAAUUUGGUAAUAAUCAUAUAUUUGACUUCAUAAGGUUAUGGGUAACAACUUUCUUCGAAAAUUUUCAAAAUCUUGAUAUGCGGGCCCGGAGGUGAAUUUUAGGAAUCUUACAUUUAGGGUUGGGUAAUCACCUCAAUAGUCGAAAUAUGAAUUUUUGAACAUUUAUUGAUUAGUUUAUGCACUAUUUCAUUGGUUUUGGAUUGUUCUGCACCGAAUUGAGGGUUUGAGCAUAAUCUUGGACAGGAAAGCGGGCUUCGAAGUGAGGUGAGUCUACUUUCUAACCUUGUAAGAGGGAAUUGUCUACAUAGGUGAAUUUAUUGGAUAUGUUCUCCUAUUUGUGGGGGCUACGUACGCACAAGGUGACGAGAGUCCGUGCAUAGCUACUAUUAUGCAUAAGUCCGGGUAGUCUAGGACUAAAUAACAUGCUCUACUUGCAAUAUUUUGAAUCUGGUUGUCGAUUUAAAAUACUUAAAUCAUAUUGAAUUGGUAAAUAAAUUUCUAAAGGAAUUAAACAUCAUUUUCUUGACCGUUAAAGAGAAUUGCUAUUUCUUUGGGUAAUUGUUUUUCCCAGAUGAAGUCUGGAUUGACUGUUUGAAUAUGAGUUUCAAUGUGUACCUGCUUUGCAUGUAUGAUUCGCGAAAGGGCUGAUUGUUUAUUUAUAUUUGAUCGCGUCGCAUGUAUGAUUCGCGAGCGGGGUAAUAGAUGCAUCUAUGGUUCACGCCAUUCGACCCUCUGGCAGAGCACAAUUUAAAUGUUUGUUGGAUCGGGUCGUACGACCUCGACAUGAUUUGCGCAUGAUUGUAUUGCUUGCCUUGAAAUUCAUAAAUGUUAAUAUUUAUUUCUCCCUGGCCUGAGAUAAAUGUAUAAAUGAUGAAAAUAAAUUUGGGAAUUUCCUAUAAACGAAAGAAUUGUUUACUUGCCUCAUGUUAUUUGAGUUACCGUCAUUUUUAUGAAAAUCCUCGAUUUAUGAAAUUAUUGUUAUAUUAUCAUUGGACCACUAGUAAGUAUUGAAGUCGACCUCUCGUCUCUACUUCUUUGAGAUUAGACGGGAUGCUUACUAACUACACGUUGUUUAUGUACUCAUGCUACACUUGUUGUGCAUUUUUGUUGCACAGGCAUAUGUAUCUCUAACGACCUAAUGGGCAUAGUAACAUGGAUGAUACGGAGACUUAGGCGAGCUGCAUCUCUCGAGGCGACCCGUAGCUAGCAUAGUCUCUUUUAGUGUUUUGUAUUUACUUCCUGUCCAAAUCUGUAUUCCGAACAGUUAUUGUACUUUAUUUGAUUUCCUAGUGAUUGUUCAUGCACUUGUGACACUGGGAUCUAGGAUGAUUAUGAGAUAUUUAAUAUUAAAAGUUGUAAACAUUUUUAUUUAUUCAGUGAUGAUUACCUUUUUACUAGUUGAAUUAAAGGAAAUUAUGGUUCCUAAAUUAUUAAAAUGAGAGUUUAAUUAAUUACUCAAUGUUGGCUUACCUGACCGAGGUGUCUGGCGCCAUCACGACCUUUGAUGGAUUUUGGGUCAUGACAACAUGGUAUCAGAGCACUAGGUUCCCUUAGGUACGAGUCAUGAGUGAGUCUAGUAGAGUCUUGCGGAUCGGUAUAAAGACAUUUGUACUUAUCUUCAAGAGGCUGCAGGGCUAUUAAGAGCACUUCCCUUCUUGAUUCCUCAUCAUGCAGUUUGAUUCCUUUGAGGCUUAUGUCCCUAUUUCCUUCCUACUCAAUCAUAUGCGACGCGAAGCGCAUAUAAAUUGGGAAUUGAGGAAUUGUAAUAGUACUAUAGAUGUGGUGCGGGAUAUUUCUCCCAGUGUAGUUGUUUGGGCUGUUAUCGUCACCUUGUAGAAGGUCGUUCUGUCGUUUCAGCUUAGUAUCAAUAUUACCUAAGGUUUCGAGAUUUGGCAUAGAUGUUAUGACGAUUCGUGCAUUGCUAUCGCCUAGUAUUGAUGUGAUGGUAGGAUAUUUACCAAUAUGUUGGGGCAGUGAAUGACUUGAAAGGAGGCCUACUCAGUACAUGAUUCAGAGACUUGGUAUUUCAUUCCCGGGAGAGGAAAGGCAACCAGACUAUAAUUGUUCAAGAUUGAGUCAAUGUUUCUAAUGUCAACGACUCGAGAAAACAUGAUCUUCGGAAAAGUAUAAAGUUAGUAGCAGUCUAUUGGUUCAAGUGCUACAGAGAUAUAUAUUGAUCUAAGGCAAGAACUGGGCAACAAAGGAUGAGGAAGGAUAUGUGGAAAGUGUCAUGCAGUGGUUAAAUAACUAGAAGUCUAGGUGUAAGAAGCAGAAGCCGAGUAGUUUCUUAAAGAAGUGAGUUUGCCCAAAGUGGGAGUGGCAGAAUAACAUAUGGGUUCAGUGUCAAGAUAACUACACUCCUUAAGGAAAAGUGAGAGUGGUUUGGGAAAUUUAGUGGAUGGUGAUUCGGUCUACGAGAGUAAUUUGAAAUAUUGGCUAGCAUACUACAGGCGAUUUGACAUGGCGAAAAGGAGAUGCUUGAUAUGAAGAAGGAUAAAACAUAACUUUGAAAUAGGGAGAUAUUUUCAUGUAUUUUAGUGGAUGUCCACGAGGAAUGAACGGAUUCGUUUAGCUAGUGAAUGAGUAUAGGCUCAGUAUGGGUUAUUCAUUUCGUAGUAAUGGUGCAUUGCAGCGUUAUUGGAAGAUGACGACAUAAAAUUUCUACAAUAGGUUAUCUAUUGUGAGUAGAUCAGCGGUGGCGUGGUAGGCGAAACUUCUGCAAAGAAUCCUACUAGCUAUCUAGUAAGAAGUUGAAUAUGUGAAUAUUACUAGAGAUUCAGAGUGUUCAUGAAAUGCUAAUGGAAGGAUUUCGAGGAAUUUGGUGGCGGAUUGCGCAAGGUUAUGUCAAUGGGAGAUAAAGAAUCUUAGCGGGUUCUGGAGUUGUGUAAUAGUGGCUUCAAGUUAAGUGAGAGAGUCCCACCGCCUACGGUUGGAUUGCAUGGUUGUCUAUUCGUGAGAUUUCAGGUUAUUAGCAUAUGGAUGGGUUAUUUCAGCUAAGGGAAAGGAACAUAAGAGGUAAUUUGAGCAAAGGAAUUGUAAAAGGUGUGCUAUAGUUGGCCUUAUUGACUUAUGUUCAGACUUGGGGAAGGGUACAUGAUAUAUGCCUUGUGUAGAUACGGGUUUCAAGGAAAGUGAUUUGGCCAGGUGCUUCGUCGAGAGGGUGUUCAUGUGCUAGAAGAUUCAUGGAGUUGAUUAUAUUCGGGACCAAGUUAGACUGGGUGGCUCUCAGCAAUGGUCCUAGUGAAUUCAACGGAUUUAAAAAUGCGGAGCCUAAGGAUUCAAGCCCGCAGUAUGGUUAAGAAUCGAGCUUUUGUAGCAGAUUAUGAUAAGAGGCUCAGAAUGAUCUAUGAUAUUUUUGACUUGCACUGUAUUAUCGGGAGGAAAAAAGGAAAAAAAAUUCAGAUUAAUAGAGGGACUAUUAGAAUGGGUGCAUCAGUUGAAGAUGCGAAUGUGCGUGCAAGGAGGGUAUGAAGUGGUUCAUGGGUUUGGAGACAAUGUGGUCUCAUGGAAUGGGGUCACUUAAGAUGAGUGCGGAUUUAGGUUGGUGAUGUAAGGAAUGGAGCUAAUAUUAUCUCCAAGGAAAGUUAAGGAUGAAUUAGAGGAAGUUAGAUUGGCCAGCCAUGGUUGAAUUGGCAUAGUGGUGGCGGUGCUCGCGAGACUCAAUAGCCGCUGUAAUAGAUUAUAUUUGGAAAUAUUCAAGUAUUAUGGAAUGUUAUGUGUAGGAAUAUCCCGGAAGGGUUAUGGCAAUUUAGACCACUACUUGAGGAUUUGAAUGUUCUAAGGUUAUGAGAAGUUACUCGCAUGUUGCUAUGGUCCUCUUGGAAUGAGUUAAGUAUAAAGUUUCCAGGUGAAGAAGUGUUUACCAUAUUAGUGGUUUAGGAGUUAUGAUGAAGAUCUUGUGCUAUCGCAUAUUGGCAUGUUGGGUGCAGUGAGUGGUAUGGAAUUUGAAAGUGAGGAUCAAGGUUGCGGUUCAUUGUUGACAAGGAUGUCACGAGCUCGGAUAAGCAGGAAAGGGAUUUGAAUGUUUAGAGUAAGUUGGCAUUGUCUUCAAUGUCGCAUGGGAUCGGUGUUUUGUGAAAAAGGCUUUGCAUCCUGAUUAAGGAUUCUUGAUCUCUUUUUAGCGUUAGUGCGGCCAGUGGUAUGGAUGUACAAACCUAUAUCUGUUACGGAAGGUCGUGGGAGCGUGCCCCACAGAAACGUUGUAUAAGUGUGGCAUGUAGUCACUUGCUUGAUUGAAAAAUUAAACCUAGUAUAAAAAUUGUGGUGAUAUCGUUAAUUUGAGAAUUGAUGCCUGGAGGGCAUUAGAUUUAUUGGGUUGUGGACUGUGGAGGAUUACUCCGGUUAUGAUGGUUGUUCUUGUGUGUUAUGGGAAAAAGGGGGGGAAAGAUUAUGGACCUAGUUCGGUACGAUCAAAAUAGGCUUGAGGCCUGUGAAUGGAUUUAUGUAUGAAUAUGGGCUUUACAUCAGGCCGGAUGUGUUCAUUUCAGCAUAGUGCUCCUUAUGGAGGAGUAUUUGGACGUUGGAUGUUAUUUGGUCGUCGGCUAUUUCAUGUAAUGCUAUAUUGAGUCGUGCAAGUUGUGAACGACUCGAUAAUUUUCUUAUGUGUUGAGGUUCCGUGUAGCGAUGGUAUUAUGUGAGCAGGAUGACUCUUUAGUUUUAGAAUAUAUAUCACACCUCAGUUUUGCUUGAGUUUGUUAGCUUAUGGCACUAUAUGUCUCCCCAAGGAUGGUAUUAUGCACUUAGAGUGCUUGUGACCAAUAUUCGGUAUUUUGUUGUAAUGAGCAAUUUAGCUCGGUGUGUAUCUCCUUAUGUGAAUUUUAUGUGUGGAUCGGAUGGUACGCCGACAUGAGUAUGUUGUUUGGAUCGGGUUGCAUGCCGCAACAGUGUGAUGUUAAGUACAGUUCCCUAUACCUAUUUUUGUGUGUUUUGUUUUCCAUAUUCUGAGGAAAGUUUAUAUCAGUUGCGUGAGUUGAGUAGUCCCUUCCUAAGAUUAUUUUCCUUAUGUAUCACAUUAGAGCUUGUAGCCUAUUGGCACGUUACGACAUCAUAUGUGACUUUUAAUCAUGACCGCGGUGGCUAUUGCCUGAGCAGCUUAUACUGGGUGAGACGAGAUUAUUGGAUCUAAGAUCAGCGUGGUCAGAUUAUAUGAUGCAUAUUAAAGAACAAAGAUCAUUAUUUGGUUUAGAAUGAGAUAAUGGUUCUUGUUAGAAGUAGAGACUCAAUGAUUUGUUGACUUGGCAGUUGGUUAUAAAUUUAUACACAUCUCUUCUGUUGUGGCGGUAUUGCAAGAGCUAGAACAAGACUUAUAUAUAUAUCAUAAGGUGCGUUGUGAGCAUCAUAUUUGGGGAAUGUUGGUUAUUAUGAUCAAAGAAUGUUAUUAUGGUCCUAUGAGUGAUAUGGUGCAUGGUGAGAAUUCAGCAAAGGUAUGCAGUCAUGUUCUGGUACCUCGUGUAGUGAUUGACACGGUGUUCAUAUAUUAGAAGCAGUCCUGACGCAGAAUUUCAGAUGUUGGAAUUAGGCUCUAAGCUUAUUUGCUUGAAUAAAAUGGAAUAUCUUCAGAAUUGAUCGAGCUAAUGUGCUUAACUGGGUUGUAGAAGCACGGGUAGGUGCACGAUGUGUUAAACAGUGAUUUCGGACAACUCCAACGUAGUUCUUAGCACGUUCGAGGGAGAACAUAUGUUUAAGUUGGGAGAGAAUGUAAUGAUCUGACCGGUCGUUUUGAGCUCUAGCACGUCGUUCAGUGAUUUGAGGCCAUGAGCAGCUUCACUUCAGGUAUUAUGACUUGUACGCAUGGUCGGAGUUGAAUUCCGGGAAGUUCAGAGUUGAUUUGGAGAGAGAAUUCUCAUUUCAGAAGCUUUAAGUUGAAAGAAUUGACUAAGAUUGGAUUUUUAAGUAAAUGACCUCGAAAUCGUGAUUCGAAGGUUCCAGCAGGUUCGUAUGACAAUUUCAGACUUGGGAGUAUGUUCGGAUCGGGUUUUGGAAGACCCGGGAAUGUUUCGGCACCUAUUGUGGAAGUUAGCACUUUUGGAAAGAUUUCAUAAGUUUGGGUUCAAGUUCCUUUCAGUGUUAUCAAUGUUCGUUUGGGAUUCUGAGUCAGGGGAUAGCUCCGUAGGCGCUUCUGGUAUUCAAAGCGCGAUCGGAAGUGAAUUCGGAGGUUCGUAAGUCAUUUUGGAGUGAUUUGCCUAAAGAUAGAAAUUUGAAGGUUUUUGAGGAGUUUGACCGGAAGUGGACUUUUUGAUAUCGGGGUUGGAUUCUGAUUUCGAAAGUUGGAGUAGGUCUGUAAUGUCAAGUAUGACUUGUGCACAAAAUUUGAGGUCAAUCGGACAUGAUUUGAUAGGUUUAAGCAACGAAAGUCGAAGUUUGAAAUUUUAAAGUUCAUUAAGCUUGAAUUGGAGUGUGAUUCAUGAUUUCGACGUUGUUUGAUGUGAUUUGAGACCUUGAGCGAGUUCAUAUCAUGUUUUGGAUCAUGUUUGGUAUAAUUGGUUAAGGUCCCGAGGGCCUCUGGUGGAUUUUGAAAGGUUAACGGAAUGGAUUUCGGACAAAGAAAGCUGCUGAAAUUCUGUUGCAGAAGCUGUUCGCCAGAAACUUUCUGAUGCGAGGAGUCGAUUUUGGAAGCUCAUAUUUUGCCAUAUAUAAGGAAUCUGAAAAUUUGCAAAACAUCAAAGUUGUUUUCCUUGCAUUCUAGUUUCCAAAAAUAAACCAUUCAUCAUUUGGUUAUUUGUACAGAAUGGUAUAAUCAAUUGAAUGAAGGCUGGUAAAGCUUUUUUACAAUUUCCCCAGAAAUUUUUUAUGCGAGGAGCCUUUUUUGGAAGCAUAUAUCCCGAAAUCUAUAAGAAAUUUGAAAAUUUGCAACACAAGAAAGUUGUAGAUAUUUGAUUCUAGUUUCCAGUAAAUUAAACCAUGCAUCAUUCAGACAUUUAUACAUAAGGUUAUGGUUCGUUAAUAGUUCAUUUUUUGCCCAAAAAUCAGGCAAAGUCGAAUUUCAUACAUGCGACUUGCCUAGGCAGGAUGCCUAAAUACGGUAGUCAGCCAUUUUUUACUCAUUUUUGAGUUUUGAGUCUCGGAUUUGGGAUAUUUUUGGAGCUUUUGAAAGAGGGUUUCACCCAGUACUUUGAGCUAAGUAAUUUCUAUACAGCAUGGGUUUAAUACAUAGAUUAUGGAUAUAUUAACAUGUAAAAAUUAGUGAAAUCAAGGGUUUAUAUGAAAACCUAGGUUUUGUAUAAAAAUGAUAUUUGACCACGAAAAUGGUUAUGAAAUUUGGUAAUAAUCAUAUAUUUGACUUCAUAAGGUUAUGGGUAACAACUUUCUUCGAAAAUAUUCGAAAUCCGGGCACGUGGGCCUGGGAGUGAAUUUUAGGAAUCUUACAUUUAGGGUUGGAUAAUCACCUUAAUAGUUGGAAUAUGAAUUUUGAACAUGUACUGAUUAGUUUAUACACUAUUUCAUUAGUUUUGGAUUGUUCCGCACCAAAUUGAGGGUUUGAGGAUAAUCUUGGACAGGAAAGGGGGCUUCGGAGCGAGGUGAAUCUCCUUUCUAACCUUGUAAGAGGGAAUUGUCAACAUAGGUGAAUUAAUUGGAUAUGUGCUCCUAUUUGUGGGGGUUACAUACACACAAGGUGACGAGAGUCCGUGCGUAGCUACUAUUAUGCAUAAGUCUGGGUAGUCUAGGAACCAGUAGCAUGCUCUACUUGUAAUAUAUGGAAUCUUGUUGUCGAUUUAAAAUACUUAAAUCAUAUUGAAUUGGUAAAUAAAUUUCUAAAGGAAUUAAACAUCAUUUCUUAACCAUUAAAGAGAAUUGCUAUUUCUUUGGGUAAUUGUUUUUCCCUGAUGAAGUCUUGAUUGACUAUUUGAAUGCGUGUUUCUAUGUGUACCUGCGUCGCAUGUAUGAUUUGCGAGUGGGGUGAGUUUUUAUUUAUAUUUGACCACAUCGCAUGUAUGAUUCGCGAGCGGGGUAAUAGAUGCAUCUAUGGUUCGCGCCAUUCGACCCUCUGGCAGUGCACAAUUUAAAUAUUUGUUGGAUCGGGCCAUACGACCUCGACAUGAUUUAUGCAUGCUUAUAUUGCUUGGAUUGAAAUUCAUAGAUGUUAAUAUUUAUUUCUCCCUGUCCUGAGAUAAAUGCAUAAAUGAUAAAAAUAAAUUUGGGAAUUUCCUAUAAAUGAAAGAAUUGUUUACUUGCCUCAUGCUAUUUGAAGUUAUAGUCAAUUUUAUGAAAAUCCUCGAUUUAUAAAAUUAUUGGUGUAUUAUAAUUGGACCACUAGUAAGUAUCGAAGUCGACUUCUCGUCUCUACUUCUUCGAGAUUAGACGGGAUACUUACUGAAUACACGUUGUUUUUGUACUCAUGCUACACUUGUUGUGUAGUUUUGUUGCACAGGCACAUGUACCUCUAACGGCCUAAUGGGCGUAGAAGCAUGGAUGAUACGGAGACUUAGGUGAGCUGCAUCUCUCGAGGCGACCCAUAGCCAACAUAGUCUCUUUCAGUGUAUUGUAUUUAUUUCCUGUCCAAAUCUGUAUUGCGGGCAGUUAUUGUACUUCAUUUGAUUUCCUAGUGAUUGUUCAUGCACUUAUGACACUGGGAUGUGGAAUGAUUAUGGGAUAUUUAAUAUUAAAAGUUGUAAAUAUUUUUAUUUAUUCAGUGAUGAUUACCUUUUUACUAGUUGAAUUAAAGGAAAUUAUAGUUCCUAAAAUAUUAAAAUGAGAGUUUAAUUAAUUACUCAAUGUUGGCUUGCCUGACCGAGGUGUCCGGUGCCAUCACGGCCUUCGAUGGAUUUUGGGUCGUGACAGCUGUAGAUAUGUAAUUUUUGACCCUCACCAAAAUUUUACAUUUUUAGCAUUUAAAUAGUUAGUUUAGGUCUAAUAUCGCUAUUUUAACUAGUUUUGACCCUUUUACUUUAUUUUAUCACAAAAAUGAAAAUUACAAAAAUAUUUGCUCUUGUUUAGCUAAUUGAUAUUUUACUUAGUUACUUUUAGUUUAUCUACCUUUCUUAAAAUUAAAAAAUAUAUACAAAAACAAUUUCACUUUUAGUAUUUAGUUUUAUUCUAGUAAUUUAUUUUAAUUAGGAAUGGUUUCACAAUUUUAUAGUUAUUAUUUUAGGAAUUAAUGUUUUUAGUCUAGUAGAGUUAAAGGGCCACUUUAAAGGUAAAUUUUGGCCAAAACUCGGCCCAAUUCGAAUCUAGCCCAUAAAUCCAAGCUCAUUUACCCAUUCCCCUCUUAUAUCUUAAUUAAAAAAAUAACCCUAGUCAAAAAGACCCAUGAGCCGUUUCUAUCAUCUUAAAUACCUUACACACCCUAAGCUUCCUCUUCAUCACAAAAAACACCAUGGCAGCAACUCCUUCUCCAAAAAAACCAUCAGCCGCAACACACAAAAACCUAGAGACAACCACCUCUCCUAACUCAUGUACACAUCUGCCACACCCCUACUUCCUUGGACUACGCCGGUGACCACUCUCAAACUCCCCAUAGCGAUCAGAUCUAGAUGAUUUGACUUGAAAGCUCCAUGUUUGGCCAAACUCUGACGAUCUCUCUUUAUUCUAUGCCGCAGUUGCCUCAUUUAUUUGCACCACUGCUCGUCGCUGUGGAAAUAGCAACGAGUGUGUGCGAUUUUCUGAUUUUCGACGGAAUUUCAGAUCCGGCUGGUUUUUUUUACUUUCCGGCGAGUUUUGAGGCUGAAGAGUCGAGGUAUGUCUGUGUUUCAUCAACUUCCGGCAAGCUCUAAAGUCGAAGUUCCAUUGGUCUUGGUCGCGUCCCCAUCCGAUUCUGGAGCUGUAAAUCAGCUAAGCUCAGAUUCAUUUUUGGAGAGGCUUGUUUUUUGUUUGUUUUGGUUCUACUAUAAUCAGGUAUUACUUUUGACUAGUAUGAUGCAAAUAUUAUGUUCCGUUGAAUGAAGAUUAUAUGAGCUCUCCUCUAUUUAAAUUUGUUUCAAAUUCUAGAUUUGUGUAGAUAUUUACCUUGCUUAAAUGCUAUAUUGCUAUUUGAAAUGUCUAUUCAUGGUGUGAGAUGCCUAUCAAGAAUUUUAUUUAUUAAAUUAUUGUUAAGAUGAAAAGGAAUCACGUUGGCAGUUGGUAAAAAUGUUGUAUCACUUUGCUUGGACAUGAUGUGUAAAUUAUGUCAGUAAUGAUUCUACCAAAUGAAGGUUUAGGCUCAUGAGGAUCUGAUUUGUUAAGUUGGUUUGCCUUGUUUAAAGCAUCAAUCUGUUGUAGUUAGUUCGAUCAGCUAUGUCUUCUAUGGCUCUGUUGAGGUUGGACAAGUUCACCAAGAUUUUUCUGGUUCAUUAUAGUAGGGCAGCUUCUGAGGACCCACGGGAUUAUCUUGACCACUGCCAUGAGAUGUUGCGGAACAUGGGGAUAGUAGAGACCAAUUAGGUCAACUUUGCUGUAUUCCAGAUGUUAGGGCCCGCCAAGAGAUGGUGAAAUGAUUUUGUGUUGACUAGACCAACUAGGUCGCAUGCCUUGACUUGGGACCAGUUCUCUCAGCUAUUUCUCGAGAAGUUCCUUCCUAUCAUUUAGAGAGAGGACUAUCGCAGGCGGUUCAGGCAUCUUCACUAGGGUUUUGUGACUGUCACUUAGUACGAGACUAGGUUUGUUGAUUUGGCCCGUCAUGCUCUUCUUAUACUUCCUACCGAGAGAGAGAGAGAUAGAGAGAGAGAGAGGAGGAGGUUUAUUAAGGGACUCACUCAGCCUAUCAGAUUGCAGAUGGCUAAGGAGGCAAGGAGCGAGAUUUCUUUCCAGGAUGCGGCCAGUGUGGCCAGGCGAGUUGAGAUUCUUUUGGUAGAGGCUGUUCUCCCAAGCCGUUUCAUUCAGCACUUCAGGCUUUUCACGGUGUUUCAGGUGGUCAUAGCUCUCAUAUGCAGUAUUCCGAUCAGUUAGCCUACAGUGUACCACCAGCUCCUAUCAGUGCACCUCCACUCUAGGGUUUUCAGGGUGGUUACCCAAGCCGUCAAGGUUAGUUUCAGUGUCAGCAGUCUCAACAGUCAAGGUUUUGUUAUACUUGUGGUGAUCUGAGGCACGGUGAUAGAUUAUUCCCUCGAGCAUCGAGUAGUUCUCAACAUUAGGGUUAUCAUGCCAUGGUUCUGGCACCAGGUGUUCCACCUCCUGCUCAGCCAGCUAGGGUAGGGGUCAUAAAGCUAGAGGUAGAGGUCGAGGUAUUAGAGGUGGAGGUCAGGCCACGAGAGGUGAAGGCCAGCCAACAGGAGGUCGUCCUAGGAAGUAGUUCAGAGUGGUGGGCCCCAGACCCGAUGUUAUGCUUUCCCAUCCAGGCCUAAGGCUGAGUCAUCCGAUGUUAUUGUCACAUGUACUAUUUUAGUUUGCAGUAGAGAUUCUUCAGUUCUACUAUGUGUCAUCUUAUUUUGCUACAUAUUUGGUUGUGCCUUGUUAUUCUUUGAGUGCUCUUGUAUAUGUGUCCACACCGGUGGGUGAUUCUAUUAUUGUAGAUCGUGUUUGUCGCUCGUGUGAGGUUAUUAUUGAGGGACUUGAGACUAGCGUAGAUCUUCUACUUCUCGAUAUUGUUGAUUUUGAUGUCAUUUUGGGGAUGGAUUGGCUGUCACCUUACCAUGAUAUAUUGCACGGUCACGCUAAGACCGUGACCUUAGCCUUGCCGGUGUUGCCUCAAUUGAAGUGGAUAGGGACUCCUAGUCAUUCUACCAGUAAUGUUAUCUCUUAUAUGAAGGCUCGGCGUAUGGUUGAGAAAGGGUGUUGGCUUAUUUGGCUUAUGUUUGUGAUUCUAGUGCGGAGGUUCCUUCCAUGGAAUCUGUAAUAGUUGUUCAUGAGUUUCCAGAGGCAUUUCCUAUAGAACUUCCGGGGAUGCCACCCAACAGGGAUAUUGACUUUUGCAUUGAUUUGGCUCAGGGCACUUAGCCCAUUUCUAUUCCGACGUACUACGCUGCCCCGCCAGAGUUGAAAGAAUUAAAGGAGAAGUUGUAAGAUUUGAUAGAUAAGGGGUUUAUUAGACCUAGUGUGUCGCCCUAUGGUGUGCCGGUGUUGUUCAUAAAGAAUAAGGAUGGGUCGAUGAGGAUGUGCAUAGACUAUCGAUAGUUGAACAAAGUCACCAUGAAGAACAAGUAUCCAUUGCCAAGGAUUGAUGACUUAUUUUAUUAGCUUCAGGGUGCCAAGGUGUUUUCAAAGAUCUAUUUGAGGUAUGGCUACCAUCAGUUGAGUAUUAUGGCAUUCGAUGUCCCUAAGACAGCUUUUCUCACUCGGUAUGGGCGUAUGAAUUUCUAGUGAUGUCAUUUGGGCUGACAAAUGCCCCAACAACAUUUAUGGAUUUAAUGAACCGGGUAUUCAAGACCUAUCUGGAUUCAUUCCUGAUUGUUUUUAUUAAUGAUAUCAUGAUCUACUCCCGCAGUCGAGAGGCGCAUGAGCAACAUCUUCGGAUCGUUCUUCAGACUCUAAGAGACAACUAGUUAUAUGCUAAGUUUUCGAAAUGUGAGUUCUGGUUGAGUUCAGUGGCAUUCUUAGGUCAUAUUAUAUUAGCAGAGUGUAUUAAAGUGGAUCCUAAGAAGAUUAUGCAAUCAAGGACUGGCCUAAACCCUCAUCAGCUACAGAGAUCCGGAGUUUCUUGGGUUUGGCGAGUUAUUACCAUCGGUUUGUGGAGGGGUUUUCAUCUAUGGCAACCCCGAUGACCAGGUUGACCCAGAAGGGUGCCCCAUUUCGGUGGUCGAAUGAGUGUGAGGCGAGCUUUCAGAAGCUCAAGACUACUUUGACUACGGCACCGGUGUUAGUGUUUAGUACAGGUUCAGGGCCUUAUACAGUGUAUUGUGAUGCAUAUCGUAUUUGACUUGGUGCGGUGUUGAUGCAGGGUGACAAGGUUAUUGCAUAUGCUUCACGAUAGUUGAAGACUCACGAGAAGAAUUAUCCAGUUCAUGACUUGGAACUAGCAGCCAUUGUUCACGCGCUGAAGAUUUGGAGUAUGGUGUGUCAUGUGAGGUGUUCACGGAUCAUAAAAGUUUGCAGUAUUUGUUCAAGAAGAAGGAGCUCGAUUUGAGGCAAAGGAGAUGGUUAGAUCUAUUGAAAGACUAUGAUAUCACCAUCUCGUAUCAUCCCAUAAAGGCCAAUGUGGUGGCCGAUGCUUUGAGUAGGAAGUUAUCUAGUUUGGGUAGCCUUGCGUAUAUUCCAAUAGGUGAGAGACCGCUUGUUUUAGAUGUUUAGGCUUUAGCCAAUUAGUUCAUGAGGCUGGAUGUUUUUGAGCCCAGUCGUAUUCUAGCUUGUACAGUCGCUCAGUCUUAUUUGUUUGAGCGUUUCAAGGAGUGGCAGUAUGAUGAUCCUCAUUUGCUUGUCCUUAGGGACACAGUGCGACACAGUGAUGCCAAGAAGGUUACUAUUGGAGAUGAUAGAGUUUUGGUGAUGCAGGGUCGAGUUUGUAUGCCUAAUGUGGAUGGACAUCGUGAAUUGAUCCUGGAGGAGGCUCAUAGUUCCUGGUAUUCUAUUCAUCUGGGCACCGCUAAGAUGUAUCAGGACUUGCAGAAACAUUAUUGGUGGAGGAGGAUGAAGAAAUAUAUCGUUGCGUAUGUAGCUCGAUAUUUCAAUUGUCAGUAAGUAAAGUACGAGCUUCAGAGACAUGGUGGUUUGCUUCAGAAGAUUGAUAUUCCUGAGUGGAAGUGGGAGCGUAUUGCUAUACAUUUUGUUGUUGGACUCCCACGGACGUAGAGGAAGUUUGAUGCUAUAUGGGUUAUUGUGAAUAGGCUGACCAAGUCAGCACAUUUCAUUCCUGUAGCAGUUUCCUAUUCUUCGGAGCGAUUGGCAGAGAUCUAUAUAUGUGAGAUCGUUCGUCUUCAUGGUGUGCCCGUGUCUAUCAUUUCGGAUCAAGGUACAUAGUUUACCUCGCAUUUCUGGAGGGUAUUACAGCAUGAGUUGGGUAAGCGGGUCGAGUUGAGCAAAAUAUUUCAUCCUCAGACAGAUGGGUAGUCCGAGCAUACUAUUCAAAUUUUGGAGGAUAUGCUACGCACCUGUGUUACUGACUUUGGAGGUUUUUGGGAUCCGUUCUAGCCAUUAGCGGAGUUUGCCUACAACAACAGUUAUCAAUCGAGAACCCAAAUGGCUCUCUAUGAGGCAUUAUAUGAUAGAUGGUGUCGAUCGCGGUUGGGUGGUUUGAGCCGGGGGAGGCGUUAUUGGGAAUAGAUUUAGCGUAGGAUGCCUUGGACAAGGUUAAGGUAAUUCAGGAUAGACUUCGUACAGCUCAGUCCAGGCAAAAAUGUUAUGCCGACCGGAAGGUUUAUGAUGUGGAAUUCAUGGUCUAAGAGAGAGUGUUAUUUCGAGUUUCAUCCAUGAAGUAUGUGAUGUAGUUUGGGAAGAAGGGAAAGUUAAGUCCUAGGCUCAUCGGGCCUUUUGAGAUCCUUGAUCGAGUGGGGGAGGUGUCCUAUAGACUCGCAUUGCCACUAGUCUUAUCAUCGGUACAUCCAAUAUUUCAUGUGUCCAUGCUUCGAAAGUAUCAUGGCGAUCCAUCCCAUGUGUUAGAUUUCAGCAUUGUCCAGUUGGACAAUGAUUUGACCUACGAGUAGGAGUCGGUAGCCAUUCUAGACCGGCAGGUUCGUUAGUUGAGAUCGAAGAUUUAUCCUUCGGUUCAUGUGAAGUGGAGAGGUCAGCCUAUUGAGGCAGCUACCUGGGAGUCCGAGUCUGAUAUGCGGAGCAGAUAUCCCUAUCUUUUCCCUAGCUCAAGUACUUUUCUAUUUUCAUUCGAGGACGAACGAUUGUUUUAGAGGUGGAGAAUGUGAUGACCCGAAAGGUCAUCUUGUGUUUUAGAACCCAAUUUGGGGUUUCGAGGCUCUCAAAACCUUAUCUUAUUUCUCCUCGAUUUGCGUGUGCAGUCUAGGCGCAUUUCUCGAAAGCCUUUAUGUGAAAAUUUUAGAAAAUAAUAAGUUUUUCCUUUAAAAGUAAAUUUUAGUUGACUUCGGUUAACAUUUUUAGUAAACGGACCCAGACCUGUGUUUUGACGGUCCUGAAGAGUCUGUAGUAAAAUAUGGGACCGGGGCGUAUGCCCGGAAUCGAAUAUUGAGGUCCCUAGCCCGAAAAAUGAUUUUUUGAUGAAAAUUGUUAAACUGAAAUUAUAAUAGUUUUGAGAAAAUGGUUAAUAGUUGAUUUCAUUGGUAUCGGGUCCGUAUUUUGGUUCCAGAACUCGGUAAAGGUCCAUUAUGAUAUUUAUAACUUAUAUGUGAAAUAUGGUAAGAAACAGAACUGAUUUGACGUGAUUCAGACCCUUUGUUGUGAAAACAGAAGUUUUGGAACUUUCUUGAAAUUCAUGCAAUUUGGGUUGGAGCCCUGAGGGCUCGAGUGAGUUUCGGAUAGGCUACAGAGUGAUUUGGAACUUAGAAAUUUUGCUGGUAUAGCUGAACUUAUUGCAGGCCUCAGACCUAGCAAAUGCAAGGUUAAGGUUCAUAUUUGCUACAACUGAUGAGGUCGCAUUUGCGAGCUUCUCAUCGCAAAUGAAAAGAGAAGAUGGGCCAGCCCAUGUUCGCAAAUGUGAACAACACUUCGCAUUUGCGAAGUGAGUCUGCGGGAGGGACUUUCGCAUUUGCGACAGCAGCAGAAAUGCGACAGGUUCGCAUUUGCGAGCUUCGCAAAUGCGAAGCUCAGGUCGCAAAUGCGAUAUCUGCAACUGAUAUGUUUGGACUUAGACGGGAUAUUUCAAAACCUAAACUUCAAGAGGUGAUUUUCCAUGGGCUAGUUUAUCCAAAUCACAGGUAAAUGAUUCUUAACUCAUUUCUUUAAAUCUAUUACAUCUUUUCACAAGAUUUCAUUCUAGAAUAUAGGUUUUUCAUGGUGGAAUUGGAUGUUUUUUGGAUAGAAUUUGGGAAUUUCGAAAUUUGGGGAUUUAGACCUCAAAUUGAGGCUCGAGGGGUGAAUGGGUAAUCGUCGAGUCAUAGCAUGCGAGAUAGUCUUAUUCUUGUAACUGUUGUACUCUUUGAUCAUAUAUUUCAUGUUUAGACUUGUUAUUCCAUGUGUUGAACAACUCUUAUCAUGUUUUAUGAAGUUUGGUACUGAUUGAGUAUUAACUCAGAGUUGAGACUGGUAUUGUGGAUUUAAAUGUUGAAGUAAGACUGGUUCUUGAUAAUUAUAUCUCCGUGUUGUUAUUGUUCAUUGUUUUAGUGAGGGAUAGUGUUAAAACACUAAGGGUAAUGCCGUGCAAUGCAUUGUAAUUGAGUAAUAAUGCAUGAAGGGUGAUGCCGUGUCGUAUCCUGUGAGUGAUAAUGCACAAAGGGUAAUGUCGUGCCAUGUUAUGAGAGAGUUAAUGCACGAAAGGUGAUGUCGUGCCGUUUCUAUUAUUUCUUAUGGUAAGGACAAGAGUAAAAGUAGGAAAGGUGAUGCCGUGCUUUUGUUUUCUAUGUUAUUACUUUCGUUGGUGUUAAGCAUGUUAUUUACUGCGUUUCCUUACUAUACUAUUUCAGGAUUUUAUAUUCCCCUCAACAUGUUUCUCCCCCUUCUCGUUAAUAUUUGCUUAAAUUUCUAUUUGUUGUUAUCUUCUCAUAUAUGAUUUAAUUGCAUAGGUUCAUAUUAUUGUCGUGUCCUUGUCUCGUCACUACUUUAUCGAGGUUAGGCUCGGCACAUACUAGUACAUGGGGUCGGUUGUACUGAUACUACACUCUGCAUUUUUUGUGCAGUUUUCGAGACUAGACCGCGUAGAUCAGAGCUGGGUUGCUACCUUCAGUUCAACAAAAGAUCCAAGGUAGAUCUGCUGGCAUUCACAGACACUGGAGUCCCUUUCCAGUUAUCCUGGUUUCUCUAUUUUAUUUUAUUUUGGAACAGAUGUAUUUUCUUCAAACCAGUAUUUGUAGUGAAUCUUAGAAGUUCGUGGAUUGUGACACCAGAUUCUGGGUAACCAUGUAUUAGUACUUAGAUUAUUAUGAAUUUUCGCACUUCUUACUCUGUUUUGGUUUAAUUACUGUUAUUUACCAUUUUGGAUAAUGGUUAGCAUAUUAAAUCUUUUUGUUGGCUUGCCUAGCAUUCUGAAAAGUUAGGCUCCAUCAGGAUCCCGACGAUGGGAAAUCCGGGUCGUGACACCUCAGCGAUGGGUGAGGAUGAUGUCUUCAAAACAAUGCUUUAGAUAUUUAUGACUAAUCAAUGAGAUAAGCACAAAAAUUAAGUAAUAGUAAUACAAACUAACCAAAUUCGGUGGAAGCUCCUCAGCAUCCCUCGAUGAAUAUGAGCCUUAACUAAUUCGAUGCCUACUAUCCAUAUCUCAUACCGGACGAGCAUCAGCAACCGUCGAUGCCUAUGGAUGGUCAGAAAACAAUGCAUCCCAGUCAUGUGAGGUAAAGGUUGUGCCGACAAUCGACAAUGGAGCUGACGAGGUCACCUGCAAAGUCCCUGGAGUAAGCCUUGUAGACAUGUAAUUUUUGACCCUCCCCAAGAUUUUACAUUUUUAGCGUUUAAAUAGUUAGUUUAGGUCUAAUACCGCUAUUUUAACUAGUUUUGACCCUUUUACUUUAUUUUAUCACAUAAAUAAAAAUUACAAAAAUAUUCGCUCUUGUUUAGCUAUUUGAUAUUUUAUUUAGUUACUUUUAGUUUAUCUACCUUUCAUAAAAUAAAAAAAAUAUAUACAAAAAUAAUUUCACUUUUAUUUUUUAAUUUUAAUCUAGUAAUUUAUUUUGAUUAGGAAUGAUUUCACAAUUUUAUAGUUAUUAUUGUAGGAAUAAAUAUUUUUAGUCUAGUAGAGUUAAAGAGCCACUUUUAAAGGUAAAUGUUUGCCAAAAUUCGGCCCAAUUCGGAUCUAGCCCAUAAAUCCAAUCCCCUUUACCCAUUCCCCUCUUAUAUCUUAAUUAAAAACUAACCCUAGUCAAAAAGACCCUUGAGCCGUUUCUAUCAUCUUAAAAACCUUACACACCUUAAGCUUCCUCUUCAUCACAAAAAACACCAUAGUAGCAACUCCUUCUCCAAAAAAACCAUCAGCCGCAACACACAAAGACCUAGAUAUAGCCACCUCCCCUAAUUCAUAUACACAUCUACCGCACCCCUACUUCGUUGGACCACGCCGAUGACCACUCUUAAACCCCCCAUAUCGAUCAGAUCUGGAUGAUUUGACAUGAAAGCUCCAUGUUUGGCCGAACUCCAACGAUCUCUCCUUGUUCUAUGCCGCAGCUACCUCAUUUAUUCGCACCGCUGCUUGUCGCUGUGGAAAUAGCGGUGUGUGUGUUCGAUUUUCUGAUUUUUGCCAGAAUUUCAGAUCCGGUUGUUUUUUUUUACUUUCCGGCGAGUUUCGAGGUAGAAGAGUCGAGGUCUGUCUGUGUUUCAUCGACUUUCGGCAAGUUCCGAAGUCGAAGUUCCAUUGGUCUUGGUCGCGUUUCCAUCAGACUCUGGAGCUGCAAAUCAGCUAAGCUCAGAUUCAUUUCUGGAGAGGCUUGUUUUUUGUUUGUUUUGGUUCUACUGUAAUCAGGUAUUACUUUUGACUGGAAUGAUGCAAAUAUUAUGUUCCGUUGAAUGAAGAUUAUACGAGCUCACCUCUAUUUAAAUUUGUUUCAAAUUCUAGAGUUGUGUAAAUGUUUACCUUGUUUAAAUGCUAUAUUGCUAUUUGAAAUGUCUAUUCAUGGUGUAAGAUGCCUAUCAAGAAUUUUAUUUAUUAAAUUAUUGUCAAGAUGAAAAGGAAUCACGUUGGCAGUUGGUAAAAAAGUUGUAUCACUUUGCUUGGACAUUAUGUGUAAAUUAUGUCAGUAAUGAUUCUACCAAAUGAAGGUUUAGGCUCAUGAGGAUCUGAUUUGUUAAGUUGGUUUUCCUUGAUUAAAGCAUCAAUCUAUUGUAGUUAGUUCGACCUGAAGUAAUUGAGUUAGCAUGUAGUUGAAGAAAGAGUGUUAGUUCAUAAAAUUGCUUGUUAAUUGUAAGCAGAUUUCGAAUGUCAGUCUUUAUAAAUAAUUCUGUAUUGUGUUGAAAUUUGAAAAUCAUAUGUGUUUGCCAUAUAACUCGUUAGUUCCAUGUUGUGCUGGGCGAUUGGAGUUCGGAAGAAAAUCUAAUGAAUGCUUUGAAAAUUAUUGGGCCUGUUAAUAGGCCCAAACAAGGUUUUUGUUACCAUCGACUUCAUGCCUUUAUUGUCGUACCCAAGUAUGGGUUCAAACAUAUUUCAAGAGUUUAAAUUGUUACUGUCAAAAUUUUAUAUUUUAUUUCUCUAAAUACAAUUUUGCUCACAGAUGAUUCCACAAUAAAUCAUUUCAUAACUUUGGCCUCGCAAUAAUCUCAAAUUAGUUUAAUAAGAAAAAUAAUAUCCAUAAACAUCGUAGCUUCCUUUAGAUGCUAUUAAUAAAUCAGCGUGACUGUGGGUACGGUUCUUGUGACAUGGUUAUGAUACGUAAUUCCCAAAGUCGGGUGCAUAUUUCAUGUGACCUGACCCCAACUUCGAAUAUUAAUAAAAUACAUGUGUUGCAGAUUGUGGGUACGGUUCCCGUGACACGAUUCGCAACAUGUACAAAAACAAACAAGUGUACGACAAUCGUAACUUAUUCCAGAAAUAAAUCCAUAAAUAAUUAAAAGCGGUUGAAAAGCUAAAAGUGCACAAUAAUUAUAAAAUAUGUAAUUAAUCAGAUAAUUAGGCCAAUUAAUAAUAGUUGAAUGACCGUGCUAAAACCACAGAACCCGGGAAUGUCUAACACCUUCUCCCAGGUUAACAUAAUUCCUUACCUGAAUUUUUGUGUUUCGCGGACUGUAAAACAGAGUCAAACUUUUUCGAUUCGGGAUUUUAAACCGGUGACUUGCGACACCAUAAAUUAUCCCAAGUGGUGACUCUGAAUUUGAAUAAAUAAUCCUAUUUCGGUUUUGUCACUUUAAUUGGAAAAACUCCCCUAUACCCUUUCGGGUAGAAAAAGGAGGUGUGACAGCUCUGGUGUGAUGACCCGGCCAGUCGUCUUAAGAAUUUACGCCUCGAUCCCCUAUUAACUGCCUUCCCCGAGUUUAUUUCUACUAUUUUGAUUUACCGGGAUAUACGGUUUUGAAUUUCGGAGAGUUUUGGGACACUUAGUCUCUAAAUGAGAGUUUAAGUAUUGGAAAUUUGACCGUAGUCAGAACACUGUGAAGAUGGCCUCAGAAUGAAAAUCUGAUAGUUCCGUUAGCUCCAUUUGGUGAAUUCAGGCAUAGGGGCUUGUUCGGAUUGUGUUUUGGAAGUCCGUAGCUAAUUUAGGCUUGAAAUGCCGAAAGUUGAAUUUUUGAAGUUUCCGGUCUGAUAGUAAGAUUUUUAUCCAAGGGUCGGGAUGAAAUUCCGGAAGUUGGAGUAGCUCCGUAGUGUUGAAUGUGACGUUUGUGCAAAAUUUCAGGUCUUUCGGACGAGGUCUACUAGACUUUUUUAUAGAAUGCAUAUUUUGAGAAAAUUUGGAGUUCUUAGGCUUAAAUCCUUGGUUAAUUAGAGGUUUUGAUAUUGGUACAAGUUUGGAUGGUUUUUUGUGACUUGUUGGUGUCUUUGGUUUAGGUCUCGGAGGCCUCGGGAUGAAUUUGAAUGGUUGACGGAAAGAUUUUGGAUUUUAAGUUGCAGCUUCAGCUGCUGGUGCUAUCAUAGCCACACCUGCGGUUUGGGUUCCGCAGGUGCGACACCGUAGAUGCGGCUCAGCGAACGUGGGGGCGGAGUUGUGGAGUAGCAGUAGGUUCCGCAGAUGCGGGUAGUUAACCACAGAAGCAGUACCGCACAUGUGGAUAGUAAAUCGAAGGUGCGGCAGUUAGACCGUAAGUGUAAGUCAUAGAUGUGACCAAUUAUUCCGCACAUGCGGGACCGUAGAAGCAGUCCCAAAGCCACAGAUGCGUAAACUGCUGGGUAGAUUAUUUUAAAAGGGGUUCCGCGACUUUGGGGUUUAUUUCAACAUUUGUAUCACUGCUUGGGAGCUUUUCGAACAAUUUGAAAGAGGGAUUUUAAGGGAACUUCAUUGAGGUAAGGAAUUUGGAGCUAAAACUUGUUCCUAUGAUAUUAUUUCACGGAUUAAAGCUAGAAAUCAUGGAAAUUAAGGGUGAAAAAUUGGGGAAACUAGGGCUUAGUAUUGGAGAACUUUGAGUAAUGAUUUGAGGGACCAUUUGAGGUCCGAUUUUGGUAACUUUGGUAUGCAUGAACUCGUGAGAGUGUGUGGUUUCUUAAAAUAUAAAUUUUACCCGAUUCCGAGACGUGGGCCCAAGGGGCAUUUUGGUCAUUUUACAUAAUUUCACAUAUUAGCUUAGAAUUUCUUUGUAGAAUCCGUUACUUGAAGUGUUAUUUACAUUAUGCAAUUGAAUUGAAUAGAUUUGGGCCAUUUGGAGUUGAGUACUCGUGGCAAGAGCGUGGGUUUGGAUUGAUUAUUGAGCCGUUUCGAGGUAAGUGGCUUGUCUAACCCUGUGUGGGGGACCUUCCCCUUAGGAUUCAGUAUAUUUGAUAUUUGAAACACCUUGUGCAUGAGGUGACGAGUUUGUACUUGAAGCUAAUCUUUAAAAAUCCGAUUUUCUUUACGUAAUUUCAAUUGUGUUCCUUUUCUUGUUUCAUUUUACAUGCAAUUUAAACCUGUUGUUAGCUUAGAAAGAGUAUGCCUAAUUGACUUAACUAUUUAUUUGCUUAACCUGCCUUAAUUGCAUUACAUGAAGCAUGUUAGGCUAGAAUCAAAUGUUUACUUGGUAUGGAAUUGUCUUUAAAUUGAGUAUUCUUGUGUUGCUUCUGUGUAUUUUUAAAUUGGGACUACGAGACGGCAGCUCGGGAGAUCCCCUGUAUGAAAUUAUGAUCUCGACUGAGGUGCGGGAUACCAAGAGAUCCCUGGCAAGUAUAUUGAGGAUACCAAGAGAUCCCUAACAUAUAUUGAGGAUACCAAGAGAUCCUCGGGAUACCAAGAGAUCCCUUGUAUACAUAGAGGAUACCCAGAGAUCCCCCGGUUAUCCUCCUUGUUAUGAGUGGUAUUUCCUCGCAUUUUGUCUUAAUCUUUAUUUUUGUUAUUGUACUCUUAUUAUCUUGUACAGAUUCUUGCUGUAGAUUCUUAAUUGUAAUGCUUAUCUUAUCCUGUCAUCUUAGUAUUUAUUUCAUUAAUCUCAGUAGGGCCCUGACAUUCCUAGUCACUACCCCACUGAGGUUAGAUUUGACACUUACUUAGUACUGUUGUGGAGUACUCAUGCCCCUUCUGCCCAUGUUUUUCAUGUGCAGAUCUAGGUACUGCUACUCAGGCCUACCAUCUUUGAGGGAGGCGACUGCUUAGAGACUUCCAGGUACAUCUGUCGUGCCCGCAGACCGAGAAGUCCCUUUCUAUUCCUGCUUUUAGUAUUUAGCCUUUUUGUAUUUCCCCUCUUAUUAGACAUUCUGGAGUUAGAGUUAUGUAAUAUUUUUCUUAGCUUGUGAUUCGUGAGUUUCCGGGUCUUGGAUCUAUGUAUUGGUAUUGAGAGUUAAACAUGGUGUAUAUCGAGCAACACCUUUAAAACAUUGUUAUUACUUUAGUUCUGUUUUAAACUAUUUUACUUCCACAAAUUUGGUUUUUCUUCCGCAACUUAGGCUUACCUAGUCGUAGAUACUAGGUGUCAUCAUGAUGGUUCACAGAGGGCGAACCGGGGUCAUGACAAGUUGAUAUUAUAUCUCUAGGUUCACAGGAGUCAUGGAUCACAAGCCGAUUUAUUAGAGUCCCGCUGAUCGGUACGGAGACGUUUGUACUUAUCUACGAGAGACUAUGUAAGUGUUAGGAAAAUUUCCACUUCAUUUGAUUUCCUUGUCGUGCGAUAUUUUGACAUCACAAUUCUAAACUUCUAUAUUCUAUUCUCUCACAGAUGGUAAGGACACGUGCUACCUAAGAUGAUCAGGCACCCGCGCCCCUACUGUAGCCGUUAGAGGCUGCAACCAGGGUAGAGGACACGGGCGGGGUAGAGGCCGAGGAUGCGCACGUGGUGCAGAAAGAGCACCUGCGCGAGCUACCACCAAGGUACCACCAGUAGUUCUAGCCGGAGUCCAGGCACCUGACACGCCUACUGCUACUACUACUCCAGCUUUUCAGGAGACUGACACAGUUCAUGAGCAUGUACACCAUUUUGGCUCAGGCAGGGUUGCAUCCCCUUACUGCAGCUGCAUCUCAGGAAGGGGGAGGAGCACAGACUCCCGCCACCCGCACUCCUGAGCAGCGAGUGCAUGUUGAGCAGGUCCCUGAGAUUAUUCCUGUACCGCCUACAGUGCCAGUUCAGCCUGAGGUCAGGGUAGCAGNNNNNNNNNNNNNNNNNNNNNNNUUAUUCAGUGGUCUAGAAUAGGAGGAUGCUCUGGGAUUUCUAGAUGAGUGUUACCGCAUUCUCCACACCAUGUGUAUAAUAGGAUCGAGCGGGCUUUCCCUCACUACCUUCCAGCUUCGAGGAGCUGCCUAUGAGUUAGACAGUCCAGAUGAGGCUGCUUCACUGACUUGAACUCAGUUUUCAUAUCUGUUCCUGAGGGAGUAUGUUCCUCAAAGCCUCAGGGACGCAUGGCGCAUAGAGUUUGAGCAUUUGUACCAGGGUACUAUGACUAUCUCAGAGUAUGCUGUCUGUUACACCAGUUUGGCUAGGCAUGCACCAACCUUGGUUUCUACUGUUCGCUAGAUGGUUCGUCGGUUUAUUGAGGGCCUUAUUCCCAACAUCAAGUCUAGCAUGGCUCGUGAGUUGGAGAUGAAUAUUUCUUAUCAGCAGGUGGUGAGCAUUGCUAGGAGGAUUAAGGGUAUGCAUGCUAGGGAGAGGGAGGACAAGAGGUCUCGAGAGUCGAGCCAUUUCUCUGGCGCCCGUGCCCCAACUGUAGGUCGUCAUGGUAUGGGUUAUAUGAGUCGCCCUGUUCAUUUAGCUCUUCCAGCAGCCAGUGGUAUUCUAGCUUCUCCUAGGCCUCAGGAGCCUUAUUAUGCACCUCUAAUUUCUAACGCGCCUCCUGCGCGGGGUGUUUUCAGGGUUCAGUCCAGCAAACCUGGCCCGAGACAGUCAUAGCCGCCACAUCCUCCUAGAGCUUGUUUUGAGUGUGGUGACACACGCCACGUGGUGAGGGAUUGCCCUAGACUUGGGAGGAGUGCACCACCACAGACUUCUUAGCCACAACAUGCCCUAGAGAGUUUUCAGGCUAUGGUUAUUGCUUCAGUUGCUACCCCACCUACUCAACCAGCCAGAGGUGGAGGUCGGGGAGGUAAAUGUCACCCUAGAGAGGGAGGCCAAGCCCGAUACUAUGCCCUUCCUACCCGUACUGAGGCUGUUGCCUCCGAUUCUGUCAUCAUAUGUAUUAUACUGGUUUGUCACAAAGAUGCAUCGGUUCUAUUCGAUCCAGCCUCCACUUAUUCUUAUGUGUCUUCUUAUUUUUCUCUACAUUUGGGUGUAUCUCGGGAUUCUUUAAGUUCCCAUGUUUAUGUUUCUACUCCUAUGGGAGAUUCUCUUAUUGUGGACCGCGUUUAUCGGUCGUGUUUGGUUGCUCUUAGUGGUUUUGAGACCAGAGCCAAUUUAUUGUUACUCAGUAUAGUUGACUUUGAUAUUAUCUUGGGCAUGGACUGGUUGUCGCCCAAUUAUGCUAUUCUUGAUUGUCACGCCAAAACUAUGAUGCUGGUUAUGCUAGGUGUAUUGCGUGUUUAGUGGAGGGGUACUUUAAAUGACACUCCCAUUAGAGUUAUUUCUUUUCCUAAAGCUCAGCGUAUGGUUGAGAAGGGGUGUGACACGUAUUUAGCUUAUGUGAGAGAUAUAAGCAUUGAUACCCCUUUAGUCAAUUCAGUUCCAGUAGUACAGGAUUUUCCCGAUGUGUUUCCAGCUAAUCUUCCAGGCAUGCCGUCUGAUAGAGAUAUUGAUUUUGGCAUUGAUCUGUCGCCGGCCACUCACCCCAUUUCUAUCCCUAUAUAUCGUAUGGCUCCUCUUGAGUUGAAGGAUCAGUUAUAUGAAUUGCUUGAUAAGGUUUUAUUCAGCCCAGUGUACCACUUUGGGGUGUUCCUAUCUUUUUUGUGAAGAAAAAAGAUGGUUCUAUGCGUAUGUAUAUUGAUUAUCACUAGUUGAACAAGGUUACAGUGAAGAACUGUUAUCCUUUACCUCGUAUUGAUGAUCUGUUUGACCAGCUUUAGGGCGCACGAGUGUUUUCUAAGAUUGACUUGCGCUUAGGUUACCAUCAGUUGAAGAUUCGGGAGCCAGAUAUCCCGAAUACUGCUUUCAAGACUCGGUAUGGUCGUUACGAGUUCCUUGUUAUGUCAUUUGGGCUGACCAAUGCCUCAGUAGCCUUUAUGCAUUUGAUGCACAGUGUGUUCCGGUUGUAUCUUGACUCGUUUGUCAUUGUCUUUAUUGAUGAUAUUCUGGUGUAUUCCCGGAGUCGGGAAGAUCAUAAGCAGCACCUGAGGACUGUGCUUCAGACUUUGAGAGAGAAGAAGUUAUAUGAUAAAUUCUUGAAAUGUGAGUUUUGGUUGGAUUCAGUGGCAUUCUUAGGCCAUGGUAUCGAGUGAGGGUAUUCAGGUGGAUCCGAAGAAGAUAGAGGUCGUGCAGAGUUGGCCUAGACCAUCCUCAGCUACCGAGAUCCGUAGUUUCCUUGGUUUGGCAGGCUACUACCAUCGUUUUGUGGAUGGGUUUUCAUCGAUUGCAGCCCCUAUGACCAGGUUGACCCAGAAGGGUGCUCUGUUCCAGUGGACGGGGGAGUGUGAGGCGAGCUUUCAGAAGCUUAAUAUAGCUUUGACCACAGCCCCAAUUUUGAUACUGCCUACAAGUUUGGGGUCUUAUAUGGUCAAUUAUGACGCCUCGAGGGUUGGCCUCAUAGUGGUGUUGAUGCAGGACAAAAGGGUGAUUGCCUACGCGUCCAGACAGUUGAAGUACAUGAGAAGAACGACCAUGUUCAUGACCUUGAGUUAGCUGCCAUUGUUCACGCACUGAAGAUUUGGCAUCAUUAUUUAUACCGGGUUCCCUAUGAGAUUUAUACUAACCAUUGGAGCUUGCAGCACCUGUUCAAGCAAAAGGAUCUAAAUUUGCACCAGAGGCAAUGGUUAGAGUUGCUAAAGGACUAUGAUAUCACUAUUUUGUAUCACACGGGCAAGGCCAAUGUGGUGGCCGAUGCUUUGAGUCACCGGGCAGAGAGUUUGGGAGUUUGCCUUAUCUACUAGCAUCGGAGAGGCCUAUGGCGAUGGUUGUUCAGGCCUUAGCCAUCCAGUUUGUGAUAUUAGAUCUUUCGGAGCCUAGUCCGGUUCUAGCUUGCGUGGUUUCUCGGUCUUCCUUAUUUGAUCGUAUCACAGAGCGACAAUAUGAUGACCCUCAUUUGCUUGUCCUCAAGGACAAGGUUCAGCACGGUGAUGCCAGAGAUGUGACUAUUGGUGAUGAUGGGGUAUUAAGGAUGCAAGGUCAAAUUUGUGUGCCCAAUGUUGAUGGGCUGCGAGAGUUGAUUCUAGAGGAGGCCCAUAGUUCGCGGUAUUCCAUCCAUUCGAGUGCCGCAAAGAUGUAUCAGGAUUUGAGACAACACUAUUGGUGGAGGAGGAUGAAGAAAGAUAUAGUUGGAUUCGUAGCUCGGUGUCUCAACUAUCAGCAGGUGAAGUAUGAGCACCAGAUACCAGGUGGAUUACUUCAACAGAUAGAGAACUCGAAGUGGAAGUGGGAGAGGAUCACCAUGGACUUUGUAGUUGGGCUCCCACAGACUUUGAGAGAGUUCAAUGCUAUUUCGGUGAUUGUGGAUCGACUGACCAAGUCCGCUCAUUUCAUUCCUGUGUGCACUACUUAUUCCUCGGAGCGAUAGGCGAAUAUUUAUAUCGGAAGAUUGUUCGUCUGCAUGGUAUUCCAGUGUCCAUCAUUUCAGAUAGAGGUACGCAGUUCACAUCAAAGUUUUGGAGGGUCGUUCAGCAUGAGUUGGUUACUCGGGUGGAGUUGAGUACAACAUUUCACCCUCAGACGGACGGAUAGGCCGAGCGCACUAUUUAGAUUCUUUAGGAUAUGAUCCGUGUGUGUGUGACUGAAUUUGUAGGGUCUUGGGAUCAGUUCUUGCCAUUGGCGGAGUUCUCUUACAACAACAGUUAUCAUUCCAGCAUUCAGAUGGCACCGUAUGAGGCUUUAUAUGGUAGGGAGUGUAGAUCUCUGGUGGGUUGGUUUUAGCCGGGUAAGGCAAGACUAUUGGGCACGGGCUUAGUUCAGGAUGAUUUGAAGAAGGUUAAGGUGAUUCAGGAUAGACUACAUACAACCCAGUCUAGACAGAAGAGUUACGCGGACCGGAAUAUUCGUGAUGUUGUUCAGCUUCGGGUUUCGUCUAUGAAGGGCGUUAUGAGAUUUGGAAAGAAAAGAAAGUUGAGUCCGAGGUUUAUUGGCCCUUUUGAGAUAUUGAGCCAUGUUGGCGAGGUUGCUUAUGAGCUUGCCUUACCUCCCAGCUUGGCAGGAGUUCAUCCGAUAUUUCAUGUUUCGAUGCUCUGGAGGUAUCACGGUGAUCCGUUGCACGUGUUGGAUUUCAGUUCAGUCCAAUUGGACAAGGAUUUAUCUUAUGUUGAGGAGCCAGUGACAAUAUUGGACAGGCAGGUUAGAAAGCUGAGGUCAAAGAACAUUGCUGCAGUAAAGGUUCAGUGGCGGGGUCAGCCGGUCAAGGAGGCAACCUGGGAGACCAAGUAGGAUAUGAGCAGCCGUUACUCUCAUCUUUUCACUACUUUAGAUAUGUCUUUAUGCUCUUUCGAGGAUGAACGAAUGCUUAAGUGUAGGAGGAUGUGACGACUCGGCCGGUCGUCUUAAGAAUUUAUGCCUCGAUCCCCUUUUAACUGCCUUCCCCGAGUUUAUUUCUGCUAUUUUGAUUUGCCGGGAUGUACGGUUUUGAAUUUCGAAGAGUUUUGGAACAUUUAGUCCCUAAAUAAGAGCUUAAGUGUUGGAAAGUUGACCAUAGUCAGAACAGUAUAAAGAAGGCCUCGUAAUGGAAAUCUGAUGGUUCUGUUAGCCCCGUUAGGUGAAUUCGAGCUUAGGAGCGUGUUCAGAUUGUGUUUUGGAGGUCCGUAGCUAAUUUAGGUUUGAAAUGCCGAAAGUUGUUUUUUGAAGUUUCCGGUCCGAUAGUGAGAUUUUGAUUCGAGGGUUGGAAUGAAAUUCCGGAAGUUGGAGUAGCUCCGUAGUUUUGAAUGUGACGUGUUUGCAAAAUUUCAGGUCAUUCGGACGAGGUUUGCUAGACUUUUUGAUCAAAAGCGUAUUUUGAGAAAAUUUGGAGUUCUUAGGAUUAAAUCCUUGGUUAAUUCGAGGUUUCGACGUUGUUUUUAGUGUUUUAAGGAUUGGUAUAAGUUUGGGUAUUGUUUUGUGACUUGUUGGUGAAUUUGGUUGAGGUCCCAGAGGCCUCGGAAUGAAUUCGGAUGGUUGACGGAAAGAUUUUGGAGUUUAAGUUGCAGCUUCAGCUGCUGGUGCUAUCAUAACCGCACCUGCGGUUUGGGUUCCGCAGGUGCGGCGCUGCAGAUGCGGCUCAGCAAUCGCAGGAGCAGAGUUGUGGAGUAUCAGCAGGUUCCGCAGAUGCAGGUGGUUAACCGCAGAAGCGGUACCGCACUUGCGAACGGUAAAUCGCAGGUGCGACAAUUGGCCUUACGUGUAAGUCGCAGAUGCGACCCCUUGUUACGCAUAUGCGGGACCGUAAAAGCGGUCCCAAGGCCGCAGAUGCGUAAACUACUGGGCAGAUUAUUUUAAAAGGGGUUCCACGACUUUGGUAUUUAUUUCACCAUUUUUAUCACGACUUGGGAGCUUUCAGGACGAUUUGACUGAGGGAUUUCAAGGGAACUUCAUUGAGGUAAGGAAUUUCGACGUAAAACUAGUUCCUAUGCUAUUAUUUCACGGAUUAGAGCUAGAAAUCAUGGAAAUUAAGGGUGAAAAUUUGGGAAAACUAGGGCUUAGUAUUGGAGACCUUUGAAUAUUGUUUGAGGGAUCAUUUGAGGUCUGAUUUUGGUAAUUUUGGUAUACAUGAACUCGUGAGAGUGUGAGGAUUCUGAAAAUUUAAUUUUUACCCGAUUCCGAGAUGUGGGCCCGAGGGGCAUUUUGGUCAUUUUACAUAAUUUCGCGUAUUAGCUUAGAAUUUCUUUGUAGAAUCAGUUAUUUGAAGUUUUAGUUAUAUUAAGUAAUUGAAUUGAAUAGAUUUGGGUCAUUUGGAGUUGAGUACUCGUGGCAAGAUCGUGGUUUCGGAUUGAUUAUUGAGCCGGUUCGAGGUAAGUGGCUUGUCUAACCUUGUGUGAUGUGUACUUGAGAUAAUUAUUUAAAAUCCGAUUUUCUUUACGUAAUUUCAAUUGUGUUCCUUUUCUUGUUUCAUUUUACAUGCAAUUUAAACCUCUGUUAGCUUAGAAAGAGCAUGCGUAAUUGACUUAACUAUUUAUUUGCUUAAACUGCCUUAAUUGCAUUACGUGAAGCAUGUCAGGGUAGAAUUAACUGUUUACUUGGUACGGAAUCCGUAAUUGCAUUAAGCAUUAAAUUGAGUAUUCUUGUGUUGCUUCUGUGUGUUUUUAAAUUGGGACUACGGAACGACAUUUUGGGAGAUCCUCUAUACGAAAUUAUGAUCUGGACUGAGGUGCGGGAUACCAAGAGAUUUCGGGCAUGUAUAUUGAGGAUACCAAGAGAUCCUCGGGAUACCAAGAGAUCCUUUGUAUACAUAGAGGAUACUCAAAGAUCCUCGGGAUACCAAGAGAUCCCCCGAUUAUCAUCCUUGCUAUGAGUGGUAUUUCCUCGCGGUUUAUCUUAAUCUCUGUUUUCGUUACUGUACUCUUAUUAUCCUGUAUAGAUUCUUAUUGUAGAUUCUCAAUUGUAUUGCUUAUCUUAUCCUGUCAUCUUAUUUUUUAUUUAAUUAAUCUCAGUAGGGCCCUGAUAUUCCUCGUCACUAUCCGACUGAAGUUAGGCUUGUCACUUACUGAGUACCGUUGUGGAGUACUCAUGCCCCUUCUGUGCAUGUUUGUCAUGUGCAGAUCUAGGUACCGCUACUUCGGCCUGCAAUCCUUGAGGGAGGCGACUGCUUAGAGAUUUCGAGGUACAUCUGUCGCUUCCGCAGACCGAGAAGUCCCUUUCUAUUCCUGCUUUUAGUAUUUGGCCUUUCUGUAUUUUCCGCUCUUAUUAAACAUUCCAGAGUUAGAGCUAUGUAAUAUUUUUCUUAGCUUAUGAUUCGUGGGUUUCCGGGUCUUGGAUCUACGUAUUGGUAUUGAGAAUUAAACAUGGUGUAUGUCGAGCCGCACCAUUAAAACACUGUUAUUACUUUAGUUCUGUUUUAAACUAUUUUACUUCUGCAAAUUUUUGUUUUUCUUCUGCAACUUAGGCUUACCUAGUUGUAGAUACUAGGUGCCAUAACGAUGGUUCAUGGAGGGUGAACGGGGGUCGUGACUUCUAGCGACUCUACUGGGGAUAAGAACCCAGAAUCUCUGGUUCAGGGUUCAGAAUUCGAGCAUAGAAUAGCUGUUAUAGAUGGCUUUUAUUUAUUAUGUGAUUUUUAUUACAUGUUUGAGCCUAAUGUGCUAAAUAUCGCUUUGAUAUUGUUUGAACUAUAUAUAAACUAUUACGAAACCCUUCUUCUCUCUGAGUCUUCUAAAUCUUUUGGGAAGUGCACGCUGGUGUGACUUCUUUUCUGUUAGAGUCAUACCCUAAUUUAGAACGAGAAGCGGAUCAGUUACAAAGUCGGAUGACUUUUUGGUUACCGGUACGUUGCCCCCCGGCUUGAGUUGUCUGCUCGGGUAAGCUAGUUCUAGAAAAAUACACCCAGGUUUUUCAAAACCUAGAAUAACAUAGCCUUAUGACGGAUCCCUAGUAGGGACGCUUGUUUGCAUCACGUGCAUUUGACUUUUGGGACUCAACACAGGGGUUGGGUCCAUCUAGAAUAGGUGUACCCGAAAUAAAAGACCAUCCUGAUGUAUUUUUACGUACUAUUUGAGCAUUUAUUUGUUUCAGCUUGCAUGUUGACCGGCUUUUAGAUUAGGAAAGAAAAAUCAAAGGAAAACAAAUAUUGUGGUAGGAGAGAGAAAAUCAUCCAUUUCCAAAAAAACCUGGUGUUCAAAUAUCCCGAAACUCUGCCAAAAUUUUGGAAAAAAAAAAGUAGAAAAAGAAAAUUUAUUUCAAAAUAAGUCAUAUUUACCGUUAUGUCACAACUGACAAAACUACGCGGGUCUGAUUCUCACCGGAUGUGAGAUACGUAGGCAAACCUCAUCGGUUUCGGCCCCCAGUUUUCAAAAAUCCUAAAAUAUUUUCCUUUACUUCCUUCUUUAGAGAAGUCUUUCUUUGAGUACCCAAUUUUAAAAAUCCAAAAAUAUUUUCAUUCUUUUUCAGAAGUUUUUCUUUCAAAAAUUCAAAAGAAAAUUCAAAAUUCAAAAAUAUUUUCUCUUUUCUUUCGAAGUAUUUCUUUCAUAAACUCAAAAUAAAAUUCCAAAAAAUCCAAAAACAAUUCAUUUCUUCUUUAGAAGUUAUCUUUUGAAAUCCCAAAAAAAAAUGUCGAAAUCCAAAAAAUGAGUUAUGUCUAAAUCCAAAAAGAAAAUUCUUUCUUCUUUAUGUCUUUCUUUCGGAAAUUAAAAAAAAAAUUCAAAAUCCAAAAAAUGAGUUAGUUUAUUUAUUUUAUUCCUAAUCUUCCUGAAAUACGCAAGAUCUGAUUUAUGUUCUCACAUGAUACGUAGCCCACAUAAGGUUCGAUCGAAUGGUUUUAAAAAAAUAUAUUAAAAAAAGAGAAAAAAGGAAAAAAAAAAGAGAGAGUUUAUUCUAACAUACUUGUUGUUUUGAAAUAAAAGCUAGUCAAAGGUGGUCGGUUUGUUGGUUUGCUAUAGCAAGUCACAAAAACAAUACAAGAUCUCUCGGAAAUAAAAGCAUAUUUUCAACCAAUGUAACAAGCACCAUUGUUGUUGAUCAAAGGUCACUAAAAGGCAAGUAGGCAAUUUGGUGAUAAAAAUAAAAAAUAGAGGCAAAUGUGGGGUUGACUUUACCAGAUUUGAGCAAUAGGACAUGCCCUGCUCGGGAUAAUUGUCAAAAUUUGAGUGUUGAAUCCAAAACAAUCAAAUUGGUUAAAUGUCGUAGUAAGGCUGAUGUGUGAAUGUGUGGCUAAGAUGUCACUUAGUUACUGGAAAGUCACUCCUCAUUUAGCCAUGGUAGCUUAUUUUUGUCGGUUUUUCUUCUUCUUUUUGCGAUCGGAUCCUGCUAUCCUUUAUUCAAUAAAAAGCACUCAGUCACUUUGUGUCCAUUUUGUGCAUAGUUCUUUUCAUGCUAGUUCUAGUGACAUGACAUGCAUGUGAAAUUUUUGGUCAGAUCUUAGAAAAUUAAUUUAUUUUGAAUUUGAUAAGUGAGAAAGAGACACUUUUGAAGAUGAAUAGAGACAUGAAACAUUUGAAAAAAUAAGCAUGAGCCAAGUUUACAUGGAACCAAAGCAGUCAUACUCAUGGAAGUUAAGGAUCUCUACCUUUUGAAUCAUUUGAGAGAUCGAACUUAAGGUUGAUCAGACGGGUUGAAAUUUUUUUAGCACUAAGAGAUAGAAAGUGUUUUUCAAAAGAAGGUGUAUUCCAGACAACUCAAAAGGGAUCAGUUAGUGGCAAAAUGCAUCUUCUUCAUCAAGACAAAAUCCAAGAAAAAGUCACCUGAAUUGAUAAGGGGCAUUCACUGCGAGGAAAACAUUGCCCAUACAACCUUACACUGAAAAAGACCCAAAAAGCAACAUGUCUAUCUAUGUCGUGUUGGCAUUCUCAAGGUUACGAGGCCUUUUUUUGCUGCUACCCAAACACGUUAUACCCUUUGUUAUCCCUUUUGAGAGUAUGUUAUUUUCUUUGAUCACCCUCUUUUGGAAUCAAAUAUAGAGUCCAAAAAAAUGAUUGAAAAAAUAAUAAUAAAAGUCCAUGCCCCAAGAGUACAAACUGGGGCAGCAUUUAGAAAGUUCUAAGUGAAAAAAAAAAGAAUUGUCAAAGGUCCAUGACCUAAAAAAUAGAAGCUGGGGCAACUUGUUUUGAAAAAAAAAACAGAAAGAAAGAUGAAAAAAAAGUUAGGUCAGAUGUUUGAACUACGCUAGACCUGAUUCCUUUAAAAAAGGAUACAUAGGCAGCCUCACGGUUCGGUCCAACCAAAUAAGAAUUCAAAAAAAAAAAAAAAAUUCCAAAAAUCCACAGUAUCUGAAACUGGGGCAAAGAUUUUAUUUUACUUUUGAAAGAGUCGAUUCCAAGAGUUGUAAGUCUACAAUCAUUCCUUUUGAAUCUACUUUGAGCCUUCAUGCCAUCCUUUCUUUCCCACCCUAUCCAAAAACAUUCCAAAUAAAGACCUCCCGAUAUGCUUUCAAGAAUGCCGAGACACACAUGCAAUGAGCAACAUUUGUCACACGUCAUAGAACACUGUCAAAUUGCUCAAGAAAGCAACAGAAAAAAGAGAGAAAGAAAAAAUGAGAGUCUUGCUAGUGAAAACCUUCACGGGCACUGUAAGAGAUGGUAAGCAGAGAUGAACAAAGGAGAGAGACUUAUUGGUAUAAACCCCUCGGGGCACCACUAGUCGAAAGGGAGUCAUGAAGCUGAUGCAAAGGAUUAGCACGAACAAGCCCGACUUCAAAUAUUAUAAGAAUGGUAAAAGGGAAGAUUGGAUUAGUUUGGUAGAUCGGUUGUUUAGUCCAAAAUCCAUGUCAUGAUCAUUAAUGCUAGUUAUUGAAAAAAAAAGCUCUUUCUUCUGUCCUUCCGACAGGGCCAUUUCCUGUUAAUACUUGUUUGUUUGCAUCAUUGUGUACUUCACCCUAAGUCAGUCCUUGUCAAAACAAGUAAGAAAAGAUUUCAUAAUCUGCUACCUGCUUUUUAGUUGCAUAAAGUAAAUUUGGCCAGCACACUCAGUUGUUACUGUCAAUAUACCUUGAGGAUUCAUGCAAAGGCUUCCCCAAAAGACUCUUGUCAGCCUACUUGGUGCAAGCAAAGAUUACUAGUGAUUCUCUCUGACAGACAAAUUGCUCAAAAAGUAAGAAGUCAUUCAAGAUAUUAGAAAAGGUCACCUAAGAAAAGAUCUCCAGCUGGGAUAAGGCUGAUUGAGCCACAUACACAAAUGGUACUGGGUGUGAAACAAUUAGGGUUGAUGCAGAGCAAAAGUCUCUUAAAACCAACUUAAGCUGAUUGAGCAGAAGCCAAGCUGCCCAAGACUCAAGGCCACAAACCGACCACCAUUUUCAAAACUGACAAAUUUUUCUUUGUGUGAAACAACAACAAAACAGUGCAAGGAAAGUGGUUCAAAAAAGAAAAAAAACAAAAUAAGAGAAGAAAAAUAAAAGAAGAGAAAAGCCGACAAAGGGAAGUUUCUCAAAUCUUUGCCUUUAUUUAUCUUGCUAUUGUGCAUAAAAUCUUGCUAUUUAUCUUCACAUUUUUUUCUCCUAGGAUAAAAAGUCCUAGUCUGAUGGAUUUUCUCCCAAUAAAAAUCUUAGUCUGAUGAAUUUUUCUCCUAAGAAAACAAAAAAAAGGGACCUAGUUUGAUGAACUUUCUCCUAGGAUCGAAAUCUUAGUCUGAUGAAUCUUUCUCCUAAGAUAAAAGACCUAGUCUGAUGAACUUUCUCCUAGGAUAGAAAUCAUAGUAUGAUGAAUCUUUCUCCUAAGAUACCAAAAAAAAUGAAGAAAAGAGACCUAGUCUGAUGAACUUUCUCCUAGGAUCAAAAUCUUAGUCUGAUGAAUCUUUCUCCUAAGAUAGAAAACCUAGUCUAAUGAAUCUUCUCCUAGUAUGAUAAUUUUCAUAUUAAAAAAGGAGGGUCUGGAUUUGAAAAAAAAGGGUCAAUUUUUAGUUUUCUUAAGCUAUUAAUCUUUACUUUUCUUGAAAUCAGGGGUCCUCUUGGAGAAUAGGGCCAGUUUUUAUUUUAGUUAAGCUUAAUUUAUAGUUUUCCGCAAGCUCAAUCUUAAAUUUAGGAGACGCACUUCCUAGUCUGGGUCAUUCAGGUUUUUUUAGCAGGCGUAUUUGCUUGUUGAAAUUUUCUUGGUUUUACUCACAAGAGACGCACAUCCUAGUCGAGUCUUCAAUUGCAUCUUUCAUCAAUAGCAUAGGUGAUUCAUAGGUAUGCUAACAACUCAUAAAUCUUCCUAGUGUAAACUGGGGCAGAAAAGUUUUUUUUGUUGUCUGUUUUGCGGUAGUAGCAAGCGCCCACAUGGAGAACGAGGGAAGUCAUUUCAUAAGUCAAUUCAAGUUAGAAGUAGCGGAAUCUCGCCUAAAAAUACGAGUCGACAGUCCGAGAUAACCAAAAAAUAAGUCUAAAUCCAAAAAAGGGAAGUGAAUCCAAAUGCAGAAGAAGAUGAAAGAUGUGAACUGCUCAAGAAAUGGUUGAAGUCACAAGCGCUGCAUGUCCGAUCUUGAUCAGAAGAAGUCGUGGAAGAAUGACCUAACACCUGCAGCUAACAAGCAUCAAGAUUCAGAUCAGAGUCCGCAUGAAGAACCAACCAAAGCACAAGAUCAAGUUUGAGAAGACUCAUAUAUAGGAAUCUUGUAACUCGUUGCUGAUAGGCUUAGUUAGUCUUUUUAAUUUUGAUUUUGAUGUAAUAACAGGACCGCGAACCGGAGCUUCGAUGAAACCUUACUCGACUCUCGAACUCAUCACUCCAUCAUUCUCUAAACUACACGUGGCUUGAUUCCUUUAUAGCCAAGGAUAUGUAGGCAACUCAAAUACCAGGGCUCGGUCCCAUUCUCCUUUAUUUUAAUUUUUGGUCUCUCUAAAUAAGGGUCGGGUCAAACCUGUCUCGUCGUUCCUUGUUUGAAAACUAUUCAUGUUUCCAGUCAAAUAGGGGCAACUAUUGUAACGACCUAACCGACUGUUUUGAGCUCUAGCACGUCGUUCAAUGAUUUGAGGCCAUGAGCAGCUUCACUUCAGGUAUUAUGACUUGUACGCAUGGUAGGAGUUGAAUUUCGGAAAGUUCGUAGUUGAUUUGGAGAGAGAAUUCUUAUUUCAUAAGCUUUAAGUUGAAAGAAUUAACUAAGAUUAGAUUUUUGAGUAAACAACCUCGGAAUUAGGAUUCGAAGGUUCCAGCAGGUUAUAUGAUAAUUUUGGACUUGGGAGUAUGUCCGGAUCAGGUUUUGGAAGACCCGGGAACGUUUCGGCACCUAUUGUGGAAGGUAGCACUUUUGGAAGGAUUUCAUAAGUUUGGGUUAAAGUGCCUUUCAGUGUUAUCAAUGUCCGUUUGGGAUUCUGAGUCUGGGGAUAGCUCCAUAUGGUGCUUUUAGUAUUAGGAGCGCGGUUGGAAGUGAAUUUGGAGGUCCGUAGGUCAUUUUGGAGUCAUUUAGCUAAAGAUAGAAAUUUGAAGGUUUUUGAGGAGUUUGAUCGGAAGUGGACCUUUUGAUAUUGGGAUCGGAUUAUAAUUCCAAAAGUUGAAGUAGGUCCAUAAUGUCAAGUAUGACUUGUGCGCAAAAUAUGAGGUCAAUCGGACAUGAUUUGAUAGGUUUAAGCAACGAAAGUAGAAGUUUGAAAUUUUAAAGUUCAUUAAGCUUGAAUUGGAGUGCGAUUCAUGAUUUCAACGUUGUUUGAUAUGAUUUGAGGCCUCGAGUGAGUUCGUAUCAUGUUUUUGGACAUGUUUGGUAUAAUUGGUUAAGGUCCCAAGGGCCUCGGGUGGAUUUUGGAAGGUUAAUGGAAUGGAUUUCGGACAAAGAAAGAUGCUGAAAUUCUGUUGCAGAAGUUGUUCGGCAGAAAAUUUCUGAUGCAAGGAGUCGAUUUUGAAAGCUCAUAUCUUGCCAUAUGUAAGGAAUCUGAAAAUUUGCAAGAAAUCGAAGUUGUAGCCCUUGCUUUCUUGUUUCCAGAAGAUAAACCAUUCAUCAUUUGGAUAUUUGUACAGAAUGUUAUGAUCGAUUGAAUAAAGGCUGGUAAAACUAUUUUGCAAUUUCCCUAGAAAUUUCUGAGGCGAGGAGCCUAUUUUGGAAGCUUAUAUCUCGAAAUCUAUGGAAUCUGAAAAUUAACAAAACAUGAAAGUUGUAGAUCUUUGAUUCUAGUUUCCAAAAAUUUAAAUCAUUCAUCAUUUGGACAUUUGUACAUAAAGUUAUGGUCCAUUGACUUAAAGCUUGUAGUAGUUCAUUUUUUGACCGAAAAUCAGGCAAAGUCGCAUUUCAUACAUGCGACUUGCCUUGGCAGAAUGCCUAAAUACGGGAGUCAGCCAUUUUUUACUCAUUUUUGAGUUUUGAGUCUCGGAUUUGGGCAAUUUUUGGAGCUUUUGGAAGAGGGUUUUCACCCAGCACUUUGAGGUAAGUAAUUUCUAUACAACAUGAGUUUAAUACAUAGAUGGCAAAAUACAUAAGUUGGCACCCGAACAAUGGACCAAAUCCCUGUUACACACUUUCUGUGGACACAAAUAAUAUUACACACUCAACCUUUUAAAAGUGUGUCUAAUACACCCCACUUUUUUCUUGACCACUUUACCUAAAUAUGGGUAAUGUCACACACCAAUAAGGUCAUGACACGUGUCAUUAACAUAAAUAAAUAAAACAAAAAAUAUAAAAUUACACAUAUACCCUCAUCUUCUCCAACCCCAUCUCUUCAACCUCCAUGGACCACCCGAAAAACUAGAACACACAAUUCAACCCAAAAAUUAGGAGCCCAAGUGAUUUAAUCCCAGAAAGAAAUAAAAACAUCAAAAGCUAAUAAGCCAUGGCUCACACCACCGUAUUAUCACCACAACAAGGCCAUUGUUCAAAAAAAAUGCAACAAUGGCAAAGGUAGAUCGAAAAUUACAACUGCUUGGGUACCAUAUCUAUUGAAGCUUAUCUACAUCAACAAAGACAUAAACGGACUAUUUUCAUUUAUAGCUCUCUUCCAAAAUUUUGUUUGUCAUUUCCGUGGCUGCCAUCACCACCACCAACUUUCAGAAUAAAAGAUUCAGCCUCCUCUUCAACAUGAGAAGCUAAGAAUCUUAAAUUUGAGAUAGAUAACCGCAAAAUUUAAGGAAAAGGCAGAUGCACGCGAUAGAUGUAGCCGAAAUUACUCACAAAGAAAAAAAAGCUAUAUUAAUUGAAAAAUUGGCGAUGAUGACAAAAUUUUAUUAAAUUUGGAUGAAAUCAAACAUAUAAAAAAGGAGGCUGGAGACAGAAAUAGAUUGGAAGCUUGAGAUUAAUACAAAAUAUGUAUAUUUAAGAGGAAAUCAGAAAGAAAAAGAAAAAGAAGGGAUUUGGUGGGGGGAGGUGUUGGCUGGCGGAAGAGAGUGAUAUAGGAAGGGUGGGGAAGAUGAGGAAAUUUCAGACACGUGGCAUUGAAUAAAUAAUUAGACAGUAUUUUUAUUAGUAGACGCGCUUCUAUCGUGGUGUUUUACACAUGCUGAGUCCUGGUCAAAAGCGGUGUGUAUUAGAUACACUUUUAAAAGGCUGAGUGUGUAAUAUUAUUUGUGUCCACAGAAAGUGUGUAACAGGGAUUUGGUCCAUUGUUCGGGUGACAAAUUAUGUAUUUUGCCUACAUAGAUUAUGGAUAGAUUAACAUGUAAAAAUUGGUGAAAUCAAGGGUUUAGAUGAAAACCUAGGUUUUGUUAAAAAUGAGAUUUGACCGCGAAAAUGGUUAUGGAAUUUGGUAAUAAUCAUAUAUUUGACUUCAUAAGGUUAUGGUAACAACUUUCUUCGAAUAUUUUCGAAAUCCGGGCACGUGGACCCGGAGGUGAAUUUUAGGAAUCUUACAUUUAGGGUUGGGUAAUCACCUCAAUAGUUGGAAUAUGAAUUUUUGAACAUGUAUUGAUUAGUUUAAACACUAUUUCAUUAGUUUUGGAUUGUUCUGUACCGAAUUGAGGGUUUGAGGAUAAUCUUGGAUAGGAAAGUGGGCUUCGGAGCGAGGUGAGUCUCCUUUCUAACCUUGUAAGAAGGAAUUAUCCACAUAGGUGAUUAAUUGGAUAUGUGCUCCUAUUUGUGGGGCUACGUACGCACAAGGUGAUGAGAGUCCGUGCAUAGCUACUAUUAUGCAUAAGUCCGGGUAGUCUAGGACCAAAUAGCAUACUCUACUUGUAAUAUUUGGAAUCUUGUUGUCGAUUUAAAAUACUUAAAUCAUAUUGAAUUGGUAAAUAAAUUUUUAAAGGAAUUAAACAUCAUUUUCUUGACCAUUAAAGAGAAUUGCUAUUUCUUUGGGUAAUUAUUUUUCCCUGAUGAGAUCUUGAUUGACUGUUUGAAUGUGUGUUUCUAUGUGUACCUGCGUUGCAUGUAUGAUUAGCGAGCGGGGUGAUUGAUUAUUUAUAUUUGACCGCGUCGGUUGUAUGAUUCACGAGGGGGGUAAUAGAUGUAUCUAUGGUUCGCGCCAUUCGACCCUCUGGCAGAGCACAAUUUAAAUAUUUGUUGGAUCAGGUCGUACGACCUCGGCAUGAUUUGCGCAUGUUUGUAGUGCUUGCCUUGAAAUUCAUAGAUGUUAAUAUUUAUUUCUCCCCGGCCUGAGAUAAAUGUAUAAAUGAUGAAAAUAAAUUUGGGAAUUUCCUAUAAACGAAAGAAUUGUUUGCUUGUCUCAUGCUAUUUGAGUUACCGUCAUUUUUAUGAAAAUCCUCGAUUUAUGAAAUUAUUGGUAUAUUAUCAUUGGACCACUAGCAAGUAUCAAAGUCGACAUCUCGUCUCUACUUCUUCGAUAUUAGACGGGAUACUUACUGAAUACACGUUGUUUUUGUACUCAUGCUACACUUGUUGUGCAAUUUUGUUGCACAAGCACAUGUACCUCUAACGGCCUAAUGGGCAUAGCAGCAUGGAUGAUAUGGACACUUAGGCGAGCUGUAUCUCUCGAGGCGACCCGUAGCCAGCAUAGUCUCUUUCAGUGUAUUGUAUUUACUUCCUAUCCAAAUCUGAAUUCCGAAUAGUUAUUGUACUUUAUUUGAUUUCCUAGUGAUUGUUCAUGCACUUGUGACACUGGAUUCUGGGAUGAUUAUGAGAUAUUUAUUAUUAAAAGUUGUAAACAUUUUUAUUUAUUCAGUGAUAAUUACAUUUUUACUAGUUGAAUUAAAGGAAAUUGGGUCGUGACAACAUGGUAUCAGAGCACUAGGUUCCUUUAGGUUUCACUAGUCAUUAGUGAGUAUAGUAGAGUCUUGAAGAUCGGUACAAAGACGUCAGUACUUAUCUUCGAGAGGUUGCGGGGCUGUUAGGAGCACUUCCCUUCUUGAUUCCCCAUCGUACAGUUUGAUUCCUUUGAGGCUUAUGCCCCUAUUUCCUUCUUACUCAAUCCCAUGGGAUGCGAAGCGCUUAAUAUAAAUUGCGAAUUGAGGAAUUAUAAUAGUACUAUAGAUGUGGUGCGGGAUGUUUCUUCAGUGUAGUUGUUUGUACUAUUGUCGUCACCUUGUAGAAGGUCGUUCUGUUGUUUCAGCUCAGUAUCAGUAUUACCUAAGGUUUCGAGAUUUGGCAUCGAUUUUAUGAUGAUUCGUGCAUUGCUAUCGCCCAAUAUUGAUGUGAUGGUAGGAUACUUACCAAUAUGUCGAGGCAUUGAAUGACCUGAAAGGAGGCCUACUCAGUGCAUGAUUCAGAGACUCGGAAUGAUCUAUGAUAUUUUUAACUUGCAGUGUAGCAUCGGGAGGAAAAAGGGAAAAAGAAUUCAGAUUCAUAGAGGGAUUAUCAGAAUGGGUGCAUUAGUUGAAGAUGCAAAUGUGCGUGCAAGGAGGGUAUGGAGCGGUUCAUGGGUUUGGAGACAAUGUGGUCUCAUGGAAUGGGGUCACUCAAGAUGAGUGCGGAUUUAGGUUGGUGAUGUAAGGAAUGGAGAUAAUAUUAUUUCUAAGGAAGUUAAGGAUGAAUUAGAGGAAGUUAGAUUGGCCAGCCAUGGUUGAAUUGGCAUAGUGGUGGCGGUGCCCGCGAGGCUCAACGGUCGCCGCAAUUGAUUAUAUUUGAAAGUAUUCAAGUAUUAUGGCCUGUUAUGUGUAGGCGGAUCUGGGAAGGGUUAUGGCAAUUUAGACCACUACUUGAGGUUUGAAUGUUCUGCGGCUAUGAUAAGUUACUCGCGUGUUGCUAUGGUCUUCUUGGAAUGAGUUAAGUAAAAAGUUUCCAGGUGAAGAAGUGUUUACCAUACUAGUGGUUUAGGAUUUAUGAUGAAGAUCUUGUGCUAUCGCAUAUUGCCAUGUUGGGUGCAGUGAGUGGUAUGGAAUUUGAAAGUGAGGAUCAAGGUUGCGGUUCAUUGUUGACAACGAUGUCACGAGCUCGGAUGAGCAUGAAAGGGAUUUGAAUGUUUAGAGUAAGCUGGCAUUGUCUUCAACGUCACCUCAGAUUGGUGUUUUGUGAAAAAGGCUUUGCAUCUUGGAUAAGGAUUUUUGAUCUCUUUUCAGCGUUAGUGUGGACGGUGGUAUGGAUAUACAAACCUGUUAUCUAUUACGGAAGGUUGUGGGAGCGUGUCCCACGAAAAUGUUGUAUAAGUGUGUCAUGUAGUCACUUCCUUAAUUGAAGAAUUAAACCUAGGAUGAAAAUUGUGGUGAUAUCGUUAAUUUGAGAAUUGAUGCCUGGAGAGCACUCGAUUUAUUGGGUUGUGGACUGUGGAGGAUUACUCUGGUUAUGAUGGUUGUUCUUGUGUGUUAUGGGAAAAAGGGGGGAAAGAUUAUGGACCUAGUUCGGUACGAUCAGAAUAGGCUUGAGGUCUGUGAAUGGAUUUAAGUAUGAAUAUGGGCUCUACAUCAGGCAGAAUGUGUUCAUUUCAGCAUAGUUCUCCUUAUGGAGGAGUAUUCAGACGUUGGAUGUUAUUUCAUCGUCGGCUAUUUCAUGUAAUGCUAUAUUGUGUCGUGUAAGUUGUGAAUGGCUCGAUAAUUUUCUUAUGUGUUGAGGUUCAGCGUAGCGAUGGUGUUAUGCGAGCAGGAUGGCUCUUUAGUUUUAGAACAUAUAUCACACCUCAGUUGUGUUUGAGUUUGUUAGCUUAUGGAGUUAUAUGUCUCCCCAAGGAUGGUAUUAUGCACUUAGCGUGCUUGUGACCGAUAUUUGGUAUUUUGUUGUAAUGAGCAAUUUAGCUCGAUGUGUAUCUCCUUAUGUGUGGAUCGGGUGGCACGCCGACAUGGGUAUGUUGUUUGGAUCGGGUUGCACUCCAUAGCAGUGUGAUGUUGAGUAUAGUUCCUUAUACCUAUUUUUGUGUGUUUUGUUUUCCAUAUUCUGAGGAAAGUUCAUAUCAGUCGCAUGAGUUGAGUAGUCGCUUCCUGAGUUUAUUUUCCUUAUGUAUCACGUUAGAGCUUGCAGCCUAUUGGCACGUUACGACAUCAUAUGUAACUUUUAAUCAUGACCGAGGUGGCUAUUGCCUGAGCAGUUUGUACUGGGUGAGACAAGAUUAUUGGAUCUAGGAUCAGUGUAGUCAGAUUAUAUGAAGCAUAUUAAGGAUCAAAGAUCAUUAUUUGGUUCAGAAUGAGGUAAUGGUUCUUGUCAGAAGUAUAGAAUCAAUGAUUUUUUAACUUGGUGGUUGGUUAUAAAUUUCUACAAAUCUCUUCUAUCGUGGCGGUAUUGCGAGAGUUGGAACAAGACUUAUAUAUAUCAUGAGGUGUGUUUUGAGCAUCAGAUUCGGGGAAUGUUGGUUAUUAUGAUCAAAGAAUGUUAUUAUGGUCCUGUGAAUGAUGUGGUGCAUGGUGAGAAUUCAGCAAAGGUAUGCAGUCAUGUUCUGGUACCUCGUGUAGUGAUUGAUACAGUGUUCAUAUACUAGAAGUAGGCCUGACGCAGAAUUCCGGAUGUUGGAAUUGGGCUCUAAGCUUAUUUGCUUCAAUAAAAGGGAAUAUCUUAAGAUUUGACCGAGCUAAUGUGCUCAACUGGGUUGUAUAAGCACGGGUAGGUGUAUGAUGUGUUAAACAGUGAUGUCAAACAACUCCAGCGCAGUUCUUAGCAUGUUCGAGGGCGAACAUAUGUUUAAGUGGGAGAGAAUGUAACGACCCGACCUGUAAUUUUGAGCUCUAGCACGUCGUUCAGCAAUUUGAGGCCACGAGCAGCUUCACUUCCGGUAUUAUGACUUGUAUGCAUGGUCGGAGUUGAAUUUCGGGAAGUUCAGAGUUGAUUUGGAGAGAGAAUUCUCAUUUCGGAAGCUUUAAGUUGAAAUAAUUGACUAAGAUUGGAUUUUUAAGUAAAUUACCUCGAAAUCGUGAUUUGAAGGUUCCAGCAGGUUCGUAUGAUAAUUUCAGACUUGGGAGUAUGUUUGGAUCGGGUUUUAGAAGACACGAGAACGUUUCGGCACCUAUUGUGGAAGUUAGCACUUUUGGAAAGAUUUCAUAUGUUUGGGUUCAAGUACCAUUUAGUGUUAUUAAUGUUUGUUUGGGAUUCCAAGUCUGGGGAUAACUCCGUACGGUGAUACUGGUAUUCGGAGCACGAUCAGAAGUGAAUUCGGAGGUCCAUAGGUCAUUUUGGAGUCAUUUGGCUAAAGAUAGGAAUUUGAAGGUUUUUGAGGAGUUGAUCGGAAGUGGACUUUUUGAUAUCGGGGUCGGAUUCCGAUUCUGAAAGUUGGAGUAGGUCCGUAAUGUAAGUAUGACUUGUGCGCAAAAUUUGAGGUCAAUUGGACGUGAUUUGAUAGGUUUAACAAACGAAAGUAGAAGUUUUAAAUUUUAAAGUUCAUUAAGCUUGAAUUGGAGUGUGAUUCAUGAUUUCGACGUUGUUUGAUGUGAUUUGAGGCCUCGAGCGAGUUCGUAUCAUGUUUUGGGACAUGUUUGGUAUAAUUGGUUAAGGUCCUGAGGGCCUCGGGUGGAUUUUGGAAGGUUAACAGAAUAGAUUUCUGACAAAGAAAGCUUCUGAAAUUCUGUUGCAGAAGCUGUUCGCCAGAAAAUUUCUGAUGCGAGGAGUCAAUUUUGGAAGCUCAUAUCUUGCAAUCUAUAAGGAAUCUUAACAUUUGCAAAACAUCAAAGUUGUUUUCCUUGCAUUCUAGUUUCCAGAAAGAUAAACCAUUCAUCAUUUGGAUAUUUGUACAAAAUGGUAUGAUCGAUUGAAUAAAGGCUGGUAAAGCUGUUUUACAAUUUCCCCCAAAAAAUUCUGAUGCGAGGAGCCUAUUUUGGAAGCUCAUAUCUCGAAAUCUAUAAGAAAUCUGAAAAUUUGCAAAACAUGAAAGUUGUAGAUCUUUGAUUCUAGUUUCCAGAAAAUUAAACCAUUCAUCAUUUAGACAUUUGUGCAUAAAGUCGAAUUUCAUACAUGCAACUUGCCUAGGCAAAAUGCCUAAAUACGGGAGUCAGCCAUUUUUUACUCAUUUUUGAGUUUUGAGUGUCGGAUUUGGGAUAUUUUUGUAGCUUUUGAAAGAGGGUUUUCACCCAGUACUUUGAGUUAAGUAAUUUAUGUACAACAUGAGUUUAAUACAUAUAUUAUGGAUAGAUUAAAAUGUAAAAAUUGGUGAAAUCAAGGGUUUAGAUGAAAACUUAGGUUUUAUAUAAAAAUGAUAUUUGACCACGAAAAUGGUUAUGGAAUUUGGUAAUAAUCAUAUAUUUGACUUCAUAAGGUUAUGGGUAACAACUUUCUUCGAAAAUAUUCGAAAUCCGGGCACGUGGGCCUGGGGGUGAAUUUUAGAAAUCUUACAUUUAGGGUUGGGUAAUCACCUUAAUAGUUGGAAUAUGAAUUUUUGAACAUGUAUUGAUUAGUUUAUACACUAUUUCAUUAGUUUUGGAUUGUUCCGCACCGAAUUGAGGGUUUGAGCAUAAUCUUGGACAGGAAAGUGGGUUUGGGAGCGAGGUGAGUCUCCUUUCUAACCUUGUAAGAGGGAAUUGUCAACACAGGUGAAUUAAUUGGAUAUGUGCUCCUAUUUGUGGGGGCUACGUACGCAAAAGUUGACGAGAGUCCGUGCGUAUCUACUAUUAUGCAUAACUCCGGGUAGUCCAGGACCCAAUAUCAUGCUCUACUUGUAAUAUUUGGAAUCUUGCUGUCGAUUUAAAAUACUUAAAUCAUAUUGAAUUGGUAAAUAAAUUUCUAAAGGAAUUAAACAUCAUUUUCUUGACCGUUAAAGAGAAUUGCUAUUUCUUUGGGUAAUUGUUUUUCCCUGAUGAAGUCUUGAUUUACUAUUUGAAUGCGUGUUUCUAUGAGUACCUGCGUCGCAUAUAUGAUUCACGAGCGGGGUGAUUGUUUAUUUAUAUUUGACUGUGUCGCAUGUAUGAUAUGCGAGCGGGGUAAUAGAUGCACCUAUGGUUCGUGUCAUUCGACCCUCUGGCAGUGCACAAUUUAAAUAUUUGUUGGAUCGGGCGAUACGACCUCGGCAUGAUUUGCGCAUGCUUGUAUUGCUUGCAUUGAAAUUCAUAGAUGUUAAUAUAUAUUUCUCCCUGGCCUGAGAUAAAUGUAUAAAUGAUGAAAAUAAAUUUGGGAAUUUCCUAUAAACGAAAGAAUUGUUUACUUGCCUCAUGCUAUUUGAGUUACAGUCAAUUUUAUGAAAAUCCUCUAUUUAUGAAAUUAUUGGUGUAUUAUCAUUGGACCACUAGUAAGUAUCGAAAUCGACCUCUCGACUUUACUUCUUCGAGAUUAGACGAGAUACUUACUGAGUACACGUUAUUUUUGUACUCAUGCUACACUUGUUGUGCAGUUUUGUUGCACAGGCACAUGUACCUCUAACGGCCUAAUGGGCGUAGCAGCAUGGAUGAUAUGGAGACUUAGGCGAGCUGCAUCUCUCGAGGUGACCCGUAGCCAGCAUAGACUCUUUCAGUGUAUUGUAUUUACUUCCUGUCCAAAUCUAUAUUCCGGACAGUUAUUAUACUUCAUUAGAUUUCCUAAUGAUUGUUCAUGCACUUGUGACACUGGGAUCUGGGAUGAUUGUAGGAUAUUUAAUAUUAAAAGGUGUAAAUAUUUUUAUUUAUUCAGUGAUAAUUACCUUUUUACUAGUUGAAUUAAAGGAAAUUAUGGUUCCUAAAAUAUUAAAAUGAGAGUUUAAUUAAUUACUCAAUGUUGGCUUGCGUGACCGAGGUGUCCGGCGCCAUCACGGCCUUUGAUGGAUUUUGGGUCGUGAUAGCUGUAGAUAUGUAAUGUUUGACCCUCCCCAAGAUUUUACAUUUUUAACGUUUAAAUAGUUAGUUUAGGUCUAAUAUCGUUAUUUUAACUAGUUUUGACUCUUUUACUUUAUUUUAUCACAAAAAUGUAAAUUACAAAAAUAUUUGCUUGUUUAGAUAAUUGAUAUUUUUAUUUAGUUACUUUUAGUUUAUCUAAUUUUCAUAAAAUUAAAAAAUAUACACAAAAAUAAUUUCACUUUUAGCAUUUAGUUUUAUUCUAGUAAUUUAUUAAUUAGAAGUGGUUUCACAAUUUUAUAGUUAUUAUUUUAGGAAUUAAUGUUUUUAGUCUAAUAGAGUAAAAAGGCCACUUUUAAAGGUAAAUUUUAGCCAAAAUUCUGCCCAAUUCGGAUCUAGCCCAUAAAUCCAAGAUCAUUACCCAUUCUCCUCUUAUAUCUUAAUUAAAAAAAUAACCCUAGUCUGAAAGACCCAUGAGCCGUUUCUAUCAUCUUAAAAACCUUACACACCCUAAGCUUCCUCUUCAUCACAAAAAACACCAUAGCAGCAACCCCUUCUCCAAAAAAAUCAUCAGCCGCAACACACAAAAACCUAGAGACAGCCACCUCCCCUAACUCAUGUACACAUCUGCUACACCCCUACUUCCUUGGACCAUGCCGGUGACCACUCUCAAACUCCCAUAUCGAUCAGAUCUGGAUGAUUUGACUUGAAAGCUCCAUGUUUGGAUCUGAAGAAAAUAGAGGUCGUGCAGAGUUGUCCCAGACCAUCCUCAACUACAGAGAUCCAUAGUUAUCUUGGAUUGGCGCAUUACUACCGUCAUUUUGUUGAGGGGUUUUCAUCGAUUGCAUCCCCUAUGACCAGACUGAUCCAUAAGGGUGCUCCGUUCCGGUGGACGGAAGAGAGUGAGGCGAGCUUUUAGAAGCUCAAGACAGCUUUGACUACAGCCCCAAUUUUGAUACUGCCUAUAGGUUCUGGGUCUUAUAUUGUCUAUUAUGAUGCCUCGAAGACUGGCCUCGGAGUGGUGUUGAUGCAAGACGGUAGGGUGAUUGCAUACGCUUCUAGGCAGUUGAAGAUACAUGAGAAGAACUACCCUAUCCAUGACCUAGACUUAGCUGCCAUUGUUCAUGCACUGAAAAUCUGGUGUCAUUAUUUAUACGGUGUGCUUUAUGAAAUUUAUACUGAUCAUCGGAGCUUGCAGCACCUGUUCAAGCAAAAGUAUCUAAAUUUGCGCUAGAGGAGAUGGUUAGAGUUGUUGAGGGAUUAUGAUAUCACUAUUUUGCAUCACCCAGUCAAGGACAAUGUGGUAGCCGAUGCCUUGAGUCGCUGAGAAGAGAGUUUGGGGAGUUUGGCUUAUUUACCACCAUUGGAGAGACCUAUGGCGAUGGAUUUUCAGGCCCUAGCCAGCCAGUUUGUAAGAUUGGAUCUUUCGGAGCCCAGUCGGGUUCUAGAUUGUGUGGUUUCUCCGUCUUCCCUAUUUGAUCGUAUCAGAGAGCGGUAGUAUGAUGACCCUUAUUUUCUUGUCCUCAAGGAUAAGGUUCAUCAUGGUGAUGUCAGAGAUGUGACUAUUGGUGAUGAUGGGGUAUUGAGGAUGCAGAGUCAGACUUGUGUACCCAAUGUUGAUGGGCUUCGGGAGUUGAUUCUGGAGGAGGCCCAUAGCUCACAGUAUUCCAUUCAUUCGAGUGCCAGAAAGAUGUAUCAGGAUUUGAGGCAGCACUACUGGUGGAGGCGGAUGGAGAAAGAUAUAGUUGGAUUUGUAGCUCGGUGCCUCAACUGUUAGUAGGUGAAGUAUGAACACCAGAGACCGGGUGGGUAGCUUCAGUAGAUAGAUAUUCCGGAGUGGAAGUGGGAGCGGUUCACCAUGGACUUUGUAGUUAUGCUCCCACAGGCUUUGAGAAAGCUCGAUGCUAUUUGGGUGAUUGUGGAUCGGCUGACCAAGUCCGCUCACUUCAUCCCUGUAUGUACUACUUAUUCUUCGGAGCGGUUGGCGGAGAUCUAUAUCCGGGAGAUUGUUCGUCUGCAUGGUAUUCCAGUUUCCAUCAUUUUAGAUAGAGGUACUCAAUUCACAUCACGAUUCUGGAGAGUUGUUCAGCAUGAGUUAGGUACUCGGGUGGAGUUGAGUACAACAUUUCACCCUCAGACGGACAGACAGUCCAAGCGCACAAUUCAAAUUCUUGAGGAUAUGCUUCGUGCGUGUGUGAUUGAGUUUGGAGGGUCUUGGGAUCAGUUCUUGCCAUUGGUAAAGUUUGCUUACAACAACAACUAUCAGUCCAGCAUUCAGAUGGCACCACAUGAGGCUUUAUAUGGGAGAUGGUGUAAAUCCUCAGUGGGUUGGUUUGAGCUGGGUGAGGCAAGAUUGAUGGGCACGGACUUGGUUCAAGAUACUUUGGAGAAGGUUAAGGUGAUUCAGGAUAGACUCUGUACAGCCCAGUCCAAACAGAAGAGUUAUGUGGACCGGAAGGUUCGUUAUGUUUCCUAUAUGGCUGGAGAACGGGUUCUGCUUAAGGUUUCACCUAUGAAGGGAGUUAUGAGAUAUGGGAAGAAAAGGAAGUUGAGUCCGAGGUUUAUUGGCCCUUUUGAGAUAUUGAGGCGUGUUGGGGAGGUUGCUUAUAAGCUUGCCUUACCUCCCAGCUUGGCAGGAGUUCAUUUGGUAUUACAUGUUUCGAUGCUCCGGAGAUAUCACGGUGAUCUGUCGCACGUGUUUCAGUUCAGUCCGGUUGGACAAGGAUCUAUCCUAUGUUGAGGAGCCGGUUGCAAUAUUGGACAGGCAGGUUAAAAAGUUGAGGUCAAAGAACAUUAUAUCAGUAAAGGUUCAGUAGCGGGGUCAGCCGGUCGAGUAGGUAACUUGGGAGACCGAGCAGGAUAUGCGCAGCCAUUACCCUCAUCUUUUCACUACUUUAGGUAUGUCUCUAUGCUCAUUCGAUAAAACGAAUGUUUAAGUGUAGGAGGAUGUGACGACCCGGCCAGCCGUCUUAAGAAUUUACGCCCCAAUCCCAUAUUAACUACUUUCCCCGUGUUCAUUUCUACUAUUUCGAUUUGCCGGGAGGUUCGGUUUUGAGUUUCGGAGAGUUUUGGGAUACUUAGUCCCUAAAUAAGAGCUUAAGUGUUGGAAAUUCGACCGUAGUUGGAGGAGUGUGAAGACAGCCUCGGAAUGGAAAUCUGAUGGUUCCGUUAGCUUCGUUGGGUUAUUUCAGGCUUAGGGGUGUGUUCGGAUUGUGUUUUGGAGGUCCAUAGCUAAUUUAGGCUUGAAAUGCCGAAAGGUCGAAUUUUGAAGUUUCCGGUCCGAUAGUGAGAUUUUGAUCCGAGGGUCGUAAUGGAAUUCUGGAAGUUGGAGUAGCUUUAUAGAGUUGAACGUGACGUGUGUGCAAAAUUUCAGGUCAUUCGAACGAGGUUUGAUAGACUUUUUGAUCGAAAGCGUAUUUCUAGAGUUUUGGGGUUCUUAGACUUGAAUCCAUGGUUGAUUCGUCGUUUCAAUGUUGUUUUAGGUGUUUCAAGGAUUGGUAUAAGUUUGGACAGUGUAUUAGACUUGUUGGUGCUUUUGGUCGAGGUCCAGGGGGCCUCGGGGUGUUUCGGAUGGUUGAUGGAAGGAUUUUGGAGUUUCGAGUUGCAGCUUCAGCUGCUGGUUUUCUGUCAUAACCGCACAUGCGAGUUUGGAACAGCAGGUGCGGCGCCACAGAAGCGGCUCUGUGGUCGCAGAAGUAGAAAGGGGGAGGUUCAGCAGGAGGCGCAAAAAGGUAGAAUUUCUGCAGAAGCGGUACCACAUCUCCGGAUGGGGAGUCGCAAAUGCGGAAGCUGGUCGUAAGUGAAAGGUCGCAGGUGCGGCCAUUUUUUCCCAAAAGCGGGACUGCAGAUAUAGUCCCUUGACCGCAGAUGCGGUAAUAGUUUGGCAGAAAUAUGAAAUUUCGAGAGUUUAGUUUCAAAAGUUGGAAAUUUGAUUUGGAGCUCGGGAGAGGGCGAUUUUGAGAGGAAAUUGAAGAGGUGGUCAUUGUGUAACAAUUCUUUAAUCCUUUCUAGUUAUAUUCCAUCCAUCUAUAGUUUGUUUCAUCAUUUAAUUUCGGAUUGGAGAUGAAAAAUUGGGAAAAAGUUGGAAGAAAGUUCUUAGACCUUAAAUUCGACUUUUGAUUGGGAAUUUGACCUUAGAUUUUGAUAAUUUUGGUAUGCAUGAACUCGUGAGAGUGUGAGGAUUUUGAAAAUAUAAAUUUUACGCGAUUCCGAGACGUGGGCCCAAGGGGCGUUUUGGUCCUUUUACCUAAUUUCGCGUAUUAGCUUAGAAUUUAAUUGUAGAAUCAAUUACUUGAAGUGUUAUUUACAUUAUGCAAUUGAAUUGAAUAGAUUUGGACCAUUUGGAGUCGAAUACUCGUGGUAAAAACGUGAUUUCGAGUUGAUUUUGAGCUGGUUCGAGGUAUGUGGCUUGCCUAACCUUGUAUGGGGGACCUUCCCCUUUGGAUUUGGUAUAUUUGGUAAUUGAAAUGCCUUGUACGUGAGGUAACGAGUGCGUACUUGUGCUAAUUGUUGGAAAUCCGAUUUUCAUUAAGUAACUACUAGUAUGUUUCCUUCCUAUUUUUAUUACUUGCACUAUUAAGCCUGUUGUUAGCUUAGGAAAACAUGUCUAAGUGACCUAAUUGCUUACUUGCUCAAACUGCCUUACCUGAAUUCUGUGCAGCAUGCUAGGCUAGAAUUACUUGUUUGCCUUAAUAUGAAAUUUAUCAUUUCUGAAUAUUUUCCUAUUGCUGCUGUGUAUUUACAUUGGGACUACAGAUGUGGGAUUCCAGUAGCUCCCCCUUGUCUAUUUAUUUUAGGACUACGAAUGUGGGAUUCUAGUAGAUCUCCCCGUACAGUUAUAUGAAACUACGGGAAUGCACCCGGUAGAUUCCCCCAGUACUGUGUAUUUAUAUUUGGGACUACGGAACGGGAUUCUAGUAGAUCCCCGUGCACUAUGAGUUGGACUACGGGACGGGAUCCCAGGAGAUCCAUUGGAUAUGUAUUACGGUAUCCUGGGAGAUCCCGUGGUGUUGAACCGUAUUUCUUUCUGUGUUUACCUUGUAUCUGAAAUAGUUGUUGUUGCCUCUUCUAUCUAGUGUUACUUUUAUUGAUGUACUUAUUUAUACUGUUUUAUUCUGCACAGUUGAACUUUAUAUUUUAUUUAACCUCAGUAGAGUACUGACCUUCCUCAUUGCUAUUCGACCGAGGUUAGACUUUGCACUUACUGAGUACCGCUGUGGUGUACUCAUGCCCCUUCUGCGCAUGUUUUUCAUGUGCAGAUCCAGGUACCUUGACUUAGUCCUAUCACCCUUGAGGCGAGGCGACUGUUCCACAGAUUUCGAGGUAUAUCUGUCGCGUCCGCAGAUCGAGGAGUCCCUUUCUAUUCUCCCUAUUGUAUUAGCCCUUCUGUAUUUCUUUUCCUUGUUAGAUAUUAUGGAGUUAGAGCACUAUGUAGUAUCCUUAGCUUGUGAUUCAUGGGUUUUCGAGUUAAAUAUUGUGUAUGCCGAGCGGUACUUUUAAACGUUGUUUUAUUACUCUAUUUCUAUUUUAAAUUGCUUUCUUUUCUUCCGCAAGUUUGGUUUAUUUUCCGCAUUUUAGGCUUACCUAGUCGUAGAGACCAGGUACCGUCACGAUGGUUCACGGAGGGCGAACCGGGUCGUGACAAAGACUUAUGCUUGGCCUAUAGCAGUAGUAGCUCUAGGGAGGCAGGUCCGGGAUGCAAAGGCAGAACCUCCAUGACGACUACUGUAAGUUGAACAAAAUUAAUUACAUUAUUUUUCUUUUCCACUACUUAAAUAUAUUGCAAUACCUUGAAUAUUAAAUUUUAUUCGAUAUUUUUACUAUAUUGUUAAUUAGGUUGUUACAUUUUCAAUAUUAUAAUUUUAUAUUUUAUACAUUACUUUAAUAUGUUAGUUUUAUUAUUUUAUAUGUUAGUUUUAUUAAUUUAUAUAUUAGUUUUAUUAUUUUAUAUGUUAGUUUUAUUAUUUUAUAUGUUUGUUAGCUAUUCACCUAUUUUUUACUAUAUAUGAUUUAAUUAUUAAAUAUUCACAUUUUGGUUCCAAACACAAUAUUUGAGGCCCAGUAGCACCAAUGUAUCCUGAAUUCUUAUGUUCAUGAUGAGAAUUUUUUUUGAUUUUUUACUCAACAGGUAUGUUAUUUUAUAUGUUAAUUUAUUAUUGUAUAUGUUAGUUUUAUUAUUUAAUAUGUUAGUUUAUUAUUAUAUAUGUUAGUUUUAUUAUUUAAUAUGUUAGCUUUAUUAUUUAAAUAUGUUAGUUUAUUAUUGUAUAUGUUAGUUUUUAUUAUUUAAUAUGUUAGUUUUAUUAUUUAAUAUGUUAGUUUUAUUGUUUAUUAUGUUUUUUUGUUUAUUUGUUUGUUAAUGACUUAUUUUUUUACUAUACUAAAAUUAAAUAAUUACUUUUCAUAACUAUACAAGAUUUAAUUAUUAAAUAAUUAUAUUUUGGUUCCGGACACAAUAUUUGAGGCCCACUAGCACCAAUGUAUCCUGAAUUCUUAUGUUCUUACGUUUGUUGACUAUAAUUGGAGAUAAUUUGUGUUUCGACAUAUUUUUGGGAAUAAAAGAUACUUAAAUGAUUCAUUUCUAUAACUACAAUGAUACUACGGUAAAGGGCACUACGUUUUACUACGCUAAAAGGUCACUAAAUUACAAAUACGAACACUACAUUAGGCCACAAGAUACCACUACAAGGUACUAAAGUAAAAAUUUAUCUAGUUUAAUAGUCUUUUAGCAAAUUAAUAAUCUAAAUCGAAUAAAAAUAAUAAAUUAAUUUAAUCACAAAACAAUCACGAAAUUACAUAUACCACAGUAAAAAGUAACUAAUUAACUUUUUUUUAACAACUAAUAAUAAUUUCUCUAUUUUAUAAUUUUUUUAGCAUACUAAUACUAUAGUCCGGAUAAAAAAUAACAAAUUAGUUAAAUCGCAAAAAAAAAAUUACAAAAUAACAUAGGGUACAUAAAAACAAAUAAUAUGCAUUUUUAAUACAAGUUUUAACAAAAAUUAAGUCGAAAUACCUCAAUUUAAGGUUUUUAGAAAGUCGAAAAUUUUAUGAUUUUGAGCCGGAACAACCAACAACGUACGAAAUAACGCCUUAGCUAGCACGUGGGACCGAGAGUCUUUACUUUUUGUAGGACGGGCUGGGCUCCACUCAAGCUUUUUUGGUUUAAAAAUUGGGGGGGGGGGGGAACGUUUCUGUUUUGGGGGAAGGGAAGGAGAUAAUAUAUUUUUCCGCUUAAAUUAAUUCAGGUAUAGCGUCUUUUUGAAUCACGCUAUACUUAACUGGCCAAACGACCGUUAAAGUAUAGCGUGAUUUCAAAAAACGCUAUAUGUAUUUAUGUCACUAAGUUUUUUUUUCCACAUUUUUGUUGUUUGAGUCCAAAAGAACCACAUUGAUUCCGGACUCGGGCUGAGGGGGAGAUUAGUAAAGCCUUUGCUUUAGGACCCUUAAAUUUUGGGGCCCCAAAAAUAUUUUUAGUUGUAGAUUUAGUACCUUAUUUUCGCUUAGAUAAUAUUGAAGUUUAUAGAAAAAAAGAAAAAAAAUACUAAAUCCUUAUUGAAAUGGAAAGAAAGACUAUCUAUUUUUUAACAAUAGAAAUAUUUUACAACUUUUACUUGAGAUACUCAAAUCUUCGUAUUGAUAAAUAACGUUUUUACAAUAAGAUCCAAUGUAACGAAUUAUAAAUAUGUGGCUUCGUAUUGAUAAAUAACGUUUUUACAAUAAGAUCCAAGGUAACGAAUUAUAAAUACGUGGCUAACAUCUUCUUAACUUGAAUUUUCUUACCAAUAUAAAUAUUAAUAUUAUAUUUAAAGAUAACUACACUAUAAACAAAAUAAAGAAAGAAAAAAAAACAAUGUAAUAUUAAUACUAUAUUUUGCAAGAUAACUAUAGUAUAGACAAUAAAAAAAAUUAAGAUUGCAUUGCAAGAGCAUAGAGGUGGUGCUCCUUGUUUAAUUUAUUGUUGGGUCUGUUCUAAGAGUAGAGUCUAAUUGAGGGAAAAUAUUUGAUUUCCGUUGUGACUAUUUUAUACAAUUUUUUUUCGCUUAGCUGAGACGAUAUUUUAGGCACCUGGGUAAUACUUUCUUGCCCUUGUUCAUCUCUAAGAAUGAUUUCUCGAUCUUUCCAUUGAUUUUUUGGCUUACUAUCUGGCUAAGCUGGGUGUUGGAUAACAGAUUACGAAGACGAAAUCUGCUUAGUGUGCUUAUUAUUGGUAGAGAUCCUGCACCACAACCAUUAGUUAAUAUUGGAGAUCCAAUUGCUGAACAACACAAGAUGGUGUUGGAGCUUGUAAUGCUAACAUUCUAAGAUUUAUGCCACCAUAAAGUGGUGGUAGAGCUCCAAUCGUUGAACCACCACAAGGUGGUGGUGUUGGUAAUGCACAAGUUCCAAUACCGAUACCUCCACAAGAUGGUGCUGGGGCUCCAAUACCCGACCCACCUCAAGCUGGUGCUGGACCUGGUAAUGCUCAGAUACCUCAAAUACUACCGGGGGAUCUAGAAUCAGCGUUAUUGCAUGAUAUAAUUCGCAAAAAUCAGGUAUGCUUUUGUACCUCUAUAUCCUUUAAUGUUUCCCUAUUUUAUGUAUUAGUUGGUGAUAUAAGAUUUUUCCUGUUCUUUCAUCUGGGGCUCCAAGAAAAUUGGCAAUUCUAUGAUUAAAUUUGUUUGUCUUUGAUUAACUAUUAUGGCUUAACAAUUGUGAUAUGUGUUGCUGUUGCACUUGGUGUUAUUUCUCUUGCCCAAUUUAUUCUAUUGUCAUUGAUUGCUAUUCCAAAGAUUCAUGCUCAUAUGUCGAUUAGUUUAAGGCCAAAAGGGUGUUAAUACCUUGUUUAGGAACGUUAAUUUUUAGGAUAUGUUAGUAUUAUGGCAGGAGAAGUUGAGAAUCCAAAAAAUACAUUUCCUGUAAUAUUAACUUUUUCUGUGUUUUGACUUGUGUUGGGUAUAUUAUUCCAUUUUGCCCUUCACUGGAUUUGUUUAGUUAAGAAAAAUGAUUGAGACACACUGUAUUUAUUGCAAAUGCUGCAGAAAUGAAUUCUGGAAAAUGGUUGAAAUUUUGGAUCGAAAUUGAUGUUGUUUUAUCAGCCAUUUGAUUAUUUGAAUCUCAAUUGAAUAGUUUCGUAUUUCAACUUUUGGGCAUGACUGAUAUAGAUUUAUUUGCCAAGUUAUUUUGCUUAAGGUCUAAAUGGUUCAAUACACCUUGGGUUGGUAUAGUGUUAUCAACAAAAAUUUCAUUGGGAAUGUCUUAAAUUAAUUUUCAAGAUAUCAUUUCUUCAGUAAAUAUUUAGGUUUGCUUCUGGAAUUUACUUCAUUACUCUGGCUGAGCGCCAAUAAAAUUGCCCACUUUUGGUAAUUAUGUGUUUAUUACCCUUCCCAUGAGUUUGUUUUUGUUGGAAAUUAUGUGUCCAUGAAGUUUUUUGGUUAUAGCAACCAAACAUGUGUAAUUGAUUAAUGGUUUGAUGGCUAUUGGAGGGAUUAUAUGAUUUUUUUGAUGAAGAUUUGUAAGACAAAGAGGUUGCUUACAUUCAAUAAUUAAGGUAGACAAUAAUUACUAAGAAAGGCAGUUGGUGUAUGCUUUUUUUUUGCUAGAAAGAAACUUGUCGUGACAUUUUUAUAAUAUGUGACUACUGUUGGAAAAACAUUCUUAUUUGCCACUUCUACUUGUAUAUUAUGCAUAAAAUUGUUAUUUUUAUUCAUUUUGACUAAAAUUUGUUAACUUUUAGGCUUACCUCAAGAAGGUGUUUGAUCUGUGGAGUGCACAUAUAACCCUAGUCGAUGGAAGAGCUUUAACAUUGAACGCUUGGACAAUGAGGGUUAGCGAAAAUGACCAGCCAAUUAGUUGGUAGCUACCUGCAAUGGAUUUUGUUGCACUCUACUUCUCGUUGGUGGACGAGACUAGCGUCAAUGGUGUCAACCUGGACAAUGGUGACCAUCUAAUAAUAAAUACUUAAUUUAUUAGUGGUGUUGUUGAGAUCUUUGUCCCUAUCUGACCAGAGAGAAUCAGUAUUUUUGCUGCUGAGGGUAGGGAUAUUAGUAACUCCUAAUUUGUGCCAAAACUUAAUAGCAUUGUGACAUUCAAUGAUAAUAUGGUCAACCGUUUCUUCAUCUCUAUAUUUAGUGUAAUGUUCAACAGUAUUAAUACCUUGCUUAUGAAGAUAAUGACGGGUAUGGUGCUUAUUGUGGUAGUUGAGCCAGAUGAAGUAUUUUAUCUUCAGAGUACGAAGAUUACUUCAAGAAAAAUUCCUAGUAUUAUCUGAAAGCUGACUUAUCAAUCUUUAAAUUGACCAUACUACAGUAGGAAUAUGGAUACAGAAUGCUCUUAGUAGCAGUAUUAGAAGUCAAAAGGAAUAUUAUCAGAACUCCAAUUAUUAUUAUUAAGGUUAGAGCUGACCUGCAUCUCAUAGUGUUGUCCCAUCAAUGGACCGUGAAUUGUUUCUAAAAGACUUGUUGUCAGGGAUCCAGUUGUUGUCCCAUAACCUGAUAUUAUUCCCAUUAACUAUAGAUUAACAGACUACAUUCCUACAAAUGCUAAAGAUAUUCUUCCAACUCCUAGAUUUUACUUUAAGUUGCGUGAUGGGAUGAGGUCUAGAAAGGGCAUUGGAACAAUGUUUAUGAAACAAAGUUUGUGCCCAAAGGGUGCAGAGUUGAUUGAAAAACCUCAAAGAUAGACAAGAUAAUGUGAGCUAGAGUUUUGGUUUCAAUUUUAAUCACCACCCCCCCCCCCCAAAAUUUCUUCCAAGGUAGUAAUAUUCUAGUUAACUAGGUGAAGUUUUGACUUAGUGUCAGCCUGUCAGCAGUACCCCAAAUAACAUUGCGCUAAAUUCUGUAAGUGGAAGCAGUUCUUAGGGACUUAUAUGUACUACAUAGGGUGGUUUGGGGUAGUAUUGAGAAGGGACUAGGGUAACCCUACCAGGCAUAGUAAGGAAUUUCCAUUUCCAGCCUGCCAAUCUCUUCUUCAUAUUAUCAAUUAUCAAUAAUAUACUGAGAAUUCUAAGGUCUUUGGUGAAACUUUAGAAAAUCGAGGUACUUACCAAAGGAGGAUCCUAUAGUUAGAUUAAGGGAGCAGGAUAUCGGUUGUCUAGUGGUCCUAUGGCUGUUGUUGGAAAAGAAUAUAUUUCACUUAGAGAAGUUUAUGUUCUACCCUAAAAUAGUACAAAAUUCAGAAUUCCUAAAAGUAUUACUUGAUUUGGAAGUUGCUCUAUGUCACGAUCCUAAACCUAGACCCGAUCGUGAUGGCGCCUCUCGUAAAGACAAGGCCAGCCGACACUUUCCAUUUCAGUUUUUAAGCAAUUAAACAACAAGAUUCAAAUCUAAAGCAUGAUAAAAUAAUCUAAAGUUUAAGCAGUCAACAGUACAAAUUUACGAAAGAACAACCUAACACAGACCGAUAGGCGUCACUAGUCAUGAGCAUCUAAAAUCCGGAAUAAUCAAGAAAAGUCUACAGAGUUCUGUACAAAACUAAAACAAGAAGAAACAAGAUAAGGAAGAAGCUUUGGGCUGCGAACGCGGACAGCUACCUAGAGAAUCCUCGGAUCCGCCUGAGCUGGAAGGAUCAACAUCAAGAGUGGGACCAGAUGUGCCUGAAUCUGCACACGGGGUGCAGGGAGUAAAGUGAGUACUCCAACUCAGUGAGUAAUAAUCAUAAAUAAAGACUGUAAGCAUGAAUUCACGUAAGGUACAUUAUAGGCUAUAAUGAGGUAGUAAAACCAGUAAAACCAGUAAAUCAAAAAAAGAUAUGUGAAAGUUAUUUUAGUUCAAAUUACACUUCAUGAAAAACCUUUCUCAACAAUUAAGCAGGUAAAUGACAUGCAAUUAAGUAAGUUAAACACAUAAAGGUUCGCCCCUCGGGCAUAGCAUCAACAAAUCCGCCCCUCGGGCAUAGCAUCAACAAAUCCUCCCCUCGAGAAAUAUCUCAGAAUAAUAGUAGCCCCUCGGGCUAUAUCUCACAUCACAAUGGGUACCCGCGCUCACUAGGGGUGUGUAGACUCCUAGAGAGGCCCUUUACGGCCUAAGCGCAAUAUCAAGCCAUCUCGUGGCAUCAUCACUAGGCUCUCGACAUCAUAUCAACAAGCCACCUCGUGGCGUACACAUCUCAGGCCCUCGGCCUCAUAAGAAUAAUCAGUAUUUCCUCACAACAUAGGCCCUUGGCCUUACUCAGUCAAAAUCUCACAGCCACUCGGGCAACAGUAAAACAUAGUGCUUAGCCCAAAAUAUCAUUUAAGUAUUAAAGUAGAGUAAACAUGGCUGAGUUAUGAAAAUAGUAGAAUACAACAUGAUUGAGUUCAAGUAUAAAGUCAAAACAGUAAGGAAUAUCAAUAAAAAUCCCCUAAGGGUUCAAAUAGUUGGCACGAAGCCCAAAUAUGGCAUUCAGCCUAAAACAAGAUGAUAUCAAAUAGAUUGCAGUCAAAUAUGCGGUAAAAUAGUCAUUCGGGACAGACUAAGUCAAAAUCUCCAAUAGUGCACAACUCCACGCUCGUCAUCUAGCAUGUGCGUCACCUCAAUAUAGCAUCACGAUGUGCAAUCCAGGGUUUCAUAUCCUCAUGACAUCAUUUACAAUCAUUACUCAACUCAAUCCGGUCAAAUCUCUAGCCCGCAACGCCUUUGCCCCUCGAAUCGGCCUCCACUCGCAUUGAAUCUAUCCAAAAUCAGAAACACGGCAUGAAAAUAUGCUAAGGGAACGAAGCCCAAGCGAAAAUAAUCAAUAUACAACACAAAUCCCGAAAUUACCAAAACCCGACCCCCGGGCCCAUGUCUCAGAAUUCGAUAAAAUUCACAUCAAUGGAUUUCUUAUCUCCCCACGAGUUCAUACAUAUCAAAAGUACCAAAAUCCGAUCACAAUAGGUUCCUCAAAUCCACAAGUCUAGGUCUCCAAUACCAAGCCCUAGUUUCCCCAAUUUUAACCCUUAAUUUCCAUUAAUUAUGGCUCUAAUCCGUGAAAUAAUACAUAGGAACGAGUUUUAUGACCAAAAUUUUUACCUCAAUAAAGUUCCCUUGUAAUCUCUCUUCAAAAUCGUCCAAAAAGCUCCAAAGCCGACUUAAAAAUGGUGAAAUAGCUCAAAAAUCGCGAAGGACACAAUUUAUACCUUCUGGCCUAGGCAUUUUCGCAUCUGCGGCCAUAUACCCGUUUUUGCGGUAUCGCAUUUGCGGCCAAAGAACUGCCUCUGUGGUUUUCACUUAUUCUGUCCUGAUCCGCAUCUGCGAUGCACCAGCCGCACCUGCGCCAUCGCAGGUGCGGUCCACUAACCAUUUUUGCGGCUUCCUGCCUACCUAGCUCCAUUCUGCUUCUGCAGCUCCCCUCCACGCAUCUGCGAGAUCGCACUUGCGCACCCUAAUCCGCAUGUGCAGAAAUACCAGAAGCAGCAAAAAAUUUGCAGCCUACCAAAAUUCCAAACUUCUCCGUUAACCAUCCGAAAUCACCUCGAGGCCCCUAGGACCUCAACUAAAAACACCAACCUAUUCCAAAACCUAAUUCAAUCUUGUACCAAUCUUCAAAACACCUCAAAUAACAUCGAAUCAACCAAACCACAUCAGAUUCAAACCAACUGGACCGUGAUGAAAUCCAGAACAUGAGAUGGAUACCCGGAGCAUGGAAACAUGAAUUACCUGGUGCACACUCGACAAGCUGAGUGGUAAAGCAAGCUCAUAAGCCACCCCCCAAUCCUCUGAAGCACCUCAAAAGGCUCAAUGAACCGAGGACUCAAUUUCCCUUUCUUCCCAAAUCUCAUAGCACCCUUUAUGGGCGAAACCUUCAACAGAACCUUCUCGCCAACCAUGUAGGACACAUCUUGAACCUUCCUGUCAGCGUAACUUUUUUGUCUCGACUGUGCUGUACGAAGCCUCUCCUGAAUUACCUUCACCUUUUCUAAGGCAUCCUGCACCAAGUUUGUCCCCAAUAGCCUAGCCUCACCUGGCUCAAACCAACCAACUAGAGAUCUAUACCGUCUCUCAUACAAAGCCUCAUAUGGAGCCAUUUGAAUACUCGACUGGUAGCUGUUGUUAUAAGAAAACUCUUCAAGCGUUAGAAACUGAUCCCGUGACCCUCCGAAAUCAAUGACACAAGCACGCAACAUGUCCUCCAAUAUCUGAAUAGUGUGCUCGGUCUGCCCGUCUGUCUGAGGGUGAAAAGUUGUGCUCAACUCAACCUAAGUACCCAACUCUCGCUGCACAGACCUCCAAAAAUGCGAAGUAAACUGAGUGCCCCUAUUUGAGAUGAUGGAAACUGGGACACCAUGCAAACGAACAAUCUACCAGAUAUAGAUCUCUGCCAACCACUCUGAAGAAUAGGAAGUAGACACAGGAAUAAAGUGCGCGGACGUAGUCAGCCGAUCCACAAUCACCCAAAUGGCAUCGAACUUCUUUAAAGUUCGUGAAAGUCCAACUACAAAGUCCAUAGUGAUCCUCUCCCACUUCCACUCUGGAAUAUCCAUCCGCUGAAAUAAACCACCUGGUAUCCGAUGCUCAUAUUUCACCUGCUGACAAUUGAGAGACCGAGCUACAAAUCCCACAAUGUCUUUCUUUAUUCUUCUCCACCAAUAAUGCUGCCUCAAAUCCUGAUACAUCUUUGCAACACCUAGAUGAAUGGAAUACCGCGAGCUAUGGGCCUCCUCCAUAAUCAACUCCCGAAGCCCAUCCACAUUGGGAACACAUAUCCGGCCCUGCAUCCUCAACACCCUAUCGUCACCAAUGGUUACAUCUCUGGCAUCAUCAUGCUAAACUUUGUCCUUAACGACAAGCAAAUACGGAUCAUCAUACUAGCGCUCUCUGAUGCGAUCAUAUAAGAAAGACCGAGAAACCACACAAGCCAAAACCCGAUUGGGCUCCGAAAUAUCUAACCUCACGAACCUAUUGGCCAAGGCCUGAACAUCAACUGCAAGAGGUCUCUCCCCAACUGGAAUAUAUUCCAAACUCCCCAUACUCACCGUCUUUCAUCUCAAAGCAUCGGCCACCAUAUUGGCCUUUCCUGGAUGGUACAAUAUAGUGAUAUCAUAAUCCUUAAGCAAUUUCAACCACCUCCGUUGUCUCAAAUUAAGAUCCUUCUGUUUGAACAAGUGCUGGAGACUACGAUGAUCAGUAAACACCUCACAAGACACACCAUAUAAGUAAUGCCUCCAAAUCUUCAACGCGUGAAAUAUGGCAGCCAACUCCAAAUCAUGAAUGGGGUAGUUCUUCUCAUGGGGCUUCUACUGACGAGAAGCAUAAGCGAUAACUCUACCCUCCUCCAUCAAUACACAACCAAUACCAACUCUCGAAGCAUCAUAAUACACGGUAUAUAAACCUGAAGCUGAUGGCAAAACUAACACUGGAGCUAUGGUUAAGGCUGUCUUGAGCUUCUGAAAGCUCUCCUCACACUCAUCCGACCAUACAAAUGAAGAACCUUUCUAAGUCAACUUGGUCAAGGGCGAUGCGAUGGAUGAAAAUCUCUGAACAAACCGGCGAUAAUAGCCUACCAGACCAAGAAAGUUAUGAAUCUCUAUGGCUGAAGACGGUCUAGGCCAACUCUGAACUGCCUCUAUCUUCUUCGGAUCAACCUGAAUACCCUUGUUGGACACCAUGUUCCCCAAGAAAGCCGCCAAAACUCACACUUGGAGAAUUUUGCAUAAAGCUUCUCCUCUUUCAAUAUCUGCAACACAACUCUUAAAUUCUCUGUGUGCUCCUCCUGACUACGCGAAUACACCGGAAUAUCAUCAAUGAAGACUAUGACAAACGAGUCGAGAUAAGGCCGAAACACGCUAUUCAUCAAAUGCAUGAAUGCUGCUGGGGCAUUGGUCAGCCCAAAACAUAUCACCAAGAACUCAUAAGGACCAUAUCCGGUCAUGAAAGCUGUCUUAAGAAUAUCCGAGUCCCUGAUCUUCAACUGGUGAUACCCUGAACGGAGAUCAAUCUUGGAGAACACUCUCGCUCCCUGAAACUGGCCGAAUAAAUCAUCAAUAGAGGCAAAGGAUACUUACUCUUAACUAUUACUUUGUUCAAUUGCCUAUAAUCAAUGCACAUCCUCAUAGUGCCAUCCUUCUUCUUCACAAAUAGAACCGCCGAAUGAACCCCUUAUCAAGGAGUUCUUAAAGCUGCUCUUUUAACUCCUUCAACUCCGCUGGUGCCAUACGAUACGGCGGAAUAGAAAUGGGCUGAGUGUCCGGCACUAGGUCAAUACCAAAAUCAAUAUCCCUGUUCGGUGGCAUGCCCGACAGGUCUGCAAGAAACACAUCGGGAAAAUCCCUCACAACUAGAAAAGAAUUAUUACUGGGAGUCUCUGCAUCGACAUCCCUCACAAAGGCUAGAUACGAAAAACAACCCUUCCCAACCAUACGUUGGGCUUUCAAGAAAGAUAUCACUCUACUAGGAACAUAAUCAGUCACACCUGACCACUCAAUCCGUGGCACACCCGGUAUAGCCAAUGUUACUGUCUUAGCAUGACAGUCCAGAAUAGCACUAUACGGAGAUAGCCAAUCCAUGCCCAAAAUGACAUAGAAAUCCACCAUACAUAAUAAUAAAAGAUCCACUCGGGUUUUUAGACCCCCAAUAGUCACCACACACGACCGAUACACACAGUCUACAACAACAGUAUCGCCCACUGGGGUAGAUACAUGAACAGGUGAUACAAGAGACUCAUGGGGCGUAUCCAAAUAAUGAGCAAAGUAUGAUGACACAUAAGAAAAGGUGGAACUAGGAUCAAAUAAUACAGAGGCAUCUUUUUGGAAGACUGAAACAAUACUUAUAAUAACAGCAUCGGAAGCAAUAUUCGGGUCUAGCUGGAAGUGCAUAAAAAUGGGCCUAGCCGCCACCUGAUCGACCUCCCCCUCUGGGACGGCCUCUAGCUGACUGACCUCCACCCCUAGUUGGCUGGGUGGGUGAUGAUGAAGUAACUAGCGCUGAAUCCGAUGACUGACCCCUCUGCUGAGAUGAACCCGCAAGACGACGAGGGCACUGACUCCACAUAUGACCCAUAUCUCUACAAUCAUAACAACUCCCAAGUGCUGGAGAAGGGGACUGAAGGGAACCCCUCGCACCUGAAUGACUAGCAGAUGCACCUGGCAUAGAAGAGCCCUGAACUGAUGGAGCACGGGACGAACUUUGAGCUGGAUUGGCACUAAGUGAUGAUUGGCCCUGAUGAGAACCGUAAGAACCAUGACUCGAUGACACUCCACGAUAACCUGGGUGAGCUGGCUGAGCAUGCCUGAAUAGAUGGCCUCUACCGUGCUGAAACUGGCCUCUUGAAGGAGCACCACGAUAACUACCAGAUCCUCGAGGCCUCUUGGCCUCCCUCUCCUCUCGCUCCUAGCGAUGAACAGACUCAAUCUCACGGGCGAUAUCCACAACCUCCUCGUAAGUUGCACCAGUACCCUCUCCCUGGUCAUGAGAAUGCGAAGCUGAUAAGUGAGGCCAUCAACAAACCUCUUAAUCCUCUCUCUAUCUGUCGAAACCAACCAAAUGGCAUGACGAGCUAACUCGGAGCACCUCAACUCAUACUGCGACACGGUCAUCUCUCCCUGAUGCAACCACUCAAACUGCCUGCGCAGCUCCUCUCUAUGAGACUGCGACACAUAAUUCUCCAGAAAGAGAACGGAGAAUUGCUGCUAGGUAAGGGGUGCUGCACCAACAGGCCUACACCUCUCAAAAUCCUCCCACCAAGUGAAGGAAGCUACAGAAAACUAAUAAGCAGUGAAAGCGACCCCGCUGGUCUCCAGAAUACCCGCUGUACAAAGCAUCCUCUAACACUUAUCUAAGAAACCCUGGGCAUCCUCGCCCUCUGCACUACUGAAGGUCGGAGGCUGAAGUUUACCAAACCUCUCCAACCUACGUUGUUUGUCCUAUGACAUGGCAGGAACUACAUAAUCCUAAGCAGCUGCAACUGGCUGGGCUGGAUGUGCCCCCGGUAUCUGAAGUCCCUACACGACCUGCUCAGAUGUGCGGGCGAGGGGAGUCUGAUUUCCUCUCCCGGCCUGAGAAGUAGCUGUGGCUGUAGUAGGUGAGACUACCUGAGCUAGGCCAGUGCAAACUGAUAGAAUCUGAGCCAAGGCCUCUUGAAGACCCGAAAUCACAAUGGCCACAGCUGGUGCUUGAGCUGGUACUUCUAGAGUGUCCAUAACUGGGACCUGAUCCUGAAGUGGGGUUGCUGGUGGAUCUGCAGGUGCAGCCCUAGUUGUUGUGCGAGCCACACCUCUGCCCCUACCGCGACCACGAUCGUGUCCUCGGCCUCUAGUGGCCAUAGUUGGUGGUACUGGUGGUCGUCUAUCCUGACUGAUAGCGCGAUGUCCUCACCAUCUGUGAGAGAAUAGAAUAACAGAAUGUUAGUACUCGGAUCAACAAAUUCGCACGACAAGAAUUUUAAGAAUAUGAAGUUUUUCCUAAAGGUUCUGCAGCCUCUUGAGGAUAAAUACAGAUGUCUCUGUACCGAUCUGCGAGACUCUACUAAACCUGCUCAUAACUCGUGAGACCUAUGUAACCUAGGCUCUGGUACCAACUUGUCAUGACCUUAAACCCGGACCCGGUCAUGAUGGCGCCUCUCGUGAAGUCAAGGCCAGCCGACAUUUCCCAUUUCAGUUUUUAAGCAAUUAAACAAUAAGAUUCAAAUCUAAAUCAUGAUAAAUAAUCCAAAGUUUAAGCAGUCAAUAAUACAAAUUUGCAGAAGAACAACCCAACACAGUCCGAUACCAGGGUGUCACUAGUCAUGAGCAUCUAAAAUCUGAAAUAAUCAAGAAAAGACUACAGAGUUCCGUACAAAACUAAAACAAGGAUAAACAAUACAGGGAAGAAGCUCUGGGCAGCAAAAGCCGGCAACUACCUAGAGAAUUCUCGGAUCCACCUGAGCUGGAAGGAUCAACACUCGGGAGCGGGACUAGAUGCGCCUGAAUCUGCACAUGGGGUCCAGGGAGUAAAGUGAGUACUCCAACUCAGUGUAAUAAUCAUAAAUAAACACUGAAAGCAUUAAUUCACGUAAGGCACAUUACAGGCUAUAACUAGGCAGUAAAACCAAUAAAAACAGUAAAUCAGUAAAAGAUAUGUGAAAGUCAUUUUAGUUCAAAUUACACUUAUGAAAAGCCUUUUUCAACAAUUAAGCAGGUAAAUGAUAGGCAAUUAAGGAAGUUAAACACAUAAAGGUUUGCCCCUCGGGCAUAGCAUCAACAAAUCCUCCCCUCGGGCAUAGCAUCAACAAAUCCUCCCCUCGGGAAGUAUCUCAGAAUAAUAGUAGCCCCUCGGGCUAUAUCUCACAUCACAAUGGGUACCCGCGCUCACUAGGGGUGUGCAGACUCCUGGAGAGGCCCUUUACGGCCUAAGCGCAAUAUCAAGCCAUCUCGUGGCAUCAUCACUAGGCUCUCGGCCUCAUAUCAACAAGCCACCUCGUGGAGUACACAUCUCAGGCCCUCGGCCUCAUAAGCAUAAUCAGUAUUUCCUCACAACAUAGGCCCUUGGCCUUACUCAGUCAAAAUCUCACAGCCACUCGGGCAACAGUAAAACAUAGUGCUUAGCCCAAAAUAUCAUUUAAGUGUUAAAGUAGAGUAAACAUGGCUGAGUUACGAAAAUAGUAGAAUAUAACAUGAUUGAGUUCAAGUAUAAAGUCAAAAUAGUUGCGGUACCGCAUUUGCGGUUAUUUCUCCGCUUCUGCGGAAAUCACUUAACUUACGGUUUUCUGCUUAUGCGAUCCCUCAUCCGCAUUUGCGACAUUGCAGAUGCGGUCCAUCUCACCGCUUCUGCAGUUCCUGACUCCCUCAGAACUUCAGUUUCUGCUACCUCCCUUAUUGCACAUGCGGUCCCCAAUUCGAAUGUGAGGAAAUACCAGAAGCAACACCUUCAACAGCUGCAACAAAAUUCCAACUUCUCUGUUAACCAUCUGAAAUCACCCCGAGGCCCCCGGAACCUCAACCAAAAGAACAAACAUAUCCUAAUACCUUAUUCAAACUUGUACCAAUCUUUAAAACACCUCAAAUAACAUCAAAUCAACCAAAACCCAUCAGAUUCAAGCCAAAUUUUCUAAAAUCUUCCAAAUUCCGCUUUUGAUCAAAAACCCAACCAAACCUCGUCCGAAUGACAUGAAAUUUUGCACAUACAUCCUAAAUGAUACAACGGAACUACUGCAACUCUCAGAAUUCCAUUCCGACCCCUCUAUCAAAAUCUCGCCUACCAACCGGAAAUUGCCAAAAUAUCAACUUUGCCAAUAAAAGCCUAAAUCUACUACGAACCUCUAAAAUUCAUUUCGAUCACGCUCCUAAGUCACAAAUCACCUCCCAAAGAUAGCCGAACCAUCAAAACUCACAUACGAGCCCUCUAACACAUAAGUCGAUAUCUGGUUGACUUUUCCAACUUAAACUCACUCUUAAGAGACUAAGUGUCUCAAACCUUACCAAAUCCUUUCCGAACUCGAUACGACCAACCCGAUACCACAUAACACGGAUAACAAGGCAUAACAAAGCAGAAAUAGGGAAAACGGAGUGGUAACUCAUGAGACGACUGGCCGGGUCAUCAUAAUAUUCCCCUACCUCUCCCCCUUGUGUGAGAUUUGUUCUGAAGCUGUAUGUUCUCUAGCCUGCUUUCUAACUAUUUUUUUUAAAUGCCUUAUUAAAUUGUUCCUACUCUUUACUCUGUUCUGACUUUCAUAAAUGUUCUUUCUACUAGUAAGAUCUUCAUUCUCUAUCUACCAAACCCUUUCAAAGUCAUUAUGCACUCCCACAUUACUCCUAGAGUAUUAGGUUCUGCCCCUCUGGCAUGUCAGAGCUGGCCUUUCCACACUGCACUUAAAUCAGUUAUUGUUGAGAAAGGGUUUAGGUGUGAGCACUACCCGGGAUCCUUGAGGUCCUUAGGGAACUUUGACACACCUAGACAUGAUAUCGUCUAUGGAACUUUGGUAUUGAGGCUAUCGGAGGCUUGGGAAAUCAUUUGGGCCUGCUUCAGGCUCCCUAUAGUUAACUUCUUUUUUUUUAUUUGUUUAUGUAAUUUAUUUCAGACGGUAUGUAAUAAUUAUAUAUAAACAACAUUGGGGUGAUUAGUGAAAAGGGAUGGGUAGUUAUAUCUGUUAGGGUAAUUCGGGUAGAUACCAUGCCUAUAGGAUUGUGUUAAUACACUUGUUAUGUUUGCUUUACUUUCACAAUAUUAGAAAUUAUGUCUAUAGGGUUAAAAUCAACUUUAUAAUUAGAAAUCAUGCUUAUAGGAUCUAAAUGGCUUUGUAAUUAGAAAUCAUGCCUAUAGGAUUUAAAUGGCUUUAAUAACUAGAUACCAUGCCUAUAGAGUGUAAAGUAAUUGAGUUCAAUUUCUGCCACUACAUGUAUUUGCAUUUGUUUCACUAAAAAUCAUGCCUAUAAGUUCCAACAUCAGCUCUUAACAAUUAGAUACCAUGCCUAUAUGAAUUAAAAUCAAAAAUCCUACCUACAGAACUAAAAUCAGUUUGGUUAAACAAGUCAGUUUAAUUCAUGUCUAAUUCGUGUUCAAAUUGGUUCAAUUACUGUCCAUUUCUUUAAAUGAGUUUCCAAACACUGCCUUAAUUUACUACCGCUAGAAAACAUGUCUAUAGGAUCUCAAAUAUCUAUUUAAAACUGUUCGCUAUUUUACUAAAUCAAGGUAGAUAUCCUGCUCUUAGGACAUCACUGUCUGCGUUUAGGCAAGCCUAUAGGGCGAUUAAAAUUUUGCAACUCUGAAAUUGUGUUUUUGCUAUUUAAACUGUCCAGAUUUAAUAGGUUUAAACCAGUAGGCAAGCUAAAUAGGAUUUUGACACUUUGUCCUAAUUCAAGGCUGUGUAAUCCCUGCUCACCUAGAUACCAUGUUCUAGGAUCUUCUCUUAAAUACUGGACUAUUGUUUGAAGACGUGCAAUUACUUGUUAUAUUUGUGGAGGUAACUUUGGGCCUAUAACUUGUUCCCUUUAAAUGCAAUCCUAACCGUUCUUGAUUGAUUCCUAGACUUUUAUCCUUUAAAACCUUAGGAGGGUCUAGAACUGUCCAAAAGUAGAGGUCCUGAAAUACCUCCAGGGCCACGAGGAGGGGACGGGUAGUGCACACAUAAGACAUUUUAAUGUUAUUAGAAUGCUUUAGGUUAUGAUGACUACGCGCUAAUAUCACGUCUAGCCCCUUAUUGAGGAGUGUUUACCGGGCAUUGUGUGGGGUGAUCCUGUAGGCUAAUCAACAUAGGAUCCCUUUCUCCAAUUCCCAAUGUACUUUACUUUUUUAUAUGCAACUUGCUCAAAUUCUUUGUCUUAUUAUUAUUUGAGUCAAACAGUGUCCGAUAUACUUUUAUUUACAAAUUAUGUGUUUCAACUUCUUGUUUUUAAAGGACUAAUUCAUAAGUAUGAGUUCGGCCAGGACCCACUAUUGUGGACCAAGAGGGGUGCCUAACACCUUUCCCUCAAGGUUAUUUCGAGCCCUUACCCUAAAUCUCUAGUAAUGCAAAUUAGUCUAAGUGUUAAUUACUCUAGGUGCCCUAACGCACCAUAAAUCCGUUAGGUGGCGACUCUUCAAAUACCCAAAUCCCAAAACCCCCCAUGAACGUCGGAACCCGGAAUUCUCUCCGCGAAGAGAAAAAAGGGGCGCGACACUACUUAUUUCCUGCAUCGUUAGUGUGGAAGUUUCAAAUAAUUUUUUACUGUGCUGUUUUGGAUUGGAUAACCAGUCGUUGGAUGAUUUUUUUUUCUUUUCUUGUUUUGCUAUAAAAAGAAAUAAUCAAAGCUGAAGGGAGAAAUAAAUCAAAGAUUGAUUGAAGCAUCUAAAAGGAAAAAGAGCGCUAAGAAUCCGACAAGAAAAUCAAUCAGAGAUUGCCUGAAGAGUUAAAAAGGAAAAAACGCAUUAAAGAUGGAAGGAACCAUAUUUAAGGAGCAAACACGGCGCUAUUAAGGCUUGAAGAUGGAAGGUGUCAAAGUCCACACAUCAAGGAAGAGUAACGGGCAUUUACCUUAUUCUUGGAAAGAAUCAAUUUCUUUCCAAGGAUCAAAUCUCUUGGGUUGACAAAUCUGUUCAGUAACAGUCUCCUACAAAGUAUUUAUACGCAACCUUAGGACUUAGAGACAUAUACUUUGAUCAAACCAAUUAUCCUCUCUUUGUUCUACCACAAACAAACAUUGUAGCUUUACUAGAUCUACCGUGUAACAACUUAGAGAAGAAAGAGAGAAAAAUACUAGUGAGGCAUUGUAUCAAGAAAAGACGAGUGACAUAAAAACUGAGUUGUUGGUGUAAACUACACCAUUCACUUUGUACUCAAGAAACUCAAUCCCUGAAAGAGAAAUCCCUUGCAACCCAAGGGAACUGGACUAGGAUUCACAUUGAAUCCGAACCAGUAUAAAACCUCCGUGUCUUUAAUUCUUGCAAUUUACUUCUGCAUUUUAAUUCUGCACCUUUUGAUAUCUUGCUAUUACAUCUAGCCGACUAAUUGAAAAAAUAAUCAACUUAUAACAAUUAAUUUUAAUAAUAAAUCAAUUCACCCCCCUCUUGUACUUUCAUGUACUUAUCUUCUAGAGGCUAUGAAGUUUAGGAACAAAUUUCACUUUUACUCUUCUUUGUCGUGUGAUUUUACUCUCUCAUUGCUCAUUGAACUCUUCUACUCUUGUUCUCUCACAGAUGGUGAGAACAUGUACUGCAUUUCAAUCGGAGACCCCAGUGGCAGCUCCUAUGAGAAGUAGAGGUCGAGGCUGAGGUAGAGGUAGAGCUCAGCCCAGAGCUCGAGCACCAGCACCAGCACCAGUAGUAGAGUCUUAGGUGGAGUUUGAUGAGGAGGUUCCAUCCUAGACUGUGCCUAUUGGACCAGCUCAGGUCCCGGAGGGGUUCAUCGCCACCCUUGUGCUUCAAGACGCUCUAGUCCGUUUAUUGGGCCUUAUGGAUAGUGUGUCCCAGGCCGGUACAUUCCCUAUAGCACCACCCAUAUAUCAGGCUGGGAGAGGAGCAAAGACUCCCACUACUCACACUCCGGAGCAGAUGAACCCUAAUACCAGACUCCAGCAGCCCAGCCAGUUAGGGUAGUUUAGCUGGUGUUGUGGCAUAUGCCGGUGAUGGACUAACCAUGUCUUCUGAGGGCUUAUUGAGAUUGGACAAGUUUACCAAGCUCUUACUAGUUCACUUCAGUGGUGCACCUUCUGAGGAGCCACAGGAUUAGCUUGGCCGCUGUCAUGAGGUGCUGCGGAACAUGGGGAUAGUUGAGACCAAUGGGGUCGAUUUUGCUUUGUUUUAGAUGAUGAUUUCCACCAAGAGAUGAUGGAAGGAUUUUGUAGCUACUAGACCAGUCGGGUCGUAUGCUCUUACUUGGGACUAGUUCUCUCAGAUAUUUCUUGAGAAGUUCUUUCCUGUCAUACUGAGAGAGGAUUAUCGCAAGCAGUUUGAGCGUCUCCAUCAGGGCAGUAUGUUAGUCACUCAGUAUGAGACUCGUUUUGUGGAUCUGGCCAGUCAUGCUAUUCUUCUGCUUCCUACCAAGAGAGAGAGAGAGAGAAGGUGUGGAGGUUUAUCGAGGGACUCGCUCAGCCUAUCAAAUUGCAGAUGGUUAAGGAGACCGGGAGCGAUAUUUUUUUCUGACAGCUGCUAAUGUCACCUGGCGAGUCGAGAUGGUUCUUGCAUAGGGGGAGGUAACGGAUCUGACAAGAGGCCUCGUCAUUCCAGUGGGUUCAGUGGUGCCUCGUCUGGAGGCAGGGGUACUUUCGGUAGAGGCCAUCCUCACAGGCCGUUUUAUUUAGCACUCCAGGCGUCCCAUAGUGCUACAGGUGGUUGUGGCCCUCAUAUGCCUCAUUCUGACUAGCUAACCUAUAGUGCACCACCAGCUCCUAUUAGUGCACCUCGGCUCCAGAGUUUUCAGGGUGGUUUCUCGGGUUGACAUGGUCAGUUUUAGGGUCUGCAGUCACAGCAGCCAAGGUCCUGUUAUACUUAUGGUGAUCUGAGGUAUAUUGCUAGAUUUUUUCCUCGGGCAUCGAGCAUCUCACAAUAUCAAGGUUCUCGUGCCAUGGUCCCAGCACUGGUGCUUUACUGCCCGCUAAUAUAGCUAGAGGUUGGGAUCAGACAGCUAGAGGUAGAGGUUAGGCUAUCAGAGGUGGUGGUCAGUCUGCUAGAGGUGGAGGCCAGCCAGCUAGGGCCCGUCCAUAGAGAUAUAGUUCAGAGUGGUGGGGCCCAGCCUCGAUGCAAUGCUUUUCCAGCUAGGCCUAAGGCUGAGUCAUCUGACGCCGUUAUCAGAUGUAUUGUUUCAGUUUGCCGUAGUGAUGCUUCAGUUCUAUUUGAUCCGGGCUCUACUUAUUCCUACGUGUCAUCCUAUUUUGCUUCAUAUUUGGUUAUGCCUCGUGAUUCUUUGAGUGCUUCUAUGUAUGAGCCUACACCUAUGGGAGAUGCUAUUGUUGUAGAUUGUGUUUAUCAUUUGUGUGUGGUUACAAUUGAAAGUCUUGAGACUAGUGCAGAUCUUCUACUUCUUGAUAUGGUAGACUUCGAUGUUAUCUUAGGCAUAGAUUGGCUAUCACCGUAUCACACUAGAUUGGAUUGUCACGCCAAGACGGUGACCUUAGCCUUGCCAGGGUUGCCUCGAUUAGAGUGGAGAGGGACUCCUGGCCAUUCUACCCGGAGGGUUAUCUCUUAUGUGAAGGCUCGGUAUAUGGUCGAGAAGGGGUGUCUAGCUUAUCUGGCUUAUGUCCGCGAUUCUAGUAUGGAGGUUCCUUCCAUGGAUUCAGUACCUAUUGUUUGUGCGUUUCCAGAGGUAUUUCCUACAGACUUGCUGUCAUGAUCCUAAAACUCACCCGGUCAUGAUGGCGCCUAUCGUGAAACUAGGCCAGCCGACACAAACCCAAAACCAACUAGAAAAUCAUAAGAAGCCAUUUUAAGCCAUUAAUUAACUAAAAUCCCAUAAUAUAAGUUUAAACAAGCAGUGCGGAAAUAUAACACAAGCCCGACAUCGGGGUGUUACCAGUCAUGAGCAACUACAAACUUUUCUAAGAACAAGGAAAGGCUAACAUAGUCCGAAAAUAAAAUACUAAGACAAUCUGAGUAAUAAGAAGGAGAAAUGUAGGGCUGCGAACGCCAAGAAGCUACCUAGCCAACUCUGGAGACCUGCUGGAAGACUGAUCAGCACUCACUAUCACGUCCCGAGACUCAUGAAUCUACACACAUGGUGCAGGGAGUAAUGUGAGUACGCCAACUCAGUAAGUAUUAAAAGUAAAAGAAGCUAAGCAGUAAGAAAACAUGUAAUUCCACGUCAUAGAACUACAACAAAAUAGUAUAUGUCCAGAACAAUACAGUAAAUCAAUUAACUCGUAAAACAACUCGGUUCAGUAAAACCCUUUUAAAACAUCUUUCAAUAGUUUCAAACGAGUGAUGAAAACAGUGAGUAAAAGGAUAGAAAGUAAAUGGCCCCUCGGCCAAAACAUGUAUCAAAAACUGCCCAUCGGGCAAAAUAUCAACAAAACCAGCCCCUCGGGCAACAACAUGAAACAACAAGAGCCCCUCGGGCAAUAUCAUAUCACUCACACUGGGACACGCACUCACUGGGGGUGUUCAGACUCUAGAAGGGCUCCUACAGCCCAAGCGCUAUCACAAGCCAUCACGUGGCAUAGCAAAUCAGGCCCUCGGCCUCUCAUAUAUCACAAAUCAGUACAACAUGCUAUGACGCACAGCCCGAUCCCAUAAUAUCCUCACAACACAGGCCCUCGGACUCACUCAGUCAGAAAUCUCUCAAGCCACUCGGGCAAUAGUAAAACAUGAUGCUCAGCCCAAAAUAUCAUUUAAAUUAUCAAAAUGGAGUAAGUACGGCUGAGUUAUAAAAACAGUAGAAUACAACAUGACUGAGUUUAGAUAUUAAGUAAAACCAUUAAGGAAUAGUAGUAAAAAGCCCCUAAGGGUCCAAAACAGUUGGCAUGAGGCCCAGAUAUGGCAUUCAAUCCAAAACAUGGAAAUACUUUCCAAAACACAAUGAUAUCAAAUAGUUUUCAAUCAAAUACACGACUUAACAGUCGUACCGGACAGACCAAGCCAGAAUCCCCAAUGGUGCACGACCCCACACUCAUCAUCUAGCGUGUGCAUCACCUCAAAGUAGCACAACGAUGUGAAAUCUGGGGUUUCAUACCCUUAGGACAAUAUUUACAAUCAUUACUAACCUCGAUCCGGUCCAAACUCUAGCCCGCAAUGCCUUUGUCUCUCUAUUUGUUCUCUAAAUGCUCCAAAUCUAACCAAAAUCAGUAUCAUACCAUAAAUACGCGCUAAAGGAACAAAGCCCAAGCGAAAUAAUCAAAUUAACUCAAAAAUCCUAAAAUUGGUCAAACCCGACCCCAGGCCCACAUCUCGGAAUCCGAUAAAAAUUACAUCAAUAGAAUCCUUAUUCUCCCACGAGUCCAUACAUACUAAGAACAUCAAAAUCGGAACUCAAAUGUCCCCUUAAAUCCCCAAUUUACACUCUCUAAUUUCAACCCCUAAUUCCCCAAUUUUAGGCUUUAAAUCCCACUAAUUUCAUGUCUAAAUAGUUAGAAAUCAUCAUAGAAUUGAGUAUUGAGUUCAAAAACCUUAUCUCCAAGUGUUUCGCUUCGAUUCCAUCUCCAAUACCUCUCAAAAAGCUUCAAAGCCGUUCAAAAAUGGUGAGAAAUGGGCUAAUAAUCGCGAAGAUGAGUUUUUAUACAUUCUACCCAGGUGCUCUCUUCAUCGCGAACGCGACCGUCCUCUCGCGUUCGCGUAGGCCAAUAUCAGACUUCCUCUGCUUAACCAUUUGUGAAUGCGACAACUUCUUUGCGAAUGCGAUGCUCAACCAGCUCACUCCUUCGCGAACGCAGACCUCGCCUCGUGAACACGUAGACCAAAGACCUGGGUUCCCCAACUGCCUCACUCCUCUUCGCAAAUGCGACCCCACUCACGCGUCCGCGAUGCACAUGAUGCCUUAACCUUCGCGUUUGCGUCCUCUCCUUUGUGAACGCGUAGAACAAAAUUCACUACCACAGAAGACACUCUUUGCGAACGCGAGACACCCUUCGCAAACAUGAUUAACAAAAUCUCUGCAACAGAAAACCAGCAAAAUCUGCUAACUCCUCAAGUCCAAAAUGACCUGUUGAGCAUCCGAAACACACCCGAGGUCCUUGGGACCUCAACCAAAUAUGCAACACAUCCCAUAACAUCAUUCAAACUUGUUCCAACCUUCGGAACACAUAAAACAACAUCAAAACAUCAAAUCACCCUCAAAUUUAAGCAUAAGGAUUCUAGAACUUCCGAAUUCCGCAAACGUUCAAAAUGUCUGUCAAACAUCACUUGAAUAACCUGAAAUUUUGCACACACGUCAAAAAUGACACAACAGACCUACUCUAAUUUUCAGACUUCCAUUCUAACCCCGAUAUCAAAAUUUCCACUGUCAACCGAAAAAUGCCAAAUUUUCAAUUUUGCUAAUUCAAGCCUAAAUCUACCACGGACCUCCAAAAUACAUUCCAGUUAUGCUCCUAAGUCUCAAAUCACCUAACGAAGCUAUCCGAACCAUCGAAAUUCACAUCCGAGGCCUUUUUCAUAUAAGUCAAAAUCCGGUUGACUCUUCCAUCUUACGCUUACUCAAAAGAGACUAAGUGUCUCAUUUCUCUAUAAAAACCACUCCAAACCUGAACCAACCACCCCAAUACCACAAAAUACAGCUGAACAAGACAUAAGGAAGAAGCAAUGGGGGAAACGAAGCGGUAACUCAUGAAACAACCGGCCGGGUCGUUACAUCCUCCCCCUCUUAAACAAACAUUCGUCCUCGAAUGAGUCAACAAACAUACCUAAAGCCUCAAAUAGGUGAGGAUAUCUACUCUGCAUCUCCCGCUCAGUCUCCCAGGUAGCCUCCUCCACGGGCCGACCUCUCCACUGCACUUUCACUGAAGUUAUAUUCUUUGACCUCAACUUUCGGACCUGCCACUCCAAAAUAGCAACUGGCUCCACAUCAUAAGUCAAAUCACCAUCUAACUGAAUCGUGCUGAAAUCCAAAACAUGAGACGGAUCGCCAAUAUACUUUCGGAGCAUAGAAACAUGAAAUACCAGAUGCACACUUAACAAGCUGGGUGGCAAAGCAAGCGCAUAAGCCACCUCCCCAAUCCUCCGAAGUACCUUAAAAGGACCAAUGAACCGGGGACUCAACUUACCCCUCUUCCCAAAUCUCAUAACACCCUUCAUGGGUGAAACCUUCAAUAGAACAUUCUCCCCAAGAAUGUAAGACACAUCACAGACCUUCCUGUCAGCAUAACUCUUUUUUCUUGACUGCACUGUACGAAGCCGCUCCUGAAUCACCGUCACCUUGUCUGAAGCAUCCUGCACCAAGUCUGUACCCAAAAUCCUAGCCUCACUCAGAUCAAACCAACCAACCAGAGAUCUACACCGCCUCCCAUACAAAGCCUCAUAUGGAGUCAUCUGAAUACUCGACUGGUAACUGUUGUUGUAAGCAAAUUCUGCGAGCGGUAGAAACUGAUCCCAUGACCCUCCAAAAUCAAUGACACAAGCACACAACAUGUCCUCUAAUAUCUGAAUAGUUCGCUCGGACUGCCCGUCCGUCUGAGGUGAAAAGUUGUGCUCAACUCAACCUGAGUACCUAACUCUUGCUGCACAUCCCUCCAAAAUUGCGAAGUAAACUGAGUACCUCUAUCUGAAAUGAUGGAAACUGGAACACCAUGAAAGUGAACAAUCUAUCGAAUAUAGAUCUCUGCUAACCGCUCUGAAGAAUAGGUAGUACAAACAAGAAUGAAGUGCGCGGACUUGGUCAGCCGAUCCACAAUCACCCAAAUAGCCUCGAACUUCUUCAAAGUCCGUGGGAGUCUAACUACAAAAUCCAUGGUGAUUCUCUCCCACUUCCACUCUAGAAUAUCCAUCUGCUGAAGCAAGCCACCCGGUCUCUGAUGAUCAUAUUUCACCUACUGACAGUUGAGACACCAAGCUACAAAUCCCACAAUGUCCUUCUUCAUUCUCCUCCACCAAUAAUGCUAUCUCAGAUCCUGAUACAUCUUCGCAGUACCCGGAUGAAUGGAAUAUCGCGAGCUACGGGCCUCCUCCAGAAUCAAAUCCCGAAGCCCAUCCACAUUGGGCACACAUAUCUAGCCCUGUAUCCUCAACACCCCAUCAUCACCAAUAGUCACAUCUCCUGCAUCAUCGUGCUGAACUCUGUCCUUAAGGACAAGCAAAUGAGGAUCAUCAUACUGGUGCUCUUGAUGUAAUCAAAUAAGGAAGACCGAGAAACCACACAAGCUAAGACCCGACUAGGCUCCGAAAUAUCCAACCUCUCAAACCGAUUGGCCAAGGCCUGAACAUCAACUGCAAGAGGUCUAUCUCCAAUAGGAAUAUAUGCCAAACUGCCCAUACUCAAUGCCUUCCUACUCAAGGCAUCGACCACUACAUUGGCCUUUCCCGGAUGGUACAAGAUAGUGAUAUCAUAGUCCUUUAGCAACUCCAACCACCUCCGCUGCCUCAAAUUGAGAUCCUUCUACUUAAACAAGUGCUGGAGGCUGCGAUGAUCAGUAAACACCUCACAAAACAUGCCAUACAGGUAUGCCUCCAAAUCUUCAAUGCGUGAACAAUGGAAGCCAACUCUAGAUAUCCACACAUUUUCACCUCGAUCGAACGACAACGGGAUACUAUUUCGAUAAGUUCAAAAUAACACCCUUUAAGGCCAAGGACCUUCUCCAAAAUGAAGAGUUCGACCUCGAUCAAAUGACGACGGGUUACUAUUUCGAUAAGUUUUGAAUAACACCCUUUAAGGCCAAGGGCCUUUCCCAAAGUGAAGAGUUUAACCUUGAGCGAACGAUGACGAGUUACUAUUUGGAUAAAUUCGAAAUAACACCCUUUGAAGCCAAGGGCCUUCGCCAAAAUGUAGAGUUCGACCUCGAUCGAACAACGACGGGUUACUAUUUCGAUAAGUUCGAAAUAACACCCUUUAAGUCCAAGGAUCUUCGCAAAGUGAAUUGUUCGACCUCGAUCGAACGACGACAGGUUACUAUUUCGAUAAGUUCGAAAUAACACCCUUUAAGGAUAAGGGCCUUCGCCAAAAGGAAGAGUUUGACCUUGAUCGAACGACGAUGGGUCACUAUUUCGAUAAGUUCGAAAUAAAACCCUUUAUGCCCAAGGGCCUUUGCCAAAAGGAAGAGUUCGACCUCGAUCAAAUGACAACGGGUCACUAUUUCGAUAAGUUCGAAAUAACAUCCUUUAAGGGCAAGGGCCUUCACCAAAAUGAAGAGUUCGACCUCGAUCGAACAACGAUGGGUUCUAUUUUGAUAAGUUCGAAAUAACACCCUUUAAGGCCAAGGGCCUUCGCCAAAGUGAAGAGUUCGACCUCGAUCGAAUGACGACGGGUUACUAUUUCGAUAAGUUCGAAAUAACACCCUUUAAGGCCAAAGGCCUUCGCUAAAGUGAAGAUUCGACCUUGAUCAAACAACGAUGGGUUACUAUUUCGAUAAGUUCGAAAUAACACCCUUUAGGGCCAAAGACCAUCAAAAAGUGCAAAAAGACCGAGACCCACUGGGCGGGAAUCCAUCUCGCAUCGAAAUCACGCGCAACAUAAACAAGGGUAGAAUACAAGACAAAUAACAGUGAAAAACUCUUCUUUAUACAAAGUCUCCGCGCAAAUGGUAGCGGAUUACAUAAGACCCAAGUUAACAAUAUAUAAAAAAGGAGGGGCAACAAACAACAAAGAAAAAAAACAACGAUAAUCGACUACGAACGAAAAACGGGGAAGAAAACAUCAAAUGGAAAACAGAUCAAUGUCACUAUCCCUCUACUCUACAUAAUCAUCGCCACCCUCUCCAAUACCAUCUCCGGGAAGUUCUCCUUCGACGUUUGUGCCCCCAUUGGCUUCUGGUGUCACCGCAUCAUAUCCACAAUUGACGCGAGCCUCCCGCACUUUCACUCUCGCCUCUUCAUAGGCAUCUUUAGUCACAUUCCCCCCCUCCUACAAACUCUUGUAUAUAUCCUGCUGGGCUUCGGCGUAAACCUAAAGCUCGUGCAUGCAGCGAGGAACGGUGGUGGAGGUAGAUUCAAUCUGAGCCAACAGAUGCUAAUUUUUCGCCUCUAGUGCUGCGACCCGAUCCCCAGAACCGAGGCCUCUUAGUUAAUCUCGCUAAUGUGCUCCGCAUAUCUUGCCUCCAUAAGGGUGGCCAUCGCUCUCUUCGAUUCUUUCUCGGAUUGGAGGACGCGAAUGGUUUUCUCCAGGGCCACCACCCUCGCUGAAGCCGCGGACCAAGUACUCUCGAUGCUCUCCAACCCAACAAUCUUGUUCUCCAGCCCAGUCAAUUUCCCCAUCCAUUCCGCGCUUAGCGCCUCAACCUUGAUCAAGUUCAUAUCCAUCUCCGACUGCUGCUGUGGAUAGCCUGCAUUAAUUCUUGGUCCAUUUUCUGCAACUCCUCACCAAGAGCCCGACUACCAGGGUUUGUAUUCAGCCGCUCAUGCCUUUUGCGAUACUUGUUGCGGUAGCGACGAUAUUUCUCCAACAUCUUCAAGAAAAUCUUGGCCCGAAUGUUGGCCCUACGAAUGCUCUCCAUUUCCACCAUAUACGUCUGAAAAAUAAAAAGAUAGGUUAGAAUCCUAUCAUCAAGGAAAAGCGAAAGUAAGCAUAACAUACCCUUAAGCCCAUAGCGGCCACCUCGUCCAUCAAUUCAGCAUCGAGAAUGGUCCGAAGGGUCACAUUCUCAGAUACGGAGCAUAGCAUGCUGAACUGCGGCACUAGGUCCUCCGUGUCCCCAGGAGAUUGACAUCCGAAGGGAUCUCAAGAAUACGGGCCGAGCCUCCCACACGAACUAACGAGUGAGUAAGACCCUCCUCAAACAUCCUGACAUCAUCAGGGUCGAGGUCCGAUUCGGAUUCAUAGUCGUCGACCACCAUGGCGUUUCCUCUUUCAACAGCCGAAGAGGAAGCAUGACCAACUAUGGAGGACGUGGGUACGUCCGAAACUACAACGGUAGCCCCGAAAAUCUAACCUUCCACCACGAUAGGUUGCUGACCACCAACAACGUUGGGAAUCUCUGGUUGAGCCGAGGCGAUAACCGGUUCCGUCCCUAUGGGGGGAGCCACAAAAACCCCCUCUCCAGACCCUGUCAAAGGAGAGUCAUCUAGAUGAAUCACUGUUGGGGGUGUUGUCUCGAACUCCACUCGCCGUCUUUUUGAUGGCCACUCUUCUUCCCUAGUAGGCAAAGAUUCACCCGUCAGGCGAACAACAUGGGUUGGAACAUCGGCCUGAGAAGCGGCCCUCGCAGAGUAACCACGGACGCAGACUCAACUGAAGCAGCCCUCGACGAAGGUCGGGCAGUGGGUACCGCGAUAGGGCGAGCAGAUAAGGCUGGCUGCCGGAAAGCUAACGGAGGAGCCCUCACUCUCCGUACCCUCCCUGACACCGACAAACAUCAUGUGAGGAAUUAAAUACAAAGAUAAAAAGAGAAAAACAGUGAACAGAAAUGACAUCUUACCAGAAAGAGGCCUGUGCCCAUACUUGUCAUAGAAAGUCGCCCACAUGCGGACCCCUGCUGUAUGAGGGAGAAUAGCACUUACCCACUCGCGGAUAUUUUCGACAGGUGGAGGGGGCAAUUUCUCAGUUGCAAAAACAUAACAGGGUUUAGUACUAUAACGGAAAAUGGUCGGAUAUAUCUUCGACUAAAAGCAUGAGAAGUUCCACUUCUCAGGGAACCCCGUCGGAUCCACCACAAUGUGUUCAGUCUGCACAUAGAAAUAAUUCUCAUAAAAACGAUGGUUAGUUCUAUCAUACAUCUUCACCAUCAGACUCUUCGACCGUCGAGGACACAUGUGAAGCAUCAUGUCGCGGAUAAGCUGAGGAGCGAAGAUACUAAGCAGGUGGUAUAAGGUGAUCUCACGACCGGCGAGUUCCGCAAACUUGAGCAACAUAAGGAACAUCUUGUAUAGGUACGACGAAAGUUGGGCGGAGCAUACCUCAUAAAAGCGGUAGAAGUUUACCACUAGGAGAGGGAGAGGAAGUGUGUAUCCAAUAAGGAAGGGGUAAGCAUAAAAUACACAGUACCUACAACAGUCAAAGUGAACUAUGUCGUUUCCUUCCACCGGCCGCAUGUCGACAUAACCCGGGAUCCUCCACCUGGUUUUCAACUCUACAAUGCCUUCUUCUCUCAUAACAGAAGGAACAGGCUCCGGCUCCGCCCCGGCGCGACUGCUGAAGUCGGUCAAUUCUCUCCCAGUGCAAGGAAAAAUCUCAACUAUCAACAAGACCUCCUCGUCUUCCACUGCAUCUGCCCCUCCAGUGACCUGAGCAGCACUUUCCGGUGCUGGAAUCGUGACGGGGAGAUCGGUGCGAGAGGAAUCACCAGCCAUUUUGUCCAGAAGAUACGGCAAAAAGACAACGGAAAGAAAGGAUGAAAAUCCUCAGUUAACAAAAGGGCAAACGAAAACUUGGAAUGUCAGGAAGAAAGUAUAUUUGCAGAAUUCUUUCGCGUAAAAGGAAAAAAGUGUGUCAAUCGAAUGAUAAGUUCUUUCUAUUUAUAAGAGACAUAGAUCCCUCGAGCACGAAACCUAAGAGUCGCCAAUUGAACCUGAUAGGGCACGAAACGUUUCAGUUCCCCAGGGACGUGUGUCAUGAUGGCGGUAACCACAAAAUAAGGCUUCGAUACCAAACGACGUUUUGGUUCCGAAACAGCCGCAACGGUUCAUGGGUAUCAAGAGAACGCCGCCACCUCGCCUAAAACCCAAGUAAUGUAACUAAGGAACGAGAAGUCAGAUUUUGCUCAAACUCAUAGCAAUCAUGAUCCGUUUGCCGGGCCCGACAGAGGACGACCCCAAUAUCAUACCCUUUUUUACAAACUUCACUUAACUCUUUUAAAAUUAAUAAAAGUGAUUCGUAAAGCUUGAAAAGGAUUUUCUAAUUAGAACAUGACAAAAAUUGUGUUCAAAAGGAAAUAACUCAGAGUCGCCACCUGACAUUGAUUUCGGUGUGUCAGGUCAUCAUUUUUUUUAAAAAUGAUUUUUCCUUUAAGACACUUUGGACUCCAAAACUAAAUUCGCACCAGAGAUUUGGGUAAGGGGGUUUAUUUGACUCGGGGAGAAGGUGUUAGGCACUCCCCAAGUCUGUGAAAGUCACGGUUUCAUACUCGAUCUAGUUGGCUUUUAAAAUAUUUAAGUUGAGGUAAAAUAAAAACAGAAAAGAAAAAUAAACACGUAAGAUGCUCGAGGUCGUCCCCCUCCUAAUAAAAGAAAGAUAAAAAUAAAAUGAAAUAAGAAUAAAAGUACCACGAGUUCGCUUUCCGCCUCCAAUUAUAGAAUACUAAGGGGCAUUCCCCAGAAUAAAAAAUAUACAAAUCCUUCGGGGCAUUCCCAGGAUAAAUUUAACUAAGGGAAUGACCUCUUGCCUCAAAAUUAAACAAACAAAAUCCUAGAGUUUGCCUACCUAAACAUUAACGGCCUAAACAUGCUCCUAGCAAUUAAAAGCAACAAAGCAAGAUAAAGAACUAAGAAAAUCGAUCCAAGCUCAAAUUUUUGUAAUUCCCUUUCCAGCUCGUCCAGUACGCCUUUAUAAAGUCCAUGUUUCUAUUAAACCAACCCCUUGACCAAAUUCAAUUUUUUGUCCCGUUUAUCAAAUUGUGACUUAUUUGCCUUAAUAUUCCUAAUGCACUUCAAGUUUAACCCAAUUAAUUCAAAUUGAUCCAACACAAAAUUAACGAUAAUGCAAAAAACUACAGUGAAUCAAGGAAGCAAAAAAACACAAAACAAGACAUGAAACAUUCCAAAAACCACAAGCAAAAUAAUGAAAAAGAUCAAAGCACAUAUCAGAUGAGAGAAAAUUGAACCUCAUUGAUUGAUUUCUUUGUAUUAAACGUGACCUUGGUCGCAACAAACUCUGACAAACCAAAUUUGGCCGAAAAGCGCAAUAGUAGCAGGAGCUCGGACCGCGAAUUCCUUUGACAGACCUCUUCGACUCAAACUCAGGAUCCUGAGCAGCUAUGUUGGCGCUGAGAAUACUCUAAUCACUAGUUAUAAAAUUAGCUAAAAUUGGCUAUAACCUUUUGACCACUUAAAAUUCAGCAGACUCCCAUAAAUUUUUAAUAGAAGACAAAACCCUCUUGGCUCUUGUUUGAGAACUAGGUGAAGAAGUGAGAAAAGCAAUAGCCACAAAAAUAGUAAGUAAAAAGAGACGUUUGGCUAGCUUCUCUAUCUCUCUCGUCUGGAUGUGCACAAAUCCGGCGUCGCUACCGCAACGAGUAACACCAGAAUAGCGCUAAUGGGAAGCAAAGAUCAAAGGGUUGCCAAAGUAGGCAUGUCCGGCCAGAUCUAGUUUCGUCCUGUGUGUGUGUGUGUGUUUGAGAAUGAGGGGAGAUCACAACUGUUGGGAGUGGGUAGAGACGGGGUUGUCGUUGGCGGCUGUAUAUUCUGGAGAAGAUGACUGUGUGUGGCGGGUUAGAGGCUGGUGGCGGAGAGGUCUAACGAUGGUUCUCUUUUUAAAAUGGGGUGGUGGAAUUGGUCGGCGGUGUGGAGCUGGGUAGUGUCCAGGCUGCUGAUGGCUUGGAGAUGUGAAGAAGGUGGGAGAUUAGGGAGGGACAGCUGGUUUCUCGUUAGGGCUUUCUAGGGUUUUUUGUUAGUGUGUAGGUUGAAGAAGAAGAUGAAGACUUAGGGCUUUUAUGGGUUUUGGGUGUGGGUUGUCCAAUUUGGGCCUCUUGCAAGAAUUUAAUUUGGGCUAAAAAAAAUCUACAAAAUUGGGAUAAGAAAUGGCUAAAAAUUGAAUCUACUUCUAAAAAUACUUAUAAGAAGAUACAAGUAAAACGAAAAAUUAAAGUUGAAGUUAUUAUAAUAAACUAUUAUAUUUAAAAUAUAACUAAAAAUUAAAGUUGAAACUAUUUUUGGUAUUUUCAAAGAUUAUAUUAAAAUAAAAUAGAUUCAAAGUAACAUAUCCUUCUAAAAAUAUCUAAUACGUGAAUUACGUAGAGAAAUAUGGAAUUAUUUUUGUUAUUUUUAAUUUUUGUUCUUAAUAUAAAGUAAAAUAAUUAAAACUAGGUAAAAUAGCGAUAUUAGGCCUAAACUAAAUAUCUAAAAGCUAAAAUGAGUAAAAACUCGGGGAGGGUCAAAAAUUACAUGUCUAUAGUUUCCCCUCUUUGACUGGGAACACGAAGAUUUUUCAGACAAAGAACGACAAAACAGGUUUUUUGACCUGACCCUUAAUUAGAGAGACCAAAAACUAAGAGAAAGGAAGAGAAUGUGACCGAGCCCUGGUAUCUGAGCUGCCUACAUAUCCUUGGCUAUAAAGGAAUCAGGCCACGUGUAGUUCAGAAGUGAAUGAGCUGAUGGAGUAUACUGUGGUGGAGAGCCGGUCAAGGUUCCUGCCAUUACAUCAAAAUAAAAGGAAAAAAUUACAACAAUAGUAAAAGAAAAAUGCAAGAUCCAUCUACUUCUUGUCUUGAACCUUCCUUGAAUCUCUACUUGAUCCUUCAACAUGAAACGAAAAAAUGGACCAUGUUCUUCAGGCGGGCUCCUGAUGCUCCUUGAAUUUCAAAUUGAAAGUAACUCUGAAAUGAAUUCCCUUGUUCUCCAGGUGGGUGCCCGAUUGCUAAAACUUGAACUAUAUUCCCUUGUUCUACAGGUGGGCGCCUGAUUGCCAAAACAAUAACUGUGUUCCCUUAUUCUCCAGGUGGGCGCCUGAUUGCCAAAACUUGAACUAUAUUCCCUUGUUCUCCAGGUGGGCGCCUGAUGCCAAAAACUUGAACUGUAUUCCCUUGUUCUCCAAGUGGGCGCCUGAUGCGAAAACUUGAAAUGUAUUCCUUUGUUAUCCAGGUGGGCGCCUGAUUGCCAAAAAUCGAACUGUGUUCCCUUGUUCUCCAGGUGGGCGCCUGAUUGCGAAAACUUAAAAUAAUUCCGAAACGAAUUCCCUCAUUCUCCAGGUAGGUGACUGCAAUCAAAACAACUAAACAAACAAAAUUUUCUGCUCCAGUUUGCACUAGGAAGAUUUGUAAGUUGUUAACAAAACUGUAAAUUACUUAUGAUAUUUAUGUAAUGAUGAGAGUAAAACUAAAUACUUAACUGGGAUGUGCAUCUCCUGUGAAUAAAACCAAGAAUAUUUGACUAGCAAGUGAGUCAACUAAGAAUAAAACCUGAAUGACACAGACUAAGAAGUGCGUCUCCUAGAUUUAAGAUUAAGCUUGCGGAAAACUAUAAACUAAGCUUGACUAAAGUAAAAACUGAUCUUAUUCUCCAGGCGGGACCCCUGAUUUCAAGAAAACUAAAGAUUAAUAACUUAAGAAAACUAAAAAUCUAUCCUAGGAGAAAAGUCAUCAGACUAGGUCUUCUAUCUUAGGAGAAAAAUUCAUCAGAAUAAGAUUACGAUCCUAGGAGAAAAUUCAUCAGACUAAGCCUCUUAUCUUAGGAGAAAGAUUCAUCAGACUAAGAUUUUAAUCCUAUGAGAAAGUUCAUCAGACUAGGUAUUUUUUGUUAUCUUAGGAGAAAGAUUCAUCAGACUAAGAUUUUGAUCCUAGGAGAAAAUUCAUCAGACUAGGUCUCUUAUCUUAGGAGAAAAAUUCAUCAGACUAAAAUUUUGAUCCUAGGAAAAAAUUCAUCAGACUAGAUCUUCUAUCUUAGGAGAAAGAUUCAUCAGACUAAGAUUUUUAUUGGUAGGAAAAUCCAUCAGACUAGGACUUUUAUCCUAGGAGGAAAAAUGUGAAGAGUAUUGGCAACAUUUUAUGCACACUAGCAAGGCAGAUAAAAGCAAAGAUUUGAGAAACUUCCCUUUGUCGAUUCUUCUCUUCUUUUUUUUUUCUUUUUCUUUCUUUUCUUUCUUUCUUGUUUUUGAACCAACUUGCUUGCACUGCUUUAUUCCUGUUUCAAACAAAGAAAAUUUGUGAGUUCAAAUAUGGUGGUUAGUUUGUGGCCUUAACCUUAAGGGCGGCUGCUUCUACACUUACCACUCCAAAUUAUUCUCGUUAUUGUUGUUAUUAUUUCUUUUUGGGGGGGAUAAUGUCGGACCAAAUUAAAAGUACUUGAGAUAUGCAUUCCCUGCAUGGUUCAAUUGACCUGUCGUGCCGAAAAUAUACACCCACGACUCAUACACCCACAAAUUAAUCAAAAGAGAUACAAUAGUAUGAGUUGACUUUCUAUUUUAUUUCUUUGAAGAUUGCGUUGACUAAAAUCCUUCAAAUAUUAUUCCUAAGCUCUAUUUCGCAUUAAGAAAUGUCAUACUAAUAUGGCAAUUAAUAUUCUUUCCAGUUUCUUAUACCGACAAACUGCCACCAAACUGAAUAGUUUUUUGCAAACUAUUGCCUUGUUUCUGGUACUAUAUGUAUAUCAUUUCCUACUAAGAUACUAUAUAUCACGUACCCAAACUAGUAUAUAAAGGACAUUUCCCAUCUCACAAUUUCAUAACACAUUCCUCCUCUCCUAAAGAAAAAACUCACUUCCUCAUCCUCCUUUUGUUGUAAAAUUUUCCGAACGAAAAAAGAAAAAGAAACAAAAGUCAUAGCUCAUGGCGAUUAGAACAACAAUUCCUCUUCUUAACAUUCUAUGGCAGUUGCUUUUGCUUCACCAGAACUUGGCUGACGCUGCGGGUGGCAAGUGGCAGCUACUGAAGUCCAACAUUGGCAUUUCAGCCAUGCACAUGCAACUCCUUAAUAACGACAGAGUCAUAAUGUACGACCGUACUGACUUUGGGGCAUCCAACAUCUCAUUGCCCAACGGCAGAUGUCGCAACAACCCUAAUGACCUCGCCCUGAAAGUCGAUUGCACUGCCCACUCUGUUGAGUACGAUGUUUCCACAAACUCUGUGCGUCCCCUCAUGGUCCAGACCGAUGUGUGGUGCUCCUCUGGUUCUGUCAACGCCGACGGUUCUUUGGUCCAAACUGGUGGGUUCAAUGACGGUGAACGUAUGGUUAGAGUAGUCAAACCAUGCAACACUUGUGACUGGCAGGAAAUGGGAAGUAACCUAAUUCAGAGUCGAUGGUAUUCCACCAAUCAUAUUCUACCCGAUGGAAGGCAAAUUAUAAUUGGUGGUCGUAAGGCUUUUAACUACGAGUUUUAUCCCAAAACUGCUUCAACCAACAACGUAUUUAGCCUACCCUUUCUUCAGCAGACUAAUAAUCCUAGAGAAGAGAACAAUCUUUUCCCGUUUGUUUUUCUCAACGUGGAUGGAAAUCUAUUCAUUUUUGCUAAUGAUCGAGCUAUCUUGUUCGACUACAAGGUGAACAAGGUGGUGAAAACGUACCCACAAAUACCUGGUGGUGACCCAAGAAAUUAUCCAAGUUCGGGUUCUGCAGUUCUUCUUCCGUUAAAGAACUUGCGGGCACAAACGGUUCAAGCUGAGGUUUUGGUGUGUGGUGGAGCACCAAGAGGAUCAUACCCCAAAGCGGACAAAGGUGAAUUUAUAGGUGCAUUAAACACAUGCGGGCGAAUUACAAUUACCGACCCGAAUCCACAGUGGACCGUGGAAACAAUGCCAUUAGCUCGAACAAUGGGUGACAUGGUAAUUUUACCAGACGGAAAUGUCUUGAUCAUCAAUGGAGCCGCGGCGGGCACUGCUGGAUGGCAAAUCGCUAGGAAACCGGUUUUGAGUCCGGUGAUUUAUCGACCCGAUAACCCACUUGGUUCUAGAUUCGAGGUACAAAAUUCCAAUACCAUACCCAGAAUGUACCACUCAACAGCAGUUUUACUCCGAGAUGGCCGGGUUCUUGUUGGAGGUAGUAAUCCAAACGAGUUUUACAACUUUACCGGAGUUCUUUUUCCAACGGAAUUAAGCUUGGAGGCAUUUUCACCAUCCUAUUUGGAUCCAGAAUCUUCUAAUUUGAGACCACAGAUCAUUUCUCCCGCUUCCCGUCAUAAAACCAAGUAUGGGAAAAGUGUUAACAUUCGGUUUACUGUUUCUGGAUUACUAAACACAGAUUUGGUCAAAGUAACAAUGGUUGCACCAGGGUUUAAUACUCAUUCAAAUACUAUGAACCAAAGAAUGCUUGUGCUAUCAAGUGGAAAGGUGAGAAGGAUUGGAAAGUCCUCUUACCAAAUCAAUUUGAUCUUUCCAAAUUCUGGUAAAUUAGCACCACCUGGUUACUAUAUGUUGUUUGUAGUUCAUCAAGAGAUACCAAGUGAAGGAAUUUGGAUCAAGAUCCAAUAGCCACAUUGGAUUCUUCAUCCCUCUGCGUAUAAAGACUACAUUUUAAUUUGACAUCACUUAGGUGUAAAUUUUAAGUUUUUCUUCCACUUCUACUUUCUUUUCUCCUAUUAUUCAUGUUGUUCCUAUCCACCAAAAAGAAAAGAAAAAGUAAGAUUUAGGGUUUAUUUUGUUAUUUACAGGUUGCCUUAUAAUAAGGUGUGAUGACUGAUGGAGACAAUCUUUUCUUGAUUUUGACAAAAUAAUUGUAAGCAUGAUAACAUAUUUGAUUGUUUGUAUUGAAGAUAUUGCAAUCAUUAUGCAAUAAUAAAACACUUGUUACCCUGUUUAAUUUCCUCAUUAUCUUAUACCAAUAAUUUUCUUAUCUUGAAGAUAUAUAAGUCAAUGAUCUGCUAAUUUAAGAGGGAAUGAUAAUUGCCACAGUCUGUGGUGGCCGGGCAAUUAAUAUAUAUAUAUAUAUAUAUAUAUAUAUAUAUAUAUAUAUAUANNNNNNNNNNNNNNNNNNNNNNNNNNNNNNNNNNNNNNNNNNNNNNNNNNNNNNNNNNNNNNNNNNNNNNNNNNNNNNNNNNNNNNNNNNNNNNNNNNNNNNNNNNNNNNNNNNNNNNNNNNNNNNNNNNNNNNNNNNNNNNNNNNNNNNNNNNNNNNNNNNNNNNNNNNNNNNNNNNNNNNNNNNNNNNNNNNNNNNNNNNNNNNNNNNNNNNNNNNNNNNNNNNNNNNNNNNNNNNNNNNNNNNNNNNNNNNNNNNNNNNNNNNNNNNNNNNNNNNNNNNNNNNNNNNNNNNNNNNNNNNNNNNNNNNNNNNNNNNNNNNNNNNNNNNNNNNNNNNNNNNNNNNNNNNNGCUUCUGUCUUGAUACAUUUAUCUUAUUAAUGAGACUAUAAAUUGAAAAAUGUAUAUUUGUAUAGAGCAUUCUUUUAAUCGACCAGAUUGACCUUCAUCUAAAAUUUAGAUUCCAAAUCAUAUAUUCAUAUUUAGUUUUUCAUAAGGAUGACAUCAGUUAAUGAAGUUUGUUGAGAUUUUUCUCAUUUAAAAUUUUUGUUUGUUUGUAGCAACAACAACCCAGUAUAAUCCCACUAGUGGAGUUUGAGGAGGGUAAUAGGUACGCAGACCUUACCCCUACCCCGAGGGGUAGAGAGGCUGUUUCCAGAAGACCUUCGGCUCAAGAAAGUGACAAGAGACGAUAUAUUAGUACUAUACAUAGAUUCAUAAUAAAAUAACAUAAAACAAAAUAAAAUAACAUACCAUAACAUAAAAUAAAAAUAACAACAGUAUAAGAAAUAUAGGAAGUACGAAAAAGAUGGAAGAUAUAAUAAUAUCCAGCAGAUAAAGCCCUACAUCAGUAAUUGACCAGUCGCAUCCUAAGACUAACUCCUAAAUGGCUAGUCUCACUUUAGUGCGCUGUAGAAAUACUCACACCUUCCCCCUAGCCUACAACCUUAAUGCUCGACCUCCACAAUUCUCUGUCAAGGGUCAUGUCCUCAGUAAUCCUAAGUCGCGUCAUAUCCUGCCUGAUCACCUCUCCCCAAUAUUUCUUAGGUCUCCCUCUACCUCUCCUCGUGCCGACCACAGCCAGUCAUUCACACCUCCUCACCGGUGCCUUAGUGCUCCUCCUCUGAAUGUGCUCAAACCAUCUGAGUCUUGCUUUCCGUAUCUUGUCCUCCAUGGGGGCCACGCCAACUUUCUCUCGAAUAUCUUCAUUCCUAAUCUUAUCCAUCCUNNNNNNNNNNNNNNNNNNNNNNNNNCACUCGGUCACAUACAACAUGGCAGGCCUAACCACUGCUUUAUAAAACUUACCUUUUAGUAACGUUGGCACUUUCUUGUUGCGCAGGACUCCCGAUGCUAACCUCUACUUCAUCCACCCCACCCCUAUACGGUGUGUGACAUCCUCGUCGAUCUCCCCGAUCCCCUGAAUAACUGACCCAAGGUACUUGAAACUACUCCUCUUAGGGAUAACUCGAGAGUCAAGCCUCACUUCCACUCCCGCUCCAUCGGUUCAGCCCCAAAUUUGCACUCGAGGUAUUCCGUCUUCAUCCUGCUCAAUCUGAAGCCUUUAGACUCAAAGGCCUGUCUCCAAACCUCCAGCCUCUCGUUGACACCACCUCGUGUCUCAUCGAUUAGAACUAUGUCAUCAGCAAAUAGCAUGCACCAUGGCACAUCUUCUUGAAUAUGAUGAGUUAGUGGAUCCAUCACCAUGGCAAAUAGGAAAGGGCAGAACGCAAACUCUUGAUGUAACCCCGUAACAACCGGAAAAUGCUCGGAGUCGCAUCCUACUGUCCUAACCCGAGUCUUAGCUCAAUCAUACAUGUCUUUAAUUACCUUAAUGUAGGCUGUCGGGACCCCUUUAACCUCUAAGCAGCUCCAUAAAACCUCCCUAGGAACCCUAUCGUACGCUUUUUCUAGAUCAAUAAACACCAUAUGGAGAUCCUUCUUCUUAUCCCUGUAUUAUUCCACCAUUCUCCUCAUAAGGUGGAUAGCUUCUGUGGUAGAUCGCCCCGGCAUGAACCCAAAUUGGUUGUCUGAAAUAGACACCAUCUUUCGCACUCUCAUUUCUACCACUCUCUCCCAGACUUUCAUGGUAUGACUCAGUAGUUUGAUACCCCUGUAGUUGUUACAACUUUGGAUAUCGCAUUUGUUUUUAUACAACAGAACCAUUGUACUCCACCUCCAAUCUUCAGGCAUCCUAUUAGUUUUGAAUAUAACAUUAAACAACCCAGUAAGUCAUUCCAAGCCUGCUCUACCCAAACACCUCCAAAGUUCAACCAGAAUUUCGUCUGGCCCGGUCGCUCUGCCCCUUCUCAUCUUACGCAUUGCCUCAAUGACCUCAUCGACCUCAAUGUCCCUACAAUAACUUAAUUCAUGGGGACUGUCGGCAUUCCUCAGUUCACCUAGUACAAUAUCUUGAUCUCCUUCUUCAUUUAGAAGUUUAUGAAAGUAGUUCUGCCAUCUCCUCUUAAUCUGGUCACCCCCAUCAAAACUUUGUCGUCAUCAUCUCAAAUAUACGUCAUAAAGCUUAAAUUAUUCAAAAAGUAAGUAUCUCUCAAUUCUUGAAUAAUUAUGAGCUAUUAAACCCCGAAACAAAGUAACUUUUACCUAAGAUUUGAACUUUAUAAUGUUGGAACUCAAAGACAAUCAGAACGGAAAGAAAGAUUUAGGGCCCGUUUGACCACAAAAAAAGAUUCUUUUUUUUUCAAAAUAAGUGUUUGGCCGUGAAAUUUUUUAUUUUUACUUGAAGAUGAAUUUCGAAAUACUUUUCGAAAAAUUGAAAAAUUCCAAAAAGCUAUUAUUCAAAAAUUUCACUUCAGAUCACUAACAAAAAAUCAAAAAUAGUCCAAAAUUAUAUUCAUGUCUAAAUACAACUCUAAUUGUUAAAUAUUAUUUUCACUUGAAUUUUUUUUGCUCUCUUCCAAAAUUUUACAAUUCUUAUGUCAAAACGCCCACUUAAAUUGGUGAUGCUAAAAGAAUGCAUCGACACUAUAGUUGAUUGUUGGGCCAUAUUUGUGGAUUGGAGGUCCCAAAGAAAGCAUUGACCCAAUAGUUUGUUGGGCCAUCGCCAUGGCUAACGAAAUCGGGAGAAAUUCAAAAAUAACCAGAUUUACAGCUAGUCGUUCAAAAAUAACCCAAUUUUAAAAGUAAUUGAAUUUUAGUCACUUUUUAUGUAAAGAUAAAUUUGAGCAAAAACACAGUUCAAAAUCCGGAAAAUACACUAGUAUAUUACACUCGAGUUUCAACAUAAGUAUGCUUGAACUCCAGCAUAUUAUACUGGAGUUCCGGGAUAAGUAUGUUGGAACUCCAGCAUAAUAUGAUGGAAUUCCAGCAUAAGUACACUAGAACUCCUGCAUAAUAUACUGGAGUUCCAGCAAGUAUAAUUGUCCAGUAUAAUAUACUGGAGUUUGGAGCACCGAUGCUCGAGUCUCUAAUAUAUUAUACUGGAGUCAGCAAAGUAUACCGGUCCAGCAUUAUAUACUGGAGUACAUACACAAGUGCACUGAACUCCGGUAUAUUAUGCUGGACCGGUCUCUGUUGCAUCAAAAUAGUGGCUAUUUUUCAUUGACUUCGUAAACGCUGGCUAUUUUUGAAUAACCAAUCCGAAAACUGGCUAUACCGUGCUAUUUUUACAAUGAAAUCUGGGAAGUAUAUAAAUAAAUGAGAUUCAAAUUUUAAAACACUUUAAACUUCACAUUUAAUAUAGUUAAUUCGUGUUAUAACAUAGCAUAUAUUACAUAACAAGUUAGUAUAUGACUAACCAAGCUAGUGCAAAGAGGAACGGGAUUGUUGAUAUUUCUAUUCAAGAUAUCAUGUUCUUCUAGAUGAUAGUAAUCAUGUUAUUAUAAUUUAUAUAUGAGCUUCCUCAAGUCUUGCCAAAGUUUAAUUUGGCGAUAUUAGUCGAGCUUAAUAAUUUUAAUUCUUUAUCUUGUUUUAAUAUUUUAUUUAUUAAAUGACUAGGUUUUAAGGCUUUAACAUGAUUAGCGACAAUAUUAUUGAUCACGGUGGUAGUGCGUGUGUAAAAUAAUAAUAUGCUGACACAACGGAUAAAUAGUAAUUUAAAAUCUUAGAUCGUCCGAAUUAUAAUGCCAUAUCUAGGAAUGAGAAUGAAAAAUAAUAAAGAAAAUAUCACAAAAACGUAUCUAUAAUAGCUUCAUGCAUCAAUUGCCCUCGUACGUGUCCUUAUUCUUAUAUACUAGGGAAAAUUACCAAAAAAAAAGAAUAAAAAGCUUAUUUUAUAUGUAAACGAGAGGCGAUGUAAGGAAUUAAUCACUACACAUGUUUAACAUAUAUAAACCCAUAAAAAUGAUAAUCCAUAAAAUUUAUGAACUCAAGUUAUAUGUGAAAAUCAAAGUAUAACUUUCUAUCUUUUUUAUUCGACGAUAUUUCUAUUACCAAAUUUUUUCAACUUCAAAUAAUUUAUUUUAAUUUUAAAAAUAAUUUUAAAUUAACAUAAACACCUCAAAGGGAACAAAAACACACACCUAAUGAGUGGUCACCCAAAAUUUAACCAUGCCAAAAAGAUGUUUGUAUUAUUUUUGUAAAACUAAACGGCAAGUCACCCUAAAAGUGUGCAAACAAGUGUCUAUUUAUAAAACUAAAUGACAGGUUAAUAAUAGAAAUUAAAGUCUAUUUCAUUCUAGGUUGUGUUUGAUCCAAAAUUAGGUUUAAAUAAUUAAAUUUUCUAAUAAAAUAGGGUUAAUCUUAGCCAAUAUUAAUUUUUAAAAGAUUAUUUAACCGAUGUCGUGGCAAAAUGACACAAAUUCCGUAGAAACAAUAGUGAAUACGUAAUAACAAACAACAUUCAAUGGCCCAAAGGGGAUAUCAUUAAAUAGCAAUAAAUGAUAUAUAAUGGCAUUUAUGUAAAUAAAUGCAAGUCCGGAAAUGGAUGAAAUUGUGUGAUAUUCCCUCUGACAAUGAUAAAUGAUUGACGAGCUUUUGAAUAUUUAGAUUCUCCUUGGGUCAUGGGAGAGAAGUUAGACAAAAAUUUCAAGAAAAUAUGUUUUUUGUAUGUAUGUAAUAAAGCAGAAUCUAGAGAAUAUCAUUGUGUUGUUCUUUUCAAUGAGUGUUCAAUCCCCUCCUAUAGCUAUAUCUAUUUCUAUUUAUAAGAGAACAUGGCCAUAAAAUCAUAAUAGUACAGAUUUUUGCAAUAUUCGCUGAAAUAUUCUCCUUAAAGUCUCAUCCCUAAAACUAGAUGUUACUGCUCCGUUAAGGAGAGUACUCGUCUUCAACCUCUAAUGACUCCUCGACCUAGCCUUCCUCUUUUGUCGGAUCACUUCGACCUUGUCUUCGUCUUUUGUCGAAAUCAUAUUGAUGACGUGUGGCAGCUGUCACACCUCCUUUUUCCGUACCCGAGAGGGUACAAGAGAGUUUUUCCAAUUAAAGGACAAUCGAAACGGGAUUCGUUUAUUUAUUUCAGAGUCGCCACCUGGGAGAUUUAGGGUGUCCCAAGUCACCAAUUUUAAUCCCGAAUCGAGGAAAAGAAUGACUCCAUAUUACAGUCUGCGUACCAGAAAUCCGGAUAAGGAAUUCUGUUAACCCGGGAGAAGGUGUUAGGCAUUCCCGAGUUCCGUGGUUCUAGCACGGUCGCUCAACUGUCAUAUUCGGCUUAUUUAUCUGAUUUUUAAAUACAAUUAUGAACCAUGUGCAAAUUUUAACUUUUUACCGCUUUCAUAAUUAUUAUUAUUAUUAUUAAGAAUGUGAACAUCGCUUAAAACAUGUCUUUGGACUGCGUCACAUGAAAUGCACCCANNNNNNNNNNNNNNNNNNNNNNNNNNNNNNNNNNNNNNNNNNNNNNNNNNNNNNNNNNNNNNNNNNNNNNNNNNNNNNNNNNNNNNNNNNNNNNNNNNNNNNNNNNNNNNNNNNNNNNNNNNNNNNNNNNNNNNNNNNNNNNNNNNNNNNNNNNNNNNNNNNNNNNNNNNNNNNNNNNNNNNNNNNNNNNNNNNNNNNNNNNNNNNNNNNNNNNNNNNNNNNNNNNNNNNNNNNNNNNNNNNNNNNNNNNNNNNNNNNNNNNNNNNNNNNNNNNNNNNNNNNNNNNNNNNNNNNNNNNNNNNNNNNNNNNNNNNNNNNNNNNNNNNNNNNNNNNNNNNNNNNNNNNNNNNNNNNNNNNNNNNNNNNNNNNNNNNNNNNNNNNNNNNNNNNNNNNNNNNNNNNNNNNNNNNNNNNNNNNNNNNNNNNNNNNNNNNNNNNNNNNNNNNNCACCUAAAGAGACUAUCGUGUUAUUAUUUUGGGAAGGCCGUGAAAUUCGCUAAAGGCCCUCCUGAAUUCUAAGUAAUUUAAAACAGGUAUUUACUGAGGGCCCCGCAAUUUGUAUUUUUAUUCAGCGAGGCUCAUCUCAUUCUUAUUUUUUUUUAAAAAAAAAAGGAUAUCCUAUAGCAACUACGUUUCUUGUCGCGUUUGUCUCUACUAAUUUAAAACAGAGAUAGUCCUAGUUAAUUACAUGCUUGCAGAUUUUAUAGCGGGAUUCAAAAUGCUUUUACAUAAUAAGAAAACGUGGCUACGCGCACAGAUAGUUGAUCGAACAUUAUGGGCCCAAAUCCAGCUCAUGCGGGAUGGGCCAGAACUGGGCCACUGUUUAUCCGGUGCGGGCCUGCUUGGUCUAUUUUGACCUGGGCUCGACCCCUGUGAGGUUGAGGCCGUGAACUUGUUCUUUGUUCUACAGGCGUGGUUUAUCAGUUAUAACGGGACAGUUUAUUAAAGGGAAAAACAGUUAACUAAUGAUGAAUAGUUUUCGUGCGCUACUGGACAUGCUAAUCACAAACACAAUUAAUUUCUGAGCUACAACCUACUACAUGAUCGAAAAUUUUUAUCCAACAGCCUACACACACAAUUGGAUGUCAAAUUACCCUACAUUGACAGUUUCUAUGUGUUAAGGCUAACUCAGUAUCCGAACAAAAAUGUAAACUAUCAUACAUCACAUAUCAUUCAGUGUAAAGGCUAUACAUAAAAUAAACGAUCUUCAACUCUUCUCUUUGUAUUCAUACUCAACUUCAGAUUACAUUGACAGUAUUAGUCGUGUACCUGGAUGUUUGAACAACAGACAAGAGAAGAAGAAAGAUGUCAGCAACGGGCAACCAAACAGCAAACACAGCAACAACAACCAACAACAAUAACCAGCCUCAAUUAUGAAGCCUUCAAGUGAUAGAGCACCACGCAGAAAAUCCCAGAAAACAGAGUAGAAACAACCGAGAAAACCAGAAUGUUCACGGCAAUAGCAACAGCAAUCCAAUGAUCACAAAUAACUUGGCAAAUAAACAACAACAAUUGGCCAAGACAGCUUUUACCAGCUUGAAUUCUUAUGUAAGUUUCAGACAGUGUUUGGUUACAAUAUUCUGAGAAUUUAUGUUUCUUUCUUUCAACCUUUUUUAAGAAAAACUUUCUCUCCAGGCUCCAAAAAAAAUCCCCCCCCCCCCCCUUCUAAUAGAAGGUCUCUUCUUUUAUAGCCUAAACGCAGCACUUUACAGUCUGUUUGACAACUCAGAAUUCCCCCUCCCUGCUGUUUUUCCACUCAGCUAUUUUAAAUAACCAAAACUCCCAUGAGAUCCCUGACAGCCCCUCUCUAUUUUGUUGUUAAAGUGUCUUAAUCUCUUAUUUAUUUAGCCAAAGUAUGGGCAGCAGGAAUAUAAUCUGACAGCACAUGCUGUCCAAUUAUUUUAAUUCCUUAACAGCUGACCAUACACAUGUUGCCCACAAUCUGAACCAAGUAAACAUGCCAUCCAUUUAAGACCAAAGUCUGAACUGCCAUUAUAACUUACCCCCUAAAUGUUUUUUUGAUUCAAAUUGAACAAAAUCAAUAGGCAACACAAUUCAGUUCCUAAUGGAAUUCAAAUACGAUCACAGCAGAAACAAACAACAUGAAUCAAGUUGUUACCAUUAAUGGCUGAAACUAAUUGACGACAUACAUCGACUCGACUAUAUUAAUCGUAACACAUAAUAAUCAGUCGUUCAUAUAAACAAUACGUACAGGGUCCUGAAUGGCUUCAGACAACUUUUGUUCAAUUACUGGGAACCUAUAUGAAUUAACUAUUGGACGAACCAAUCUAAUUGACGAGCAUGUAUAUCACCAGAUGUAUUCACAUACAGAGAAGAACAAACAACCAAGUAAAAGGUCUUUGUCAGAGGUGGAAGGAAUUUAAGAAAAAUACCAAAAAAAAACAAACAAACACAACAGAAACAUGCUAAUAAACUUAAUCAGCAUGCAAAUGAAACAUAAAAAGAAAAGAAAAACUUACUGAAAACUUUUAAGAAAAGUCGACCCAGGUCCGAAUCAGAUUUGGCCUUUUGAAGCCGAACAGACUUUAAUCGGGGUGUUCUCAACCGAGAACACCCUGAUUGAAGUCUAUUAGACCCCAAACCCUCUAUGAAACAAGUCAGAUUCCCCAGGUUCUGGUGUUCUAGGGUUUGGCUCUUCAGAUUUGAGAUUCUAGGAGUUGUGGGUAGAUUCGGACCAAACCAAGCUUGGUUUGGUCACGAGGGAGGUCAGGGGUGUGUCUGGUACGAAUAUGGUGAGGUUUGGUGUAGGUCAGAGUUCGACUCGAAUCUUCAAAUGAAGAUUCGAGAUGAAGGAAGGUGAUUCGAGGCUAGGGGGUAACAGAUUUGGGUUUGGGGUGGUGAGGUGGUCCUAGGGUGUUCAGGAGGUGGUCACCGGCGUCCAUGCCGCCGGCUUUAAUGGCGAGGGGAGAUGGGGCGGCUAGGGUUCCUAAUGGGAGGUCUGGGUUCGAGCUUGGGGAUGACGGAAGGGGGGUGUUCGUAUAGGGGGGCUGGGUAAAGGGUUAGGUUUAUAUAUGUAACGGGUAAUUAGAUCCUGGCCGUUGGAUGAAUCGAAAUUGAUGGCCAGGAUCCUUCACCUAAUACGGAACGACACCGUUUGGCCUUGGUUGGGGGGUCGGUUCGAACUGGUUCUUGGGUCGGGUUUGGAAACGGGUUACUGACAAGGAUCAUGGGCCGUUGGAUUGGAUUGGUUGGAACGGCUGAGAUGAGCAGUCCUUGAAACGACGUAGUCUUGGUAUUGAACUACGUCGUUUUGAUGACCUGCGGAUGGGUCUUGGGCUGGCUGACUUGGGCUGCUUCUGGGCCUCAAAAAUUUUGAAAUAAAUAGGCCCAGUCCGAUUUCUUAAAUAAUUUGCACUCUUUUAUUUUGUUUUCUAAUUUUAAAAUACAACUAAACUAAAAUGAAUUUGAAAUACCCAUUAAUCAAUACUUAACACAAUUAUUCACACACAUAUAAAAAAAACUUUUAAAUGGUUAAAUUACAACCUAGAAAUGCAUACAUAUUUUUUGUGAAUUUCUUUUAAUGACACAUAUUUUGUUCGAUAACAUUAAAUAAUAAAAAAAACAUGGACAGAACCACAAAUGACCAACAACACAUGUUAUGUAAAGUCGAAGAUUUGUACAGCGCGGUCAUUUGUCACUAUUUUUGCUUUUUUUUUCUUUUAGAGUGAUUGUUCGUGAAGCAAAAAUCACGUGCUUACAGCAGCCUUCGAAGGUUCUCUUAGUAUCGACAUGAUGUUAGAUUAUUAAUUCGUGACCAUAACAGAGAUAAAGAUACAAUCACACAAUCAAUCUAGAGUCAGAGUCUAAGGAAGCGUACCGUUGAAUUCCAUAGAUUCAGCAGGGACAACAAACGGGGAUUAAUCCUGAGACCAACUUCCACAAUCCACUAGCUACGCGCUCUCACAACCCGGAAAACUUGACUGAUGGGACGUCUACCGUUACCACGUAUUCAAGAGGCAGAAUACGCUAGGGUUUUCUAAUAGCUAGGGAAGGGAGGUUGGCCUCUAUUUAUAAAGAGUGUCUAACCAUCACAAGGCCAAUAGUUAUUGAGUCUCACUUAUCCACACACAUAAUAGUUAAUAUUAGGCCUUUUAUUUAUCCAUCACUUGGGCCACAUCACUAUCCUUUUAGGCUAUAACCAAUUAACGUAAGUCCAAAUUCCAAUAUUCUCUCACUUGGACGCCAACGUUAAUUGAGGACAAGAAAACAAUUUUAAAAUAUUUGAGUUUUAAGAAAAAUCAUUUUGAAAAAAGAUUUUAGACUCUACAAUGGCCACACUACUCAUAUAGUCAAUGAUAGAAUGACCCGUAUAACAAUCCAUUAAGUCUCAAUAGAGAAGACUAACAAUGAACCAUAACGGGCAUCACACCAUUUUAAGGUAUGAAUUCUAUUUACGACCACAUAUGCUAGAAUUUCUAUCAACAUGGAUCAAACAUGUGUGCUGAUCAUAUUAUCUUUCUAAUCAAGGUGAAUAGAUUCACACCUCUUAAAAGAAAUAAUCCUCCAAGUGAUAUUAUAACUAUAUCACAUCAGGAGCCUCCAAAUCAAAUGAUAUAAAAAUCAUAUCACCUUAGGAGGUUUCCCUUGUGCCUUACCCGAGAUAAUCAAGGCAACAAGCAACAAAACUCAAAGAUAUCAUGAGUUUAUGCAAUGUCAAAUUGAAAUAAAUAAAUAAAUUAUCAUGUCAGUCAAUAAACAUAACAAAUAUGAAAUAACAUAAGCUUGCAUAAAAUUAGAAUUUAUUAAAAGUAAUAUCUCAGUCAGUAGCUAUGAAAUGACUCCCACCGACUAAAGCACAUCAAAAGACUCUAAUAUGCCCAUGUUUUUAGCAUGUUCAUUAAACACUACAGGCCUAAGACCUUUAGUCAAAAGAUCAGCCAACAUAGAUUCUGUGCUAAUAUGCUCAAUACGUACAUCACCUUCUUUUACCAUAUCUCUAACCUUAAGAAACUUAAGGCUAACAUGCUUAGAGCCUCUUGUUCUCUUGUUAUUCUUGGAGAAGAACACAGUUGCACUGUUGUCACAUAAAAUAGUCACCGGCUUAGAUAUAAAAUUCACAAUUUGCAAUUUAGUAAGAAAAUUCUUCAUCCAUACAGCAUGUGAUGCAGUCUCAAAACAAGCAAUAAACUCAGCUUCCAUUGUAGAUAUAACAGUGAUACUUUGCUUCUCACUUUUCCAAUAAAUAACACCUUUUAUGUGAUCAGAAAUGGAUCUCUUCGUGAUCAUAAGGCUCAAUUUGUUAGCCUUCAUCCAUUUAUCAUACUUAGCCUUUUCAUCAGCAAUGCUAGUAGUUGUAGGUUCAACAGAUUUCUAUUCAGUCAAUGCAAAGUCCACGUCUAUUAGACCUAACACUAUUUCAAUAUCUUGUUUCCAUUUAUUGAAGUUGCUACUAGUCACGGUUUCAAUGGAAUUCAACUGAGUAGUCAUGUUGCUAACAACUGUAUAAGCAAACAACACAAAAAAUAGAUAGAAUUAUAGGCAGGAAUAUAUUAAAUCAAAAGAGUCAAAGACAUCCAUUAUACCCCUCAUUUGGGUAGAAGAUGCAACUGCCUCCCCUUUUAAAAAAUCAAGGAGUCCAAGGCAUUCAUUGAAUCCUCACCUUUAGGCAAGAGAUACAAAGCCUCCCCCUAUUAUCCAAGAGUACAAAGCUACAUCGUGUCCUUCCUUUAGGUAAGAGACACAAAACCUCCUCUUACAUCAAAUUAUCCUUAUUCAUUUAAUUUAUAUAUAUACAUGAGAAUCCAAGAUAUUAAGCUUCAUCAUUUGGGUUGAAAUGUAAUAUCUUAUCUCAUAAAUUAAUUUAGUGUCACUAGUAUAAAAAAGGUAAACCUCCAACACUAGCAUACACUCUAUUAAGGACAAUUUAUAUAUGUGCAUUGAGAAUAUUUCAAUGACUCAAAUAAACAGACCACUUUGGUGGAAACUAUUUAUUAAUCAUAAUUUUCAAUCCACGUAUAAUACUAUUUCACAUGUAUAAAGUUUUAAGAAUUUUCAAUGACUCCAAAUAAAUAGACCACCUUGGUGGAAGCUAUCUAUUAAUCAUAAUUCUUAUUUAAACAAUUCAUGUGAGGAAAAUAAAGACCAUAUAUGUAAACUCAUCUAAUCGCUACUAAUUUCAUUCUCUAACAUUAAAAGUCCAAAGAACCAGUAAGAGCGUUAUGACCAAAACAAGAUCAACAUUCUAAUUUAUUAUUAGAACAGAGUAUUUCAUAUAAUACGGUAACGGCUAAGUAUUUGAUCAACUACUGAAUAGAAACUGAGAAAUAUAUUAAAGGGUACAAAUCCAUAGAAAAACAAUAGACCUUUAAGUCAAUUAUGCUUAGUAGGUUAACAUUGUAUGUUGGAAAAUAAUUGCAUGGAGUUAAUUUCAUAACUAAAAGGACCAAUCAAGUUCGUCUGAACAGAACUUAACAAAAUUUAGCCCUCAAUUAAAAAACGUUGUCUCAUGCCCCCACCGUCAGAAAGUAUCAAGGUUUAACUAACUUUGAUACGUGAUUUUAUUUACAAAUACCAACUACAAAAUGUUACAACCCCUAAUACAUUGGCACAAAACAACCGUUAAACAUUGAUGAAAUUGUUUUGGCGACAAACAAUGACAAACUAUUGUCGUCUAAAAAUUACACAAUAAAAAAAAAUA
rnacentral:lncRNA from 1 species